rnacentral:lncRNA from 1 species
GAAAAGAGCACAAAUGACGUUGGCAAACCUGAAACUUUCCCAUUGGGCAAUCAAAAUUACUCCAGUCAAAAAAAUUAUGGAACAGGCAAUAAACGUUACUGCAGUCAAAAAAGGUAUGGAAGAGGCAAGAAACGUUACUGCGAUCAAAAAAAGUAUGGAAGAGGUGCUUCUCCAUCUGACAAUCAACUACUCCAUUAUAAAGACUUAGCUAUUUUCUUCUUGGAGAAGGACAUGCGCCCUGGCACAACAAUGAAGUUCCAAUUCUCUAGAAAUUCAAACACGGCUACUUUCUUGCCACGAGAAAGCGCUCAAUCGAUCCCCUUCUCCUCUAACAAACUACCAGAAAUUUUCAACCAUUUUUCAGUGAAGCCAACAUCUGAGGAAGCCAAAACAAUUAAGCAAACAAUCGAAGAGUGUGAAGCUCCCGGCCUUAAGGGAGAGGAAAUAUAUUGCGCCACAUCUUUAGAAUCAAUGGUUGAUUUUAGCACUUCGAAGCUUGGAACAAGAAACGUUGAAGCAAUCUCGACGGAGGUAUUGGAAAAAGGAGCCACCAUGUCCAUGCACAACUAUACAACAAUGCCGGGACUGAAGAAGUUGGCCAGUGACAAAGUCGUUGUGUGUCAUAAGCAGAACUAUCCCUAUGCUGUGUUUUUCUGCCAUGCAAUAAAACAUACAGCAGCUUAUGUUCUCUUCCUGAAAGGCGAUGAUGGGGAGAAGGUUAAAGCAGUAACCAUCUGUCAUCUAGACACAUCAGAAUGGAACCCAGAGCAUAUGUCCUUCCAAAUCGUCAACGUUAAGCCCGGAACCAUUCCCAUCUGCCAUUUCAUUUCCACUGAUGCUAUUGCCUGGGUUCCGAACCACAAAUCUGCAUGAUCAUCACUUAGCACUGUACGUAUAAUUAUCUCCUUACUUAUUUCUGCCUCUUCAUCAUGUGGUGUAAGAUAUAUGAUGAGAUGAAGUUUUUGGGAUUAGUGGUUGGGUUGCCUGAAAAACACAGAUUACAGAAACUGCUUGAAAUUAACCCGAUCAUGUUUUCUCUUGUAACUAUAUAGACUUCAACUUGUACUCAUAAUAAAGCAUGCUAUAUUUAUGAAGAGAUAUUAAUCUAUAUAUAUUUUUUAUAUAUGCUUUGGCUUUGUGGUUCUACCCAAUGUUUGAGUGUUGAAUUGUUACGUUGGAAUAGGCUGCUAAUGCAUGUAGUUAGAGAAGCCUUCAUUUAUAUCAAAGUCCUCAAACUAUCAAGAACUAAUGUAUCCAGAAACAUAUACCAAGACGCAAAACAACAUAUUUUCCAUGCUCUGUCUGUAACACCAAAGCAAACUUCCUUGAUCACAAAAGGAUCAAAUUCCAGUACUAAUCUAAUCCAUCAUGUAAAGCAUACAAGUGCCUCCCUAAAUACUAUACUCUUUUUGUUAUUUCCUACUAUACUAUUUAAGAUUUAAAAUUCAGGUCAACCCAUAGAUUUCUCGCCUUUUUCUUCUUCAUCUCGUCGGGCUUGUCUUCUUCUUGAGGAUUGUAUAGGCCAAGGAAAUGCUUUGAGUUAGUUUUUGCGCUUUUGCGUUUUGGGCCUUGGAAGUUGGGACCCAAACCAACUUCACAAAAAGAAAACGCUCAGACUAUAAUGAGUGGAAAGUUAUAAGGGGUAAGUUAUAAGGAGUUCACUUUAUAGCCAUCAGAUCAAUCUAAGGGCUGGGGAGAAUUGAGAUAAAGUUUUAAAAUCGGGUAGGUGAGGAACCCAAACCCGAAUUGAAUAUCCAGCACGUCCGAAAAAGAAGAAGAAGAGGCAAGCACGUCCGAAAAAGAAGAAGAAGAGGCAAGGUCGAAGUUUGAACAGAAAAAACUCAUCUCUUUAAAACCCAUAGCUCUGAGAAACGGUUGAAGGCAACGGUUAACGACGGUUGUUGAAGCCACUCCGUUCUCCAGACCCUGAAAAAGUAUUUAUUUUGAGUAGAAGGGGCAAAUGUGUGGAUUCCGAAACAGUGAAGGGGCGAAGCAGUGGAAGGGGAAGGAGAGAAGCCGUAUUCGUUGGAAGUGGUAGGUUCCAUUUGUGGAGCAAAGCAACACAAAGACCCCGCACAGACACCUUGCGAUUGUUCAAUAACCAGCAUUUGGUGAGUAAUUUAUGGAAUUUGAGUUUAGGGUUAGAGUAAUGGUUUUCCCCAAUUUGUACCAUCAAUUUUGUUGGAUUUGGCAUCUCUUCUUUGUGCUUCAGUUGCAUGUUAAUUUUUGCUUGGGUAUAUGUUAAAAAAAGAAUGAAAAUCAAGUCAAUAACAAGUGAAUAACAUGUCAAUAAUGAUAUGAAUAAGAUAAUGGUGUUGAAUUGGAGGAGGCCCUCAAAACAUUCCACAUUUGAAGCAGUGCAUAGUGCAGAUUAUCUCUCUGGCGCUAGAAUAUAUAUAUAUUUUGAAAUAAAUAUGAUUUCCUUUGUUACUAAAUUUGCCUGAGAAACAUGAGAACAGAUAAUAAUAAACUCAUGAAUAGAAGUGCAAAGCAUUUGAUGAGUAAUUUAUGGAAUUUGAGUUUAGGCCCAGGAAAUUCCUUGACCCCAAAAAAAAAAAAAAAGUUGAUUUAAAAUUCAGGUCAACCCAUAGAUUUCUCGCCUUUUUCUUCUUCAUCUCGUCGGGCUUGUCUUCUUCUUGAGGAUUGUAUAGGCCCAGGAAAUGCUUUGAGUUAAUUUUUGCAUUUUUGCGUUUUGGGCCUUGGAAGUUGGGACCCAACCCAACUUCACAAAAAGAAAACAGAUUUGCCAAAAAUCAAAUUUCAAGUCUCUCCUCCGAUCGAAAUUUGGAUUUGAUGAACUAAAGUGGUUUUACUUUCUCCAUCAGUGUUUGAUAACUUAAUUUGUUAUUUACUUUUUUUUUAAAAAACUUUGGCUUAUAUAUAUUAGUUUUCUUUUUUCCUUCAUAUUCACCACCUUUAUGUUGCAUAAGUAUUUCAGUCUUAAUGGGUUUCCAUCUACCACUCAUCUUUGCUCUUCUCAGUGUAAGCCUUUUUUUUUUUUUAAAGCACAAGAUUAGAGGGGAGGGGGAUUUCUCAAUGUAAGCUUUGCAGUUUCAUAAUUAAUAUUUCCAAUAUCUCACUGUUAGUAAAAUACAGAAAAAGUACUAAUAACAUAUGCACAUGUUACUAAUUUAUUGAGAUAAAACACCAUUUUGCCCCUAGAAUAUUUUAUUAGGUUUAAAGUUGACUUUUUGACCAGGAAGGAAUUUGGGUAUUUAGACUAUAUCGUUGCGUAGAGCAUGGCGAGAUGAGUCCGUAGACACAUGAUUGGCUCGAAUCAGAGUUAUAAUGAGAGAGAUACGAUCAAAAUACCCUCAGUGGUAUAACCGUAAUUUUGGCUUAAAGGGUUUGAUAAAAUAUAAUUUUUCUUUCUUUCUUUCUCUCUCUCUCUCUCUCUCUCUCUCUCUCCUCUCUCUCACGACGGCAGUGAUAGCCGGCCACUUUUUGGCCAGCCAUGCUCUCGUCCGGCCACUAAAGUUGACGGGGCCGGUACCAAAAUGACCGGGCCACCAUCCUUUUCCAACCCCAGCCAGGCCCCACUGCCAGCAGUCGUGAUUUUGCUGAAAAAUGGAGAAGAAGCGGCCGAUUUCGUUCGAACUUCUCCGACUUCGUUCUCUCUCCUCCGGCCACCGAUUUCGAUGAAUGAGGUAUGGUUUCUCACCUACUUUUUAUGCUCUAGCUGCCUGUUGGGUAGGAUUCGAUCAAUUCCUUGCGUAGGUAGCUUGAUUUUCGAAUUGGAUUUCGGCCGGUUUUGGGAUCUCGAUUCCGGCCACUUCCGGUCAGUUUUUGGGGUACAUCCCAAAACAAAAGUGGUUCUAAAUAGGGUGUUAUACCUAGGGUAGGAACCUUGAACCGUAAUUUUGAGAAUUUUCGGUGAUGCCUAAUCGCUUUGGACACCUACGCUAUGCCUGCGUGUGGGCACUAUAGAAAAAGGGCAUUGUGUCCCGAUGCAAUCCCCUUGUUGUCUUGAGCGCGUAGGUGUGCUCGGAUUUCAAUUUGGAUACCGUUUGAAUCUCGAACGAAUAUCGCAUAUUGUGCGUUAUUCGGGGUCGAUAGGUUUGAACUGUUGGAUAGUCUUAGAUUUAUAAUAUGUUAAUCUAGACAUUCUUAGGAUCGAAUGGGAUUAAACGGAUCGUAAAACGGAGUCCCGGAUACUCCAAAAAUGCCAACCCUAGGGCUAGGUUCCUAGUAACCGUCCGAUCGUGCGAUCGUGAGCGAUCCGACCGUUUGAUCCGAACCAAACUUGCAGGACGUGUAUCCUAAACCUUGUAGAACCCAUAGGAACUUUCGGAUUAGAAUUUGGAGGUCGUGGGCCCCUUGGGCCGUUUGACUAAGUUUGGGUAGUUUGACCCUUGGCUGAUCGUGAGUCUUCAGAGGUCUUGAGCGUUGUUGAGCUAUGUUGACUAGGUUUAGACUUUUAGAGUGUUUAUUAUUAUCAUAGGAAACUAUUAGAUAUUAUUUUAAUAAUUGAAAUUAUCAAAUUUAUGUUUAUGUGCAUGAUUGUUGGUCUAAAAAUAACAUUGUUUUCUUGAUAAAAUUACGUUGCAGUCUACUAUAGACUGGUAUCACUAAAUGGAGAUUACCUCUAUUAUUAGUUUAGAUAAUUAAGAGUAUGUCAGUUUGAAGUGCUAUAUGCACUACCCUAAGUACCACCCUGUGAUUGUUAGGUCCCAUGUGGUGUAGAUUAUACAGCGUCAGGACAGACCCCAUACGUGGCUUUGGAUGUUCUGGCGCAUGGGGGAGAUUAUGUAAUGGUUAGGUCAUACGUGGCGUAGGUUAUUCAGCGUGUUGACAGACCCUAUACGUGGCGUUGGAUGUUCCAGUAUGGAAAGAUUUUGUGAUUGUUAGGUCCCACGUGGCGUAGAUUAUCCGGCGUGAGGACAAACCCCAUUCGUGGCUUUGGAUGUUCCUGCGUAUGGGGGAGAUUAUGUGAUGGUUAGGUCACACGUGGCGUAGGUUAUUCGGCGUGUUGGCUAACCCCAUAAGUGCCGUUGGAUGUAACGACCGGUCCUAAAUAAAUUAGUGAAUAUUAAUUUAUUCAGAGAAAAUACCAUUUUGCCCAUAGAGUAUUUUAUUAGGUUCAAAGUUGACUUUUUGAUCAGAAAGGAAUUUGAGAAUUUCGAUUAUACCGUUGCAUAGAGCACGGCGAGAUGAGUCCGUAGACACGUGGUAUGCUCGAAUCGAAGUUGUAACGAGAGAGAUACGAUCAAAAUACCCUCAGUGGCAUAACCGUAAUUUUGGCAAAAAGGGUCGAUAAAAUCAUAUAUAUAUAUUUUCUCUCUCUCUCUCUCUCUCUCUCUCUCUCUCUCUGCGAUAUUGUCCCUCUCUCUCUUUGAUUCACUGCCAUCUGCCCACGGCAGGACUUGAGACUGGUCACGUUUGAACCGGCUCGAUGUCCCGAUCACGUCGCACCCAAAAUGCAAAUGGAAACCUUGAAUUCCAGCCACGGCUUCGACUGGUUUGAACUGGGUUUUUCCCGGCGUUGCGCCACCGCCUCCGCCGCCCAAUUCCGGUGAAACAGGUAUAAUUCCUCACCUAUUUUUCGAGAUCCAGCUGUUGUUGUGUAGGAAUUAGACGAUUUUCAUGUUUAGGAACUCGAUUUAGAAUUUAGGUUUUGGUCGAAUUUUCAAAGUGAAAUUUCGGCCACUUCCGCUGGUUUUUCGGGGUAUGUCUAAGAACAAAAGUGGUUCCAAAUAGGGUGUUAUACCUAGGGUAGGAACCUUGAGCUGUGAUUUUGAGAAUUUCCGGCGAUGCGUAUUCGCUUUGGACACCCACGCGCCGACAGCGCGUGGGCACUGUAGAAAAGGGGCAUUGUGUCUCAAUGCGAUCUGCUUGUUGUCUUGAGCUCGUAGGUAUGCUCGAAUUUCAAUUUGGAUACUGUUUGAGUCUCGAACGGAUAUCGCAUAGUGUACGUUAUCCGGGUUUGAUAGGUUUGAACCAUUGGAUAGUUUUGAAUUUGAUAUAUGUUAAUCUAGGCAUUUCUAGGAUCAUGUAGGAAUUCAGGGAUCAUGAAUCAGAGCCCCGGAUGUUCCGAUUUAAUAACUUAAAGUUUAUGUUUAUAAUAACUAUCAGAUCGUGCGAUCGUGAGCGAUCCGACUGUCUGAUCUGGACCAAACUUGCAGCACGUAUAUCCUAAACCUUGUGGAACAUAAAAAAAUUUCGGAUUAGAAUUUGGAGGUCGUGGGCCCCGUGGGCCCAUUUAACCAAUUAUGGGUAGUUUGAUCCUUGGUUGACCGUGAGUCUUCCGAGAUAGUUUUACCUUCCUAGGAGGAUUAUAAUGACCCUAGUGAUAGGUCUUGACCGUUGUUCAGCUAUGUUGACUAGGUUGAGACUUCUAGAGUGUUUAUUAUAUUAUUGUAGGAAACUCUUAGAUAUUAUUUUAAUAAUUGAAAUUAUGAAAUUUAUGUUUAUGUGCAUGAUCGUUGGUCUAAAAAUAAUAUUAUUUUCCUGAUAAAAUUACGUUGCAGUCUACUAUAGACUAGUAUCACUAAAGUGGGAAUACCUCUAUUAUUAGUUGAGAUAAUUGGGAGUAUGUCAGUUUGAAAUGUUAUACCCUAAGUACUACUCUAUGAUUGUCAGGUCACCCGUGGCGUAGGAUUUUCCGGUGAGAUGACAGACCCCAUACGUGGCGUUGGAAUUUCCAACGUAUGGAGAGAUUAUAUGAUUGUUAGGUUUCACGUGGCGUAGGAUUUUUCAGCGGGAUGACAAACCCCAUACGUGGCAUUGGAAGUUUCAGCGUAUGGGGAGAUGAUAUGAUUGUUAAGUCACACGUGGCGUAGGUUAUUUGGAGUGCUGACAGACCCCAUACGUGGCGUUGAAAUUUCUGGCGUAUGGAGAGAUGAUAUGAUUGUUAGGUCACUUUGGAUGUUCUAGCGUAUUGGGAGAUUAUGUGAUUACCAGUGAGAUGAAUAAAGGAUUGUUAUGUUAUAUUGGGAAAAACAUGUUUGUAGAAAGAAUUACGUGUGGCUUGAUCCCUCAGUAAGGGUACGUAGGCAGCCUAGGGUAGUGCCUUGGUGCAGUCGCUGACUAAACAUUAUAAUGUUGUUUUUAGGUUUGAUUAUAUGGUAUUAUGGGGCAAGGCCCCUAGGACUAUUGGUGAUAAUUCAUAGAUGGUAGUGGAUGCAUGCUAGAAAUUUGUAGGAAGUUAUUUCAUGUGGAUUGCAGUGGUACUCGUAAAAUUUAUUUGAGUUCCUUAAUUGCAUUGUUAAUAUAUUAAUUUACUUAAGAGUACUGCUAGUAGUUCUGCCUUGAUUUAUUUGAAGGCUGGAGGCCUUGUCUGGAAACUGUGUGCAAUUAGAUUGUGUGUGCUGGCAGUUGACUUUUUAAAUUGUGAAUUUUGUGCAGGUUGAAAUUUGGGAAAUGUUCAAUUUACAGGGGAGACUCUGCUGAAAUUUCGGUAGAAAGUCUUGUGCCCUUAUUCCUUUUUGGGGAAAAGGAUAUAGUUUUAGAAGUGGCGAUGUCGGGAAUUUCCACAGGAUUCGUCUCGGGUUUCGGGAAAUUCGGGGCGGGUCUGAAAAAGUUGUUUCAGUUUUGGCAAGUAUCGGAAAAGACCAAAAUUUUCCGACUUUAUUAUUACUAGAAACAAGGUCGAAGUAUUUACCAAUCAUGUGGCCUUCCAAGUGCUCUAGGUUAAGCCAGGAACCGUUCCUAUCUGCCGUUUCCUUCCCAACUAUGAUCAUGUUGUCUGGGUUCCAACCCACAAAUCUACAUUGGGCUACGUAUUUGAAUUUGUACUAAAGCGUGAUCUAUAGUAUGCAUAUAUUGGAUAAGUUUGAGAUCAGUGGCUUGGGUGUCCGCUGAGCUUGAACAAGUUUGGGUGUGCUGAGUGUUUCCAUGGGUGUGUUGAUGAUCAUGGUUAUUAGAUUUGUGAUAGUUUGGGCUCAAUUUCAACAGAACUCAUCUCAAGCCUAGAUAGUUGAUUCUUAAGUUUAUCAGGAAAAAAAAUUAAAAAUUAAAAAAUCUAAAGUUAAGCCCAAGGCGCCGAACUUGGACUUCUCACCAAACUGUGCAUAAAUUGAAAUAUUUAAUAGAAGCCCAAGAUUUUUGAAGCACAUAAUAUCUACAAAAAUCUACAAAGUGUAAUACUUUACAAACUUCUUAUGUGUACCAAUUUCUGCUCAAAUUAAUUUCUCUGUGGUGCUGAGAUUCAUCAUAAUUUUAGUAGAAAUUGGAAGUUUUCAUCAUUUUUGCUUUAAGUCUCUCCUCCACUCACUAAUAAAGAUUACUCAAGUGAGUUUACAAAACAUUUUUUUUCUACUCUCUCCUGAAGACUACACAUCUUCUCAAAAGAUUAGAUCACUUCACAUCUUGUAUAUGUGAAAACUAAUGCAAAAAGUUGAAACUUUAUCAUAAAACCUCGACAAAAAUUAGCUCUACUUAGAACAUUAAAUUUGGAUUCGUUGAUUUAAAUGGCAAUUUGACACUUCAUAGAAAUUUUUACAUACAUGUGUUAGUGUUUGAUCACUUCACUUAUUACUUACUAUAUUUAUUCCAUGAUUCUCCCUCAAGUUAUGUAAAUAUUAUUAUCAAACAUUUCAAUUCAUUUGUGAUAUUUCUUGUCCAUCUUUCAAUGUACCCUGAAAUCCAUUAGCCACAUAUGAUGACCAAAAUCCACACUCUGUUGUUUGCAAACGUUCAAUAUACGACUUGCAUCCACAGUCCUGACCCAAAUGAAAUGCGGAAACUGUCAAGCUAACUGUAGGGAGGACUAUAUUUGAUUUUACCUUAAAGACUGAUCCGAAACCACCUUCUCCAAGUUUAUUGUUGUUUGAAUAGUUUUUGGUUGCACAAACAACAGCGGCCAAGUCAAAUAAUGGCAAUUCCAGAUCUUCCUUUUGGCCGGGCUUCAGUUCUCCUGUGAAGUACGUAGUGAAGUAAAUAAUGUAGCAUGGAACCUUAGCUUAGAAACCAGAGAGGCAACAGCAAAAAUUUUCUAUAGAACUGAACCUACCUAUCUUAGAAAAUGAAGGGGCAGAAGAGUAGAAAAUCAAAUAGCUUACCAUAUUUUUGUUGCUGGUUCUUCCUCACAUAUAAUAGCAGGGUAAGGCCCAGGGUCAGCAGUCCAGUAGACAACACAGUACUGGUUACUAUGAUCUUUGUAUUGUGUCCUUGAUCUAGGAAUGAAGUAUUUGAAAGCAGAAGAUUGAGGAGUCAGAAAUUCAUAAAGAAAAAAUCUCUACUUUUUAUCAUCCAACGAACAAUUAAUGCUAGUUUCUGAGACAGUUCUAAAGAAAUAUUUUUCUAACAAUGUCAAAAGUUUUCUGGCUCUAUCUUGUUUCUAAUCAUGUCACUGUUGGAAGAUUUCUUUCUUCUUUUUUCCUUGGUGGCUUUUAUUUUUCUUUCAAACUUUGUUUUAAACAGCAAGAUGAUUCCAUACCUAGUUCUGACGAAGCCAUUCUUAUGUAAAUAUCUUGCCCAUUUAUAUUGGAAUAUCUUAUAUCAACCAGAUCGCUGAACCACAGCAAGGACCCCCUUCCUCCAUCUCGGAUAUCCAAAUUUGAAAAAGCGGCGCAGGAGCAGUUGUUCAUGCACAUCAUCUCACAUUCCUUGAGGUUCAUAAUUGUGUUAUACUAGGAUUGUUCUGUACUUUAUUUCACCCCAGUGUACUUCUUAAAGAUGUCUCCACUGCAAUUCAGUUGGCUCUUUCUCACAGAUCUAUAUGACCAAUCCACCAAGUCCCAGUCUUGUUGAAAGUCGGUAUAAAUCCUUUCAAGCAGCUACGUACUGGGGACUUGUCAAUACAACAUGCACCAUUCGGACCACAUAUUCCAUAUUUGUCGCAGAUAUCAGUCGUUGCUCUUAGAUAAACAACCCAACCUUGGUUUCCAUCACUCCCGAUGUAGCUCAGCCCAAAUCCAUCUUGAGUUAACGCCAGCCUGAAAAGAGUUGAGCUGUUGAGAAGCUUAUAACCAUAAUAUACUUCAUCAUCAUUAUCCAACACAAAAUCAUAUGUUGGAUUUAAAUUAUGCAUCCCACUAAAUUGGAUUCCAUUCCAUGGUGCAGUCCGAUAUUUUAUAACAGAACCCUCCCUCAGAAUUAAUUCAUGGUACCCAUAAGGACCAAGUUGAUAUGGGUAAUGUCCUUGAGAAGGAUCCUGGGGGCUUUUCCAGGGUGUAAGAUGCCAAUUAAAACCUGUGAUUUUGUUCCUAACAAGCUUCAUACCUGGUAUUAAUGUAUCUCCUGGGUAAUCAAAACUCUGCCAUAAAAUAUUAUCAGAGUCAUUACGACCAUUGCCAUCUAUCACAACAAGAUUUCCGGAAUCCAAAAUCUGUGCCACUGGAUUCUAUGAAGAACUUGAUGUGUUGGAAGACCUGUAGUGUUCUUUGUUGAAUAUUUGGAUUGCAAAGGGAGCAAGAAAUGUACUGAGAGAGAAAGAGAGAGAGAGAGAGAGAGAGAGAGAGAGAGAGAGAGCAGUGAGCCUUAGAUUGUUCUAACAGUUUUCUUACUCUGCAUGAACAUAGCAGCAGAGCUUAUAUUCCUUCAUGACUGUUACAUGUUCUCUCUUACAUCAGUAGAUUCAAAUCUAACGGUUUGUAAUAGUAAGCCAAUGUGAGUAUGACACAUGGCAAUACACAGCUGUCCUAACAGCUGGGAAUUCAAAACAGACUCUAGCAUUGCACCUGGCAUAUAAGCACAAGGCACUCAGCUAACACAAAGAUUAAAAACAGAUUGAAUAUAAACUGACAUAGAACUUACUAACUAAUCUGAAAUUAGCUAGACAGUUUACAUUUUAACACUCCCUUCUAAAGUGCUAGCUGAUUUCACUCCAAGCAUUCUCCUCAAAUAGUCAAACCUGUCUUUGGGAAGAGCUUUGGUGAAGAUAUCAGCAAUCUGCUCUUCUCCUUUGCAGUAGAGCAGUUCAAUCACUUCUUCUUGUAUUGCAUCUCUAAUAAAAUGAAACUUCCUUUUAAUAUGCUUGCUCCGUUGAUGAAAAACAGGAUUUUUAGCCAUUGCUAUGGCUGAAGUGUUGUCACAAAACACAGUUGUUGCAGUGGUCUGUUCUUCCCCAAAAUCUUCAAGAACAAACCUGAGCCAAAUGGCUUGUGAUGUAGCUUCUGCUGCACUCACAUACUCUGCCUCUGCAGUAGAGAGAGCCACACUGUGUUGUUUGACUGAUGCCCAUGAAAAAGCACCACUUCCAAAUGAAAAUGCAUAUCCAGAAGUGCUUUUCAUAUCUUCCUCAGAUCCACUCCAGUCACUGUCACAGUAACCAACUAAGAGUGCAGAUUUUCCUGUCACAUACUCAAUUCCAUAGUCAAUUGUGCCUUGUAUGUACCUUAGAACCCUUUUAGCUGCCCCAUAGUGCAUCUUAGAAGGGUUAUGCAUGAAUCUUGCAAGCAGGCAGGCAGAGAACAUGAUAUCUGGCCUGGUUGCAGUAAGGUACAGCAGGCUGCCUACAAUUUUUCUGAACAAACUUUCAUCUGCAGCAUCACUUCCAUCCUCUCUUUUCAAUUUAUCAGUAGCCACUAAUGGAGUGCUUACUGACUUGCAGUCUUUGAGUCCAAACUUAUCCAAGAGAGUGAGAGCAUACUUCUUUUGAUGAAUGAAGAUGCUCCCUUCAGUUUGUGUUACUCCCAUACCAAGAAAAUGGUGGAGUAAACCCAAAUCAGACAUCUCAUACUUGCACAUCAUUUCAGCUUUGAAUUCUUUCAUCAUUUCAUCUCUACUUCCUGUGUACACUACGUCAUCUACAUAGAUUGACACUAUUAGUGUUCCCACCUUCCUUUGUUCUCACAUAGAGAGUGGCUUCACUUGGACUUCUGUGAAAACCACACUGAUUCGAGUAGGUGUCAAUUUCACUAUACCAGGCCCUUGGAGCCUGCUUCAACCCAUAGAGGGCUUUUCUUAACCUAUACACCUUAUCCUCAUCAUCUUUAACCACAAAACCAUCCGGUUGAUCAAUAUAAACUUCUUCUUCAAGGACACCAUUUAGGAAGGCUGACUUGACAUCCAAUUGCCAUAGUUUCCAGCCUUUCUGAGCAGCAAGAGCUAUGAGAGUUCUAAUGGUGUCUAACCUUGCUACAGGAGCAAAGGUUUCAUUGAAAUCAAUCCCUGGUUUUUGUGUGUAUCCCUUGGCAACAAGUCUUGCUUUAUGUUUUUGAAUGGAGCCAUCAAGAUUAAGCUUAAUUUUGAAUAUCCACUUCACUCCCACAAUUGGUUUACUACUUGGCCUGUCAACCAAUUCCCAACUGGAGUUUUUCUCUAUCAUAAGUAUCUCCUCAGUCAUAGCCUUCCCCCAAGCUUCAUCUUUGACUGCUUCUUCAAAAUUUUCAGGUUCAAUGAUGCUCAUCUUGCAUUGAGCAUACACUUCACUCAAACUCUUCCAUUUCUUUGGGGUGUUAUCAUAAGUUUCUAAUGGAGCAGAGUCUUGAGUAGCAUGCACAUCAUUACUUGUUUGUGUUUCCAUAGGAGACUGUACAAUCUGUUGCUGUAACAGAUUUGGUUAUGAAUCCAAAUCUGAUACAAUUGAACUUACUCCAUCACCCCAAGACAUAGGGAUUUGCAAUGCCUCAUUGGUUUCCCAAUUCCACAUUGCUUCUUCAUCAAAAAUAACACUCCUAGACAGCUCAAUCUUUUGAGUUCUCAAGUUGAGCACUCUAUACCCCUUUUCACAUACACCAUAUCUUACAAAUACUCCCUUCUCACCUGUGUCUUCCAGCUUGUGCCUUUUCUGUGUGGGGAUGUGAAUAUAGCAUAGAGAACCAAAUAUUCUCAAAUGCUUGACACCUGGUUUUCUUCCACCGAACUUUUCAAAUGGAGUGGAAUUGUCCAGUGCACUUGUAGGACAUCUGUUCUGCAAAUAUACAGCUGUAUUGACAGCUUCUGCCCAAAACUUCAAAGGGAUUUUCUUCUCAUACAUCAUGGCUCUUGCCAUUUCCAUCACAGUACGAUUCUUUCUCUCUGUAACUCCAUUCUGUUGUGGAGAGUAGCCUACUGNNNNNNNNNNNNNNNNNNNNNNNNNNNNNNNNNNNNNNNNNNNNNNNNNNNNNNNNNNNNNNNNNNNNNNNNNNNNNNNNNNNNNNNNNNNNNNNNNNNNNNNNNNNNNNNNNNNNNNNNNNNNNNNNNNNNNNNNNNNNNNNNNNNNNNNNNNNNNNNNNNNNNNNNNNNNNNNNNNNNNNNNNNNGGUGUGGUCAUCAAUGAAGGUGAGGAAAUAUCUGUUCCCUCCAAGAGUGAUGGUCUGCAUUGGACCACAAAUGUCUGAGUGAAUCAGUUCUAGAGGUUGAGUGGCUCUCCAAGCUCCUUCCUUAUCAAAAGAGCUUCUGUGAUUCUUGCUUUCAGCACAACCUGAGCAGACCUUCUCAUGUUCUUGUAAAUUAGGCAUUCCCUGAACCAUAUCUCUCUCUUGUAACAACUUCAAACUAAUAUAGUUUAGGUGCCCAAAUCUUCUGUGCCACAGCCAGGAUGUUUCUCCAACUGUUGCUCUGUUUGCCAUAGGAGGAUUAACAUAGUCAAGAUUUAAAGGAAAACAUUUGUUUCCCUUCAUUGGCACUCUUGCAAUGCAAUCUUCCAACUGCCUAUCUCCAUAGAUAUCAACUGCAUUAUCACCAAAUACAAGCCAAUGCCCAUGUUCUAUCAUUUGACCUACACUUAGCAAAUUUUCAUCUAAACUUGGUACAAUCAUGAUUUCUUUGAUAUAUCUAGUCACACCCUUCAUUUCUAUAGCCAAAGUCCCUUUGCCUAUUAACUGCACUAGAUCACCAGUCCCCAUUUUGACUUUACUCUUCAUACUUUUAUCAACAUUUACAAGUAAUGACUCAUGGGAAGUCAUGUGAUUGCUGCAUGCACUAUCAACAUACCACAUAUUCACAUUCUUUCCAAUUGUUGCAGCAUGACAUGCAUAGAACAUAAUGGCAGGUUCAGUUACCUGAUUUGCAAUGUUAGCAAGUUUCCCUGCCUUGUUUGCUUGGUCACAGUCCUUAACAAAAUGACCAAAUCGAUUGCAGCCAUGACACUUUGGUUUUCCUUUAAACCAACACUCACCAUAGUGUAACUUCUCACAAUGUUUGCAUUUUCCAGAUUUGUCUCCUUGACUUGGUUUUCCCCCUUGAUUGGCACUGUUUUGGGGUUUAGAAUCCCAUUUCUUAUCCUUGGACUUCCAAUUCUUCUUUGAUUUAUUAGAGCCAGAACUAGAACUUGAUUGAGAUCCUUUUGAGUUUAUGCUCAUGCUGCUGAAAGCUUUCUCAGUGGUGCUUUCUGCAUGUCUGUCAAGGCGCUGAGCAAAACCUCUUAAUGCUGCAAUUACCUCCUGCACUUCAAUGGUUUCAAUGUCUCUAGUUUGCUCAAUCACAUAGCAGACUGGAUCAAAUUCCUUGGUUAAGCUUAUUAGCAGUUUUUGAACUAUCCUCCCUUUGGUCAGAUCUUCCCCAUAUCCCUUCAUCUGAUUUACAAGCUCAAGUAACCGAGUGAUGUAUCCAGACAAGAUCUCAUCAUCCUUCAUCCUGGUGUACUCAAAAUCUCGACGCAGACCCUGCAACAUGAUGGAUCUGACUUGCUUAUCACCAUGAAACUCCUGAUGCAAGAUAUCCCAAACACCUUUUGAGGUUUCUUCAUUUGAGAUUCUGGGAAAGAUGUCAUCUGAAACAGCACCUUGGAUAAUACCAAGAGCCUUAGCAUCUUUCAUCAACAAGGACACCAUCUCUGAAUCUGAUGACCCUUCUUUAUCAGCUUUUGAAUCUGGAACUUGAAGGCCUUUCUCAACCAAAUUCCAGAUUCCAUGAGAUUUGAAAAUUGUUCUCAUUCGAAUCUUCCAAAACUCAUAGUUCUCCCCAUUGAAUAUUGGAGCUCUAAGAUCACUCCCUCCUGACCCAGCCAUCUGAGACCAGACUCAAUGAGUUGAGAGUAGGAAAUUUCCCGUUGGAUUUCCAGACUCAGCUCCCACAGCUUCAACGCCCUCUAUCCAGAUCCAACCUGCGCACCUGAUACCAUGUUGAAUAUUUGGAUUGCAAAGGGAGCAAGAAAUGUACUGAGAGAGAGAGAGAGAGAGAGAGAGAGAGAGAGAGAGCAGUGAGCCUUAGAUUGUUCUAACAGUUUUCUUACUCUGCAUGAACAUAGCAGCAGAGCUUAUAUUCCUUCAUGACUGUUACAUGUUCUCUCUUACAUCAGUAGAUUCAAAUCUAACGGUUUGUAAUAGUAAGCCAAUGUGAGUAUGACACAUGGCAAUACACAGCUGUCCUAACAGCUGGGAAUUCAAAACAGACUCUAGCAUUGCACCUGGCAUAUAAGCACAAGGCACUCAGCUAACACAAAGAUUAAAAACAGAUUGAAUAUAAACUGACAUAGAACUUACUAACUAAUCUGAAAUUAGCUAGACAGUUCACAUUUUAACAUUCUUAUGGUCGGCAGGGACAAGAAUUCCAGGGCUGCUCAACUUGAAUACACCUGAUGAACCAGUGAGGGGUGUGUUUCUUUUAGUCUGCACUAUAUAUGCAGGGUCUGACUCUAAUUAGAAGAUAAUUGUAUUAAUUUGGUAAAGCUUUGUCUGUAACUGUCUCGCACCUUAAAAAAAUUUCACAAUUAGCAGCAUUGGCAAUACUUGAUUAGAAAGCAGAAACCCUACAGUAUAUAGUUAAGUUGAGUAGCUGGGAAGACAAUUAGUAAGCUUUCAAUACUAAAGUUGAAUAUUGGGGAGACAAAUUACUAGAGCUUCAAGUUCAGAUAAAUAGGAUGAAUUUCUCUUAAGGGAUCCCCUUUCACUGUAGCUUGGAGUAGAAUUCAUUUUGACACAAUAUCAAUUAUCAAUGUAAACACGUUACUGAUGCACUAUUGACAAUAUCGAUGCACGUCAUAUCAUAUUUGUGGGAGUAAAUUUCCUCACGAGAAUAUUUGGUUCAAAAGAUUCCCCUUUUUUUUUUUUUUGCCGCCUCUUUCUCCUUGCAAAAUAGAACAAAUAAGAGGACCACACCCGGGGGGUGUUGGCCAAAGGCCCUCCGAUGCUAAAUUAGUUCAAGUAUUUGUAAGAAAAAUACUAGCUAACUAGGGUACAGAGGUGUAUUUAAGGUGUAAACCGGGCAGCCGAAGUCUUAUGUAAAAGAGAGAGAGAAAGGAGGUGGCUAGCGUUUGAGAGGAAUUUUCUGCAGAGUUUUUAGUAGAGAUUUCAGACGUACCUCAACCAUUGUGUGUGGCCAUCUUUUUAUAGUGGUCUUGGAGGCUAGGGUUUCAGAGGAAUAAUUCCGUAGAUGGAAAGGAAUUAUUCCUCCCCUAUUUGGAAUUGAUUUGAUUAAUUAGGGAUUUGAUUUAUUAGGGUAAAUCAAAUCCCUAAUUGUGGUAGGUAUCAAAUCAAAUCCUUUUUUAAUUAGGUAACUCCUCAUUUAAUUGGGAAUUGUGGUAGGAAUCAAAUCAAUUCUCAACCUAAUUAGGUAACGUUCAAUUUAAUUGGGUAAUUCCCAAUUAAAUUGAGUAACUCCCAAUUAGGUUGAUUAAUUCCCAAUUAGAUCAAAUAAUCCCCUAAUUGAAGGAAUUAUUUGACCUAGGGUCUGAUUUAAUUCGAUUCCCACAAAUGCCCCCCAGCUUCUGCAUGGUGCAUGGUGGCACGUAGGAGAUGUAAAUUAUCUGUUGGGCUGUCCAGCUGUAACUGGGCUUCCUUCGUGGACCUGGGCUCCCGAGUAGAGGAGGUGUUUGACUUGCCAAUUUUAUGAACACCCAAUUGGAAAGGGUUUGAGAUUCCUUGUAGGUCAAGGAAUUUUGCUCCUUAUAAAUGUAGGGCUCCUCCAAAUUAUUCUCGACAUCAGAAAUCUACUCCUCCAAAUUUGUUAGUGAGAGAGAGAAGACUUUGGAGAAUUUUUCAGCGUGCUUGAGACUUCAUCUUUGCAGCCCAUCCAAGGUAAUUUGAUAGGAAGAAUUUUAUUUUGAGUUGCUAUGACUUUUGGCAGCAAGCUGUGAGACUAAGGGCAUGUCUUGAGGUGCGCGCUAGGGCUUUAGGCAUGGCAAGAGACUCGGAAAGGCUAGCAGGUUCGUUUCCACCUACGCUGGGCUCAAGGAGAAGGCAACAGGGCUUCAGGCCUUGUGGAUGAAGUGGGCUUUCGCUGGGAGCAAGAGGCCUGGAGCUGAGGCAAGGAGACAAUGGGCCUGGUACGAGGUGUGGGCUGAGCAUGCCAGCUUUGGAGCAAGGGGGCCAGGACGACUGCUGGGCAGGAGGUGCGCUGGGCUGCAUGCGCGAGCUGCGCCGAGUGCUGGCUGGAGGAGCGAGCUGGGCUGCGCGCUAGGCCAUUCAUGCUGGGCUACUUCCGUUUUUUUUUUGUUUUUUUUUAAAUUUUAUUUGCUGUUGCUGCUUUUUUUUUUGUUUUUUUGUUUUUUUUUUGUUUGGUAUUCUAACUCGUAAUUUUUUUUUUCUUCUUACAGCUACUUGUUGAUCAACCAUGUCUUCCGGAGAUGGUAGCAAGGCUCCAAGCUCUUAGGUCCUUUUGUAUUUAUGGGGAGGCUCCAUAGUGCAUGGCAAGAAGUUUGUGGUCAACUUGCAUCGCGUCACGACUUAUGCUCAGUUCCAGAAGUGGCGGGCCACUUAUGCGUCUGCCAUUCCAGAUGACGUGCUGGUCAAGCUAUUGAAAUCUCAAACUGAUAACGAGCCUUUGGUGGACGUGAGUGAUCAUGAUGCUAGGAUCAUUACCUUCCGUCCUUUUUACUUCUCUUUAGGCUUCAAAUUCCCGUUGUCAAAGCUCUUCAAGAAGGUGUUCUGUGCCAUGGGGUGUGCUCCGAGCCACUGUACUCAUGUGCUUCAAGAAUUUGAGUCGUUUCUUCAUGUUGGAGCUGACGAUGCGAGAGUUCUUUUAUUUUUUUCGAAGUGAGGCACUUUGAGCGGUACGCCCAAGUUCGUAUCUACAAGGCCAAGCUGUUCCACGGUCUCAGUCAAGGAGAUCACGCUUGACAUGAAGAUGUGUUGGAGGUCAGCAGACGGUGGGAGGGUGACGUCGGUGACGGCCCACCUGUUCCCAUCACCUAUUGUGAUGGUAUGUCUCUUUACGAUUUUUGAUAUGCUCCUUUUAUUUGAAUUUCUUGAAGUGUGGCAGACUAACUUCUAUCUUCUGCUCGUAGUGAGUGACAUUAGCAAGCAAUUGGAGCUCCGACCAGACAUGGCUAAGGUCCGUCGUGCUUUGAACAUCCCUCUAAGGUUUCACGAGUGGCGCUGGCUGUUGAGUGAGUACCGGGAGGAAGACGGUGGUUUUCUCCUUGCCGAGGAUGUCGAAAGGUGGAAGCAGAACGAUCCUGACCCUGAUGAUCUGCUUGGCAGACAGGAAGAAUGUUCUGCUUAAUCGCUCUUAAAGAGAAAGGCUGCUGCCAAAUCUUUGAGAUGUGAAGCUACUUCUUCGCAUGCAAAGGAUGGGUCUCCAUCGAGGAAGAAACCAAGGCUCCCUUCUGCUGAGAAGACUCAAGUGGGGUCUGCUCCCUCAUCAUCUGCCAGGGUUAAGCAUCUCGUGGGUGCAGAUAGCAAGAAGGUUGGUGGUAUGCAUGGUACUCGGGGUGUUCUGCCCAAGCUUCCUGCUGACACGCUCGAAAACCAUGAUAUACUUCGUGAAGUGGCUCGUGCCCAACCUAGUUCUGCCAAGCGUCAAAGAGAUGUAGACAUUCCUCCUAGAAGUUCGAGUUGUCUGCAUCGGUCAAAAGAUGGAGACCGAAGCGGGAGGUCUGCUUAUGAUCCAGCAUUAUUGACUCAUUUGGAGAUGAGGUUGGCGAAGGCUAAGAAGGUGAAAGAGUCAUCUGCCCGGGUUAAGGGUUCUUCCUCGGCGUUGGUAGUUGGUCCCAAGAUGAACAAGUCUAGCUCUGUAGGGGAUGCAUGCGUAUCUGAUCUGCUCAAGAUGAACUUCCUAUCAAACCCGUCCUCUUGUGUUGAGUUGGUUGAUCACAUCCCUCAAGCGGGCGAUCUAGGCACUUUCUCGUGCCUUUCCUUAGAAAAAUGAAGGAAAAUGACAUUCCAUCUGAUUCAAAAAGGACUGGUUUUUGCUACUGAGACUAUUUGGAACUCAUCUGCUAUUGCCCCUCUUCUGUCCAACUCAGCGAGUUGGAGAAGAAGAAUGCUGAUUGGCUAGACAGCUUUCCGCCGAGCAGGCCCGUUACGAGAAGAAGAUGUCUGAUUUGAGGGCGAUGAUAUCUGAGCUGAAAAGCUCCCUUACCGAGAAGGAUUUCGAGCUCAACUCUUCUGCUGCUGAUUUGGCUAGUCGAAAAGAUACCUUCUUUCGUCUUGAGCAUAAGAAUGCUGACAUCUUCCUUAGCUAUAACAAACUCCUGGCUAGAUUUCAUGCCUACCAUAAGUCUGCUAAAGAAUCCAAGACAGAUGGAGCUGCUGAAGGCGUAGCCGGUCAGGUGGAUGCCGAAGAGGCUGCAGCUUAAAAGUCUUCUGCUGGCGUCUCAGAGUAGAUGAAGACUCUUUUUUGUUUCUUUUCAGCUUUUGUAGUUUGCUUUAUUGUUUAGAAUAACUGGUCUUAUUUGACCAUCUUCUUUUUGUUGAACUUGGCUGGUUGGUCUGUUUGUUAGGGAAAUUUCAGUUACAUUUUCCAACUUCAAUUUGCAUAUUUGACUUGUGAACUGCUUAAGUAACCAGCCUGUGUUUUGAUUGCACAUCCCCCUUUAGAGAUUUGUGAGUACCAGGGUCCCCCUUGGAGGACUCCGGCCAUGCACAGUAUAUCUCGUAGGAUGGUUCCCCUUAGGAAGUUGGCGAGUACCAGGGUCCUCUUUGAGAGACUCCGGGUGUGUUCUGCACAUCCCGUAUGAUGCCUUAAUCGUCGCCUUGCUUCUCCCGUAGGACGCUGCUUAUAGGCAACUAUAUGACUAUCCUGCCUUUCUUAGGAAACGGAUAGGAACCUGGAUAUUUCCCGCAUGAAGCAUGGAGACCUCCUUUUAAGAAAUUUUUGGUGCACCAUGCUUCUCCCUUAGGACGCUUUUUUCGCAGGCUGGGUCUCCAAAUGGACGCUUUUAGUCGUUGCCCUGCGUCUCCCUUAGGACGCUCCUUAUGGGCAACUGUGUGACUAUCCUGCCUCCCUUAGGAAAUGGAUAAGACUUGAAUAUUUCCCGCAGUAAGCAUGGCGACCCCCUUUUAAGAAACUCCUGGCGUACCCUGCAUCUCCCUUAGGAUGCUUUUUAAGAGGGCUGCUUCUCCAAACGGACGCUUUUAGUCGUUGCCUAUGUCUCCCCUAGGAUGCUCCUUAUGGGCAACUGUGUGACUAUCCUGCCUCCCUUAGGAAACAGAUAGGAAACUAGAUAUCUCCCUUAGGAAAUUCCUAGCGCACCUUGCGUCUCCCGAAGGACGCUUUUUUAGCUGGCUACGUCCCGAAACGGACACUUUUAGUCGUCGCCCUGCGUCUCCCUUAGAAUGCGCCUUAUAGGCAACUGUGUGACUAUCCUGCCUCCCUUAGGAAACGGAUAGGAACCUGGAUAUCUCUCUUAGGAAAUUCCUGGGGCACCUUGCGUCUCCCGAAGGACGCUGCUUAUGGGAAAAUAUUGUGUUUCGUGGGCAGAUGAGACAUUUUGGAAUGAGAAACUGAACUUAUAUUGAUAUUCAUAAGAUUACAGUCCUUUAUUUGAAAAUGGAAAUAACUUGGUUCAAAAACUUAGAACUUCUAGCAGCUACGAGGAAGCACUAUGGAUAAUACUUUCGGAGAUGGUGAGCAUUCCAUUGUCGUGGUAUUUCCUUCCUAUCCAUGGUGUCCAGUGUGUUGCUUCCUCUGCCCCGGACCUGCUGAUCACAUAAACGCCCUCCCAGUUAGGAUUCACUUUUUUUGACCCGUGUCUUGGUGCAGUAAUGAAAGCCUUAGCACGAGGUCGCCUGGUUGAAACUGUUUGACCUUAGCUCUUUUGUCGUAGUAAGACUUCAACUGCUAGUGAUAGGAGGCGACCCGAAUAAUGGUCUUCUCACGCCUGCCCUCAAGUAAGUUGAGGUUGAGCCUCAUCUGCUCGGAGUUCUGAUCAACACUGCCUACCUUAAGACUUAUAGAGAGGACAGUGAUGUGAGGUGGUAUGAUCACUUCUGUUCCAUAGGCGAGAGAGAAUGGGGUUUCACCAGUCGAUCUUCGCUUGGUGGUGUGAUAAACCCAUGGUACUCUGGGGAGUUCAUCCACUCAUUUCCCUUCAGCGCCUUCCAGCCUUUUCUUUAAGCAGUCCAAUAUGACUUUGUUGGAUGCCUUGGCUUGUCCAUUUCCUUGUGGAUACCUCGGGGUGGACAAGUGUUGUUUGAUCUUGUAUUUCACAAAAAAAGCGGUGAUCUGCUUGCCAAUGAACUGUGAGCCAUUGUCGGUAACCAACGACUGUGGGCAGCCAAACCGGCAUAUGAUGUUUCUCCAGAUGAAUCACUCCACAUCGGCUUCUUUAGUAAAUGAUAGAGCUUCGGCCUCGAUUCAUUUAGUAAAGUAGUCGGUGGGGACGAUCAUCAUUUCUUUCUUGGCGGGCGCUAGUGGCAAGGGAUCCACUAGGUCGAUGGCCCAUUGCAUGAACAGCCAUGGACUGUUUUGCGGAUGAUAGACUUCGGCAGGCAAGUUAGGGAUCGGCUUGUAUUGCUGACAGCGUCACAUUUCUUGGCACAUUCAGCACAGUCGUGACGUAUGGUAGGCCAGAAGUAGCCUAUGUUUAGAACUUUCUGGGCGAGUGACCUGCCCCAGAAUGGUUGCCAUACUCGUCGUCGUGAAUUUUACAGAUAAUCUCAAGUGUUUGAUGGUACUUUAUGCAGGUGAGAUGAAGGCCGGAGUAUGAUCUGUGGAUGAGCUUGUUGCCGUGCAUGUAGUAUCUCUCGGCCUUUUGCUGGACUUUUCUAGCUUCGGACUUGUCCGUUGGCAGGUUUCCAUUCGUGAAAUAGUCGAUGAUGAGGUCUUGCUAGCUGGGGUCCUCGUCAAUCUGCAUGGUAUUAAUCGGCUCUAUUUCUUCAAUGCUUGGUCGGUCAAGGUGUUCGACCUAGAUGGAGUGUUUGAACUGGGUAUCCAGCGUUGAACCUUGGCUUGCCAGUGCGUCUGCAUGCGCGUUCUUUGCCCGGGACACUUGUUGGAUAGUGAAGGUAGGAAAUGCCUUCAACAGCUCUUGGACUCUAUCAAGGUAUAAGAUCAUCCUUGGGUGCUUUGCCAUAUAUUCACCUGAGGCUUGAUUCGUGAUCAACUGUGAGUUUGAGUAGAUGGCUAGCUUUUUGAUUGCGAGCUCCUUUGCCAAGCGUAAGUCGGCGAGUAAUGCCUCGUAUUCUACCUCGUUGUUCGAGACCGAGAAGCCAAGCGUAAUAGCUUGCUCUAACAGGGUUCUAUCCAGGGUGGUGAUAACGACCCCUGCUCCAGCUCCUUUUUGGUUCGACGCUCCGUCUACACGCAACUGCCACAUGUCUCUGGGAUGGCUUGGUUCUGCGGAGGUCCUGUCUGCUUUUGAACUUCCCUCCUUUUGGUUGACUAACUUCUCUUUUUUGGCUGAUGGGGUGAAUUCUGCGACGAAGUAUGCUAAAGCCUGGGCUUUUAUUGCAGUUUUUGGCCCGUAGAGGAGGUCAUAUUGGCUUAGCUCUAUAGCCCACUUCAUGAGUCGCUGAGAAGCAUCAGGGCUGUGGAGGAUUGAUCUCAAAAGAAAGUCAGUCAUGACUAUGACUCGAUGAGCUUAGUAGUAGGGUCGCAGCUUUCUCGCAGAAACUACAAGAGCCAAAAUAAGUUUCUCCAAUUUCGGGUAACGAGUCUCUGCAUCGAGGAGAGCUUUUGACGUGUAGAAUACCGGAUAUUGGGCCCCUAUCUCUUCUCGGAUGAGAGCUGAACUGACAGCUGAGUUGGACUUACCUCACUAGGGACUGGAUUUGAGAGCAUGGAAGGUGAGGUGAGGUAAGUCUUCAGAUUAUGGAAAGCUACUUUGCAGUCCUCAUCCCAUUUCUCUCUUUGUCCUUUCUUCAAAGCUUUGAAGAGUGGUCUGCACUUGUCGGUUGAUCUCGAGAGGAAUCGGUUGAGAACCGCUGCUUUGUCCGUCAGACUUUAUAUCUCUUUCACCGUGGAAGGCGACUUCAUCUCUAGAAUGGCUUUGAUUUGACGUGGAUGUGCCUCGACACCUCGUUGCGUGGCUAGGUAUCCCAAGAAUCGGCCGGAGGAUACACCAAACAGGCAUUUACUUGGAUUCAACUUCAUGCGAUACUGGCGGAGCAAGCUGAAUGAUUGGGUAAGACUUCCGAUGUGAUCUGCACGUUUUGGGGCUUUGACCAGCAUGUCAUCCACGUAGACCUUCAUAGUUUUGCCGAUCUGCUUAUUGAAGAUUUUAUUCCCGAGCCUUUGAUAGGUUGCUUUGGCGUUCUUCAGCCCAAAGGGCAUGACCUUAUAGCAGCAGGUCCCUCUCUCGAUGAUGAAAAAAGUUUUUGCCUUGUCAUCCUCGUGCAUCAGGAUUUGUUUAUAGCUGGACUAGGCGUCCAUGAAGCUAAGCAGUUGAUUGCCAGAAGUGGAAUCCACGAGUUGGUCGAUUCUCGGCAAUGAGAAGUUGUCUUUAGGGCAUGCUUUGUUGAGGUCUGUGUAAUCGACACAAACUCUCCAUUUGCCAUUUUCUUGUUUUGCCACCAAAACAACGUUGGCAAGCCACUCUGAGUAGGAGGCCUCUUCGAUGAAGCCGACAGCUAGGAGUUUGUCAAUCUCGGCCUCGAUGAUAGCAAGUCGCUGGGGUGCGAAGUUGCGUCUCUUCUGCGCCACUGGCUUGCAGGCAGGGUUGAAGUGGAGUCAGUGACAGAUGAUGUUCUUGUCGAUGCCAGACUUGUCUGACGGCAACCAUGCGAACAUGUCUCUGUUGCUCUGGAGGAAGGUGGUAAGCUCCACAUUCUCUUCUGGCCUUAGGCGCGAACCGAUCCACUCUUUCCUAUCUGGUUGGUCAGGAUCCAAGGGUAUUAACUCGACGUCCUCCUUGGGUUUCCAUCCUUCUUCAGGAAAGACCUAUGGACGGAUUUCCUCGACUUGGUCCUGACGCUUUAAUUGCUAUAAGAUAGCAAGAUCCAGUUGCUCAACCUCCUCCAGAUCUGCCUGGCUCACAGGGAGAAACUGCGCUUGUUUACCUUUCUUUAGCCCUUGGGCGGAGCAUUUCCUCGCCAUUGCCUAAUCGUUGUUGAUUUGGCCGACACCGCCCCCAAGGAUUGGGUACCGAAUUUUCUAAUGUGUGGCGGAGGUGAUUGCAUUAAUUUUGCCAAUCGAUGGUCUGCCCAGAAUGCCGUUGUAGGGUAAGACCUUAUUAAUGACCAUGAAGGUUAUGAGCUGAUUAUAAGUGGGGAGUAGACGUCGAGGUCUAUCAUGCCCACGGUAACCGUUGUUGCACCAUUAAAAUCGCUCAGCAACCUAGCUAAUUUGUAAAUCUUUGUCUCCAAUCCCAUCUGUUGAAUGACCUCCAGUUGCAGGAUAUUGGCUGCGCUGCCCUCGUCUGUGUGGAUUCAGUCUACCAUGACCUGAGCAAUUUGAAUGCUGAUGACAAGGGCUUCGUUAUGUGGCAUGUAGAGGCCGAUCAGAUCUUUCUUUUGGAAGCCGAUUACAGGAUCGUCUUCUGCUGGUGGAAGGUCGGUCGAGAUUUGGGAGAUCACAGUGGUCUGUUUGAUCUUCCUCUUUUUUUCCUUUCUGGUCAGCCCAGACUCCUCGGAGUCAGCUAGGAUUGUGUUAAUUCUUAUGACCUUCUGAGGCGGCUCCUUGGCGAUGUCACGAUCUUCUAUCCGCUGGAUGACCUUCUUUGCAAUGAAUUCUGUGCAGUGACCUUCUCUCACGAGUUCUUCAAGAUGUGCUUUCCAAGCGAAGCAGUUGUUCAUAGUGUGUCCGUGCAUUUCAUGGACGGCACAGUAUUUGCUAGUAUUCCUUUUGUCCGGAUCUUCUUUCAAGGGUGGUGGUCUUCUUACCCAAGGUUGUUCUUCACUUGGGCUAAGAUUUGAUGUAUGGAGAUGGUGAACUUGGUGUAGUUCUCUCCUGCCGUAGCAUCCCCUUAUGGGUGCGACCUGCGCUUGUCCUUGUCCCUGUUGCUAAAUCCGUCGCUUCUUUGGCCUGCCCCCUUAGUCGGCUGAUCUUCCUGCUUAGUAGAGUUCUUUGCGGCGAUUCGAUCGUCAUCCCAAAGCGCAUAGCUUUCCGCGGUCUCGUAGACCUCUGCCAAAGUUUGGCUGGGAGUGAUGGUCAGCUCGUGGUACAAGUCGUGCUCAGUCGAAAGGUCUUUCUUGAAAGCAGAGGACGCAAUUUGGUCAUCACAUCCUACAAUGUUGGCCUUUUCUACUUUGAAUCUCUUGAUGUAAUCUCUAAAGGAUUCGUCGAACUUCUUGCGCAGGUUAUACAGGUGGUCAGGGUUCUUCUUGAUUGUUCGGUAAGAGGUGUAUUCUUUGGUGAAUAAGUAAGUCAGCUCCUUGAAGCUGCUGAUCGACCUGGAUGGCAGAGUAUGGAACGAGUCUUGGGCUUCCUCACAAGGUCAUUGCAAACACCUUGCACAUCAGCGCGUCGUCAACCUUGUGGAGGAUCAUGACACUUUUGAAGUGUUUUAGAUGGCUCUCAGGAUCGGAAUCCCCCUUGAAGUGUGUGAAUGUGGGCGUUGAGAAUCGCUUCAGGAGAGCAGCCUGCUCGAUUUUGGCAGUGAAAGGUGUAGAGUAUGCCUGGUCUACCUCAUUUCGUACAUCUUCGAAAUUUCCACCGGUCUUCAAGUCUCGAAGUUGGUCAUUCACAAGCUUCUCUACGUCUUCCGCACACAUUGCUUGUCGGCCACAUUGGCGACCUUCACGAAUUGUUCGAUGCUGACUGACUUCCUCGUUGAUUUCCGAGGAUCGACCUUCUUGUCUGCAUUGCCUAGGUGGAGUGUUGGUGGAUUGCGCCUACGAAAGAUUCUCUGUGGCUUGUCAAUGAGAAUCGGUUCUUCGAGAGUGAGUAACGAAGUGCCUUUCCUCAUGGUCCUUAUUGUGAGGGUUAUCCAGCUGACCUCCCUGGGGCCUAGCCUUUCCUGAAUGCUUCUCUGCGAGUAGACAGUUGAAUGCUUUUCUUCACGAUCCUCGUUGUGAUGGUUGUUUGGCUGACCUCCUUAGGGUCUUAGCCUUUGAUGUACAUUUCCCUGCCUGCCCAAGUAGGUGCGGACGUCGAGUCGUGGGCCCAGCCUUUCGUGCACGUCGUUCCUUAAACUCAAUCUGCUCUGAGUGUGGCUUGCAGAUGCUUGCGACAUGUCGGCAGGUCGAUCACGUUGUUGUCCCUCGACUUGUCUGCCCACUCUUGCUUGACCUGCUUGGUACUCGUUGAGCUGUCUACCGGCCCGUUCAUCCUUCCUUCUUUCCUCGCCUGGUUGUCCAAGGCCAAGGUUUUGAGCAAAGCUUAUUUGGUUGAGGAGCUGCCUCAUUAGAUUGUUUUGGUCGUCCAUUCUUUAAGCUAGCUGGUCAACUCUCAGAUUAAGGUCUGCUUGAUUUCAUGGAUCAGGAGGAGAGAAGUGUGUGGAGCUCAACUGCACAUAGGCUAGGGUUUCAUUAGAGGUGUAUGCGGGAGCGUGUGUCGAGCGUGGAGGCAAUAGAGGGAAUGCUUGGAGUUGCUCCAAGACCGGCCCUAGGUCGGCGGUGGUAACGAGUCCACCUUGAUGGGAAGUUCCACCAUGUUUGGCGGCAGUGACCGAUGCAGUGGUGAGAGGUGGUGGUGCCACCAUGUCGAUCGCGGGAUCGUUGGUGGAGUGGCUUUGGGCCGUCGCAAAUCUAGCCAUCAUGGCGGCUUUGCCUCUCGUGUUCAUGCUUCCAACCAUGGUUGUUUGGAAGGCUUAGGUGGAUUGGAAAAUUAGAGGAACGGAUUCCUUGAGCACGCAUUGAGUAUAACUCGUGCUCUCAAUGAAAGCACCAAUUUGUGGGAGCAAAUUUCCCCACGAGAAUAUUCGGUUCGAAAGAUUCCCCUUUCUUAUUCGCCGCCUCUUUCUCCUCGCAAAAUAGAACAAAUAAGAGGACCACACCCGAGGGGUGUUGGCCAAAGGCCCUCCGAUGCCUAAAUUAGUUCAAGUAUUUGUAAGAAAAACACUAGCUAACUAGGGUAUGGAGAUGUGUUUAAGGUGUAAACCGGGCGGCCGGAACCUUAUGUAAAAGAGAGAGAGAAAUGAGGUGGCUAGGGUUUGAGAGGAAUUUUCUGCAGAGUUUUUAGUAGAGAUUUCAGACGUACCUCAACCAUUGUGUGUGGCCAUCUUUUUAUAGUGGUCUUGGAGGCUAGAGUUUCAGAGAAAUAAUUUCGUAGAUGGAAAGGAAUUAUUCCUCCCCUAUUUAGAAUUGAUUUGAUUAAUUACGGAUUUGAUUUAUUAGGGUAAAUCAAAUCCCUAAUUGUGGUAAGUAUCAAAUCAAAUCCUUUUUUAAUUAGGUAACUGCUCAUUUAAUUGACAAUUGUGGUAGGAAUCAAAUCAAUUCUCAACCUAAUUGGUAACGUUCAAUUUAAUUGGGUAAUUCCCAAUUAAAUUGAGUAACUCCCAAUUAGGUUGAUUAAUUCACACUUAGAUCAAAUAAUCCCCAAAUGGAAAGAAUUAUUUGACCUAAGGUAUGAUUUAAUUCGAUUCCCACAAUAUUUAGAUGCAUAAUUGAAUGCGAAUAAACAUCACUCUCUCCAGUGUGAAAUGGCGAAAAUUCUCUUCAAUCAAAAGUGGGCUUACUUCAAAUUUAGUUGAAGAAUGAUGGUGUGUCUUGCCUGACAAUUGACAAUUAGGUUUAGGAGCGUUCCUCUAGUAGAAAAAUCUAAAUCAUUUGUGGUCAUCCACUCACUUGGUUAGUCUUCCAGAAUCAAAUACCAAAUCAACCCAAAGGAAGCUGCAAUUUUCUGAAUUGUAUACUUGUUUUAAUUCUUCCUAUCUUUUUCUCUCUUUCAUUUUUUUUGUCUCCCUCAAGUUAAUACUUAAGUGAGUUGCCAAAUGGGGGUAAAAAAGAGAGUAGAAGAGAUGAACCCCACAUUUGACUUUAAUAGACAAAUGCCCAAGAGAAGUACCAGUAAGAGCAUCUCCAAUUGGGAGGUGCUAUCCUAUAAUUUGACACACAUUUCUUUUUUCUUUUUUUUCAAUUCUAACAACAUGUCAUCUAUAUCGCAAUAGGCCGUUGUAGUUAAAUUUUCAAAUAACCAAGUUGCUCUCUAUUUUCCAAAGAAGACUAGAAAACAACUUACCAUCUAUCUGGUGCUGCUUCUUCCAAACAUUAGAAAAAACAGAGCUACACCCAGGAGGAGCCCAGGAGAUGACACAAUACUGCCUACUAUGAUUCUUACUUUCUUCACAUUCAAUGAGACUAUAAAAUAUAACCCAAGUGGUCUAACCCCCCAGGGCGGAAAUUGGGUUUAGCAAGUUUAGCACUGAUUGUUGUAUAGUCUUAAACAGUCCUGAUCUCUUGGACCCCUGUAGUCCAAGAGAUUUAUGGUCACCCACCGUUGGAUGUAAAUUCAACGGUUGACUUGAAUCGGGUAAUAAUAAUUUAUGUCAUAUUGCAUUUAUAUAUAUCAUUUUGAACCAUUGGAUUAAUAUCCAACGGUGGGUGACCACAAUCUCUUGGACUCCUGUGGUCCAAGAGAUCGGGACUGUAGUCUUAAAAUAAGUAGUUUAGCGAGUGCAAACUUCGACUUAAAAAAACUCUCAUGUAUAGCCGCGCGGCUAUACUAUUUACAUAUAAAUAUAUAAAAAAGCACCCCCUAGUCACGUGUCACAAAUAGUAUAGUCGAAAACAGUAGAGCCGCGCGGCUAUACUGUUUUUAAAAUAAAAAAAACCAUAUUCGAUUCUCCUUAUAUUUAAAAGGGGUAUAGCCGCAUGGCGAUACUAAUUUUUUUUUUUCAAAAAAAGGGACCCCAGUACUCCUUUUAUAUAUUAUAAUAUAUUGUCUAAUAUUUGGAAUAUUUACUCUAAAAUAAACAAUAUAUUAGGUUCUUUUUGUCUACAAAUUGACCAUUAAACUUCUUAAUCACUCUUAUACUUUCAAUUAAAUCUACUAGGCUAGGUUAUGAUAUUUUCACUAAAAAACUCCUCCUUUUUUUCUUCUCUUUCUCUUCCUGUUUUGUUUAACUUAAGCUUAAGUUUUGUAAUUUUUUUUCCCGCCCUUUUUACAUGUUUGAGUAGGGUACUUUAAUAUUGGGAUUUAUGAACUUUUUUUGUAUUUCUUCUUUAUAUUGGAAUAUAAAUUAUUAACUUUUGAGUCUUUAAUAGUGUAGAUGAUGAGAUUAUUAUUCAACCAUUUUAUAAUAUGAAAUGAAGGACAAUCAUGAUUGUGAUGAAUGGAUUAUUAAUCAAUAUGAAAUGAUAUUAUGAAGUGGGCUAAAUCGAGUAGUUAGUAUCGUAUUGUUGAGACCCAAAAAAUCCAAGGCUAGGCCCAAAUAUAUUAUGAAGUGGGCUAAAUCGAGUAGUUAGUAUCGUAUUGUUGAGACCCAAAAAAUUCAAGGCUAGGCCCAAAUAUAUUUCCGGUCCAAUGCGAUACCUUACCGAGAAGAAACCUUAUUUGGGCACGCGAAAGUUCGUCAUAUGCUCUUGCACACAUGCCAUGCCAAGCAAAUAAGCAACAUGCCACGCUACAAGCUUAAGUGGGCCCAAGCCACGUGAAUGCCUAGGGCCUGCUGAGUGGGUUGUGGUAUGGAUGGUUAUGAGUAUUCACGAGGCCCAUUGAUGGUCUAAGGAGUGGAAGUUUUGGGCUACUUGGGAGCACCAAAACUCAAGCCCAUUCAUUGAGCCCAAACAUAUGGGUAAGCAUGAGAUAAAACCUAGUAGCCCAUCACCUUAAGAAAUCCUAAUAGCCCAUAACAUGUGAGAAAAUCCCACAUCAACCAAAGCUUCCAGCAGUCUGACGAAAUCAAAGGGAACUCACAAGCCGUUGGAAACAAAACAACCCAACACUGUAACACCCCGACCCCAAAUUUCCCCAAAUUUAACCCUUAUUUAAUUAUUUAAGGGUAUUUUAGUCAUAUUUUUAACCGGAGAGAGUUUGGGGCAAUGACUAGUAUUUUUGGAUAGGUCGUACUGAGACGAGUUUAUGGACACGCAGUGAGCUCGAAUCGGAGUUGUAACGAGAGAGAUAUGGUCAAAAGAAGCCCAGUGGCACAAUCGUAAAUAUUUUGAAAUGAGAUUUUUUAUAAAAAUCUGGUUUUCUCUCUCUCUCUCUCUCUCUCUCUCUCUCUCUCUCUCUCUCUCUCUCUCUCGCUAGCGACCUCUCUCUCUCUCCCCCGUCGGUCUCUCCCCUCUUUCUCCUCGUAACUCCGGCCACCGGCCCCGGCUGUGGACGGGGCCGGUACCAAAAUGACCGAGGCGUCGUCCUCUUCCUACCCCAGCCACCUCCCACCGCCAGCCGUCGCGGAUUCGCCGGAAUCUGGAGAUGAAGCGGCCUACGUCGUCCAAAUUUCAAAGCUGCCGAUCUCCCUCCUCCGGCCACCAAUUCCGUCGACCCAGGUAUGGAUUUUGAACUUCUCGAGCUGCUCUAGCUGAUGGUUGGGUAGGAUUAGAUCGAUUCUUAGCUUAGACAACUCGAUUUUCAAAUUGAAAAUCGGCCGAACUUCGGCUGCCGUGAUCGGCCAUUUCCGGCCACUUUUUGGGGUAGGUCCAAGAACAAAAGUGGCUCCAAAUAGGGUGUUAUACCUAGGGUAGGAGUUUGGAGCCGUGGUUUUGAGAUUUUCCGGCGAAGCGUUAUCGCUUUGGGCACCCACGCGCUGCCGGUGCGUGCGGCGGCGCGUGGGCACUGUAGAAAAAGUAGCACUGUGUUCCGAUGAGAUCCUUAGGUUGUCACGAGUGCGUAGGAUUUUGCGGAUCUCAAUUCGGACGUCGUUUGACUAUCGAACGGAUAUUCGCAUAUUGCGCGUUAUUCGGGUUCGAUAGGUUGGGACCGUUGGAUGGACCCAAAUUUAAUAUAUGUUAAUCUAAUUAAUUCUAGGAUCGUGUAGGAAUUCACGGAUUGUGAAUCGGAGCCCCGGAUGUUCCGAAUAAUAAUUUUAAAGUUUGUAUUUUAUAUUAAUUGUCAGAUCGUGCGAUCGUGAGCAAUCUGACCGUUCGAUCUGAACCAAACUUGCAGGACAAGUGUCCUAUACCUUGUAGAACCCAUAGGGACCUUCGGAUCGGAAAUUGGAGGUCGUGGGUUCCGCAAGUCGGUUUGACCAGGGUUAGAGAAGUUUGACCCUUGGUUGACCGUGAGUCUCCCGGAGUAAUCUCACCUUUCUAGGGGAGAUUAUCGGGUACUAGAUGAUUGUGGACACAAUAUUAGAAUUAAUUUAUAUAAUUAUAAUUAUAUAUGGUUGUACAAGGGUACAACAGAGUCUAGAAUGUCAGUUUGGAGUGCUAUACGCACUACUUUAGGUACCUCCCCGGAUGUUGGGAUUUACUACAAGUACCACCAAGUGAAAUUGAGGUCCCGCGUGGCGUAGGUUAUCCAGCGUUGGGAUAGGUCUCAUACGUGGGGUUGGUUGUACCGGCGUAUGGGGAGAUUUGUGAUAUUAUGUUCAGGUCUCACGUGGCGUAGGUUAUCCGGCGUUGAGACAGGCCCCAUACGUGGUGUUGGUUGUACCAGCGUAUGGGGAGCUAUGUGAUAUUGUGUUGAGGUCGCACGUGGCGUAGGUUAUCGGGCGUGUCGACAGACCCCAUACGUGGCGUUGGUUGUACCGGCGUAUGGGGAGAUUUGUGAUAUGAAAUUGAGGUCCCACGUGGCGUAGGUUAUCCGGCGUUGGGACAGGCCCCAUACGUGGCGUUGGUUGUACCGGCGUAUGGGGAAAUAUGUGAUAUGAUGGCAUGGUCGCACGUGGCAUAGGUUAUUCGGCUUGUUGACAGGCCCCAUACGUGGCGUUGGUUGUACCGGCGUAUGGGGAGAUUAUUUGAAAUGCAGAGAAACGAAAUAUGGUAUCGCCCAAAUGUGGAAUUGGGUUUUAGGGAAGAACUACGUGUGGCUUGAUCCCUCAAGGAGGGUACGUAGGCAGCCUAAGGUUAAUAGGUGCAGCCGCAGACUAAAUGUUAGUCAUAAUUGAUAUUUGAAUUGUUUGGUAGUUGGUUAAGAAUUAUUGGAAGGCCGAAGGCCAUUUGUGUGAAUUGCAUGAAAUUAUAUUGUGCAUGCUGCCAGUUGGGAAUAUUAAAUGCGUUUUUAUGCAGGUAUAAAUUUUAGGAAAUGUCCAAUUUAUAGGGGAGACUCUGCCGAAUUUUCGGCAGGAAGUCUCAGUUUUUAGUAUCUGGGCCUGGCAUCGGGAGGAUGUCGGGAAUUCCAAAGGGUCGUCUCGAGUUCUGAAAAAUUCGGUGCGGGUCCUUUCAAACACCUUAUAAAAUAUCCAACGCCGUGCAUCUCUGUUAAAACCAGAUCACAGCCAAACCACCAAAACCAUGCAAACCCAUAUGCUGAUCACCAUUUUUACUAGCACCCUUACCCAUUCUUUCCUCUUCAAGCUUUGGUGAGAAAACAAGAAACAAAAGUGGGCGGAUCUUCACCCACAUGGAGAAAUCCAGCUGCCUGAGGGCCCUGGAACUCCAAAAAACUUCUUACCUACAUGCUCAGGCUAGGGAAGUUUCACCAAAUAAGCAAGAAUGGAAGAAAGUGAAGGAAAAGGGGAAAGGGUGGCUUGACGAAAUUAAGGUUUUCAGCACUUAUAAAAGGAAACACUUUCUAUCCAGCAAAAACAACUCACCCUGGUUGCUGCAAGCCUCCUAGCAACCAUGAGAAUUCAUUGAAGGCAAGCAUCCCCUUUGGAACCCUUCAAUUUCAUGCUUUGUUCUUCCAUCUUCCUCCUUUCUCUCUCUCUCAAAACCCACAUCCAGAGAGAGCAAGCAUCAUCUCUCAUCUUUGGAACCCUUCGAUUUGAAGCCUUGUUCUUCCAUUGCUUCCCAUUUUCUCUUCUGUCAAAUCACCUAGGAGCUUGACGAAACUUUCGUCAAGCUGCUGGAAAUAUGGUAAAGCCACCCAUGCUUCCAUCUUCUUCCUCUCUUUCCAUAAACACACAUCCAAAGAGCAAGCUUCAUCUCUCAUCCUCUAAACCUCUGCAAUUUCAAGCCUCAUUCCUCUAUCUUCUCCCAUUUUCAGCGGUAGUGAGAAUGAUUUCUGCGUGUGCAUGGGAAGGAUUGUAACUCAGAUGAGGAGGAGAUGGUUUGGAGUGGGGUGAGGCAGUUGGAUAGAGCUCUUGGCCUUUUCAAGUUUGGAUGGGAAAGAGCAGGGAUGAAAGAAGCUUUACAACUGCAAGGGCAUAUAUGGUGCGUAGGGGCUGAAGGCAGAACACUUACAUAUAGAGGAAACACAUUUUUUGUCCAUGGGAUUCAUGUUUGACAAACACUUGUCUUAGACUAUGAGUUCAAAUUUCAAAACCUUUUUUUUUUCUUUCUGAAAUCAGGACCAGUGUGGAGAACUAGCAAGGAUUGGAGAAACAGAUUUUUGGGCGUCACUUGACCACAGAUUGUUGAUUGCUCAAAUGUGUAGAAUUGGCCAUCUUAAAUGUCAAAAUGAUUUAUCAAUUGGGGUUUUUUUAGAAACGUUUAUGUUUGUCAAUAGAGACAGAAGUCAGAGAACAUAAACCUUUCUCAGCAAAUUGAAAUUCUCAGUGCAUGCUCUGUUCUUCCAUGGCUUUCAAACCUUCUCUGCCACGGUGAAAUGGAUCGAUAGAGAUAGUUUAGGCCGUUCCAUUUGUUUGAUGAAGCAUUCGUUCUAGGGAUUCUGUAUAUUCAUAACAAAAUCACUAGAAUGAUUCUUAGAAAUUCAUCACUGCUAAAGGCAAUGGGUUCAGCAUAAUAACUUCUUAGUCUUGCUUCUUGGUCCUUUAUUUUCUUUGCAUAAUACUCCAAGUUUACCUGGGUUCUACAGAGAAAAUCUCGUAGAUACCUCUUUUUGUGGUCUUCCAUGGCAUUUAAGUGCUGCUUUCCAUGGUGAAGUGGGCCUAUAGAGACUACCUGAGGUGUGUAGGCUUUGUCAUUUCCACGCCGUAAUCGCUCAGGAACUCUGUAGAUACACCUUCAAGGGGGACAAGGGAGACAAACUAUCCAAUUCCUUGCGCCUUACAAAUAGAUCGCAUGGGUUUUCUAUUUCAUCUGCAGCUUCAUCAAUUCCUUCCAUUUUUCUCCUGAUCAUCAUGCGCGGUGAUUCAAAUAUUUCAUAAUGAACAUUGAAAUGAGAUGCUACAAGCAAACUUAUGAAAAGAAACAGAAAUACCAAAAAGACAAAUCAAUGUAGAUGGUUUAGAAAAUCUAAACAUUGCAAUUAUACUCCUUUGCCCAACUUCUAGGAGCAAACGUACACAAAGACCUUAUUGCUUCCAACUUUUCCAACAGAAUUUCAUAUGAAUUGCUCCAAGUGAAAUCCGUAUGAAAAAUCGGUAGUUGGAUUUUCAUCCUGCUUUAAUAUGAUUAUUUAACUUCUAACAAAAAAACUCUUAUUACUUGAGCAAGUAAAAUACUAUUCCAGGUUUCUCCUAGUUCUAUAUGCGCUUAUAAUUGGUAUACUCUAUAAAUACCAUAAUCUGAAUUUCUCUGUUUUGAUUACUUUAAUUUAUUACUUAUGUUUUAAUUAUUGUUUACUUAGUGAAUUAUUAGUAUUUAAGAGAAGGCCUUCCAUCGAUUAGGCACCACGUGUCUAUAAUAAGUAAAGCCGUCCGGCUAUACUUAAAAAAAAAAAAAAUUGUAGUAUAGCCGACCGGUAUAGCCGCGCGGCUAUACUAUUUAAUACAUUAUAUUUAAACGGUAUAGCCGCGCGGCUAUACUAUUUAAUAAAAUAAAAAACAAAAGAAAAAGAAAAAUUACCCUCCUAUUUCAUUAGUUUGUACUUUAUAGAUACUAGCCCCUUGACACAUGCUCACGCAUGUGCCAAUUGGUUUUCUUUUUCUUUUUUAUUUUUAUUUUUAGAAUUAAGAAAAAAUAACAGGAUAGUUAUGUUCCAUAAAAGUAGGACCUAUUAUCUUAUUUUGUUUUUAAUUUUAAUUUUUUUAAUAUUAAAAAAAUAUGAAUUUACGAUAUUAUCCUCAUUUAAUUAAUAAUUUCAAUUCUUAAUGUUUGAAUUAACAAAGGGCAUUUUCUGGUAUUUUGAAUGUUUCACCAUUCUCUGCCUUUUGCUUUAUAUAUAUAGAUUAAUUUGCCAGUUUCAAGAUAUCCAAAGUACAUAUUAGACUUUCACUAUAUAAAUUUCAAUAUAUAUUUUUUAUAACAUGUGUUGUUCUUAUUCAAUAAUAUGUGAGAAUUAUUUGUAUAAUACGUGAAUUUUGUGUGUCUUACUGAAUUUUUUUAAAUACGUGUAUUAAACGUUACAAAUACGUACAUAUAUGUACAACACGACUAUUGUAAGUUUGCUAUAUAAAAAAAAGUGAGAUGUAUCUAGAACACGAAUGUAUUAUCGAAAAAUAUAUAUGUAUGUAUAUAUAUAUAUAUAUAUGUAAAAGCCUAUAGCCUCUCACCUAUACUAUUUAUUAAAGACAAUUUAAAAAUUACAACAACAAAAAAACCAGUACAGCCACAAAGCUAUACUAUUUUAAAAAAAAAAAAUAGAAAAAAUAUCAAGUACUACACAGGGCAAAGGCCCAGUGUAAAAUAGUAUAGCCGUACGGCUAUACGUUUUUAAGAAGAAUUUAAAAAACUAAGUAUAGCUCACCGACUAUACUAUUUUUUAAUAUAAAAAAACAACCCCAUCCAUUAGGCGCCACGUGUCAACAGAAGUUUAUUUUUAAAAAAAAAAAUUAAAAGACAAGGAGUAUAGCCGGGUGGUUGUACUAUUUUUUUAUUUUAAAAAGAAGACAGUCCAUCGAUUAGGCGCCACGUGUCCAUAAUAAGUACAGCCGCUCGGCUAUAUGUUGGAUAUUUUGAAACUAGCAAAUUAAUAUCAAUAGCCGGUCGUAACCUAUGCUGUCCACGUCACUCAUGUUUUACCAGAGUUAAAGCAUCCACAAUGAGCUCCCCAAACCAUCUCUUUAGACAAAUUUUAGGGAGAAAUUGGAAAAGUACAACUCCAACCAUGCUCCCUAUCCACCAACUAAAAUAGGGAGACCUCUAGGAGCUCCUAAAUCUGAGGAGAGGGAAAGGACUCUUAGUGACUCCCUAUAAUUUAAUGUUGCUUUGUUUUAUGCAUAUUUUAAACUUUUAAUUAAAUCAAAUUAUUAUUUUAUAUUAUUUUGUAUACAGAUGGACCAAUUAUAUUAAAUUAAAAAAUAAUUAAAGUAUUUGUGACUCUCUAAACUAAGGAGUAUGAUUAGAGUUCAAAUUUUAUAAAAAGCUCUUAAAAUAGCUUUUGUGUGUUUUUAGCUAAAUUUUAACUAAAAAAUUUGAAGAUUCUUUAUUUGGGUUUCUUUCAAGACGAAAACCAUAUCCACAACAGACAUCUUUGGCUGUUCAUCACAAUUGAGAGACAAUGAAGAAGACAUAAGGGAGAGGCUGCCAAAUACUUAUCACCUUAGCCACCACCAACACCACAAGACCAAUAUGUGUAGGCCAGGAGGCUUUCCAAUUUUAAUAUAUAUAUAUAUAUAUAUUAAAAAAUAAAAUAAAAAUCAAUCUAUUAUCAUAUAUAUUAUAAAAUAAAGAUUAUUGCUCCAUCCUCCAUGCACUUGCGUGCCCUCUUACAAAGUAUGAAGUAGAUUUUGUUAGCUGGAUUUAUAAGAUCUUUUGUUUUUUGGAAAUUUUCUGAAAUAAGGAAAAUCAAGUAAAAUUAAUAAAGCAUAAAUUGGAAAGGGAAAAUAUCUAGAGGAUGCAUUGUAGGAUUGCUCAAGCCAAUAAUUGUACCCUCUAAAUAUAUAGGGACAUAUUUUUUUUGUUUUCAUGACAUGUCGUCCUAAAAUUAUUGUUCUUAGCGGGCUCUCCACCCCCUCUCGAUUGAAAACCUAUUGUGUAAAUCUUCAAUCCUGAAUUAGAAAAGUACAACUCCAACCAUGCUCCCUAUCCAUCUCCUAAAAUAGGGAUACCUCUAGGAGCUCCUAAAUCUGAGGCGAGAGAAAGGACUCUUAGUGUCUCUUUAUAAUUUAAUGUUGCUUUGUUUUAUGCAUAUUUAAACUUUUAAUUAAAUCAAAUUAUUUUUUUAUAUUAUUUUGUAUACAAAUGGACCAAUUAUAUUGAAUUAAAAAUAAAUUAAAGUAUUUAUGACUCUCUAAACUAGGGAGUAUGAUUGGAGUUCAAAUUUUAUAAAGAGCUCCUAAAAUAGCUUGUGUGUGUAGGGGUCUUUUUCUUCUGGCAACUACAGAUGGGUUGGGCUACCGUAAGGAGCAAACUGAAGAAAAUAUCCCCUGUGUCUGAGUUCAAAGAUUCGGCCCCAAAAUAUUUCGAAAAGGCAGUAAAGCCUUAGGAAACACCUUAGUUACCUUCACCAACGAAAAUGACGGCUGCUUACAGGUAGAUUCUUAGUGCUUACAGAUGAAUUCUUAGCUUAGCAUGAGGAGAUCGUGGCAUGGAAGCAAAGUUAGCAUGAGUUUAGCACUAAAGAGAAAAUUAUGUGUUCUUGGGAGGAAGAAGGGGUGUCCAGGUAAAUGGGAAAAGGUUUUGCAAGUAGAUUUGGCUAAGAGAGAAGGGAGAGAGAGAAGAGGGUGGCUAGAGUGCUUCUUCCGGCAGCUUGACAGUGACUCUGUCAAAUGUUAGAGCAAUCUGCCAUAAGAGGGAAAAUGGGGAAGAAGGAUGAACAGUGCACAAAAUUGCUAGGUUUUUGCAAGUAAGAGAGGAAGCUUGCUCUCUGGAUGUGGAUGAUCCGUUGGGUAGAAGAGGCCCCAUUUUAUAGCCGCUGGAAACUAUCAUUUCUCAAGAAACCCUAAUAGUUUCUACCCAAUUUGGUCAAGCUUUUCCCUUCCUUUCUCAUCUCCUCCCUUGACUUUUCCUAUCUUGGUGAAAUUUCCUCUGUCUAUUUGCACAAAAUCAGGAGCUCAAGGCCUCCCUUUCCCGCAACUGUUCAAUGGGAGACUCCAUUCUUAGCUAUUUUUCUUCUUCUUUCCUUCCUCCUUCCCUGACCAAAUCUGAUGAAGGAAAGCAAAUAGGUGCACACAUUGGUUUGAAGGGUGCUUCUCCUUCUAGCAGCUUACAUGCCAAUAUCCCUUGGGUCCUUGCAUGUUUUUUGCUUUGAAACUUGUUUCUUCCUUCCCGUCAACUCACGUGGUCUUCCAUGCUUCUUCAUGGCUUUAUCUUUCAGCCAAAAGAUGGAGUUUUUACUGCUUGCUACUUUUAAUUGUAUGGGUCUUCUAGGAUAGGAAGUCAACCUACCAAACAAAUGGGCCACCUUUAUCAAAUAUUGGGCUGUUGGGGUUAGUUUUAGUGGGCCAUUUUGACUGGGCUUUUUGGUUGGGUUAUUUAAGUUAUUUUCCCUUUUGUGCUCACCCAUGUAUUUAGGCCUAAGAAAUGGGCUUGGGCUCCGAGUCUCCCAAGCAACCCGGAACCUCCAUUUCUUGGCCCAUUAAUGGGCCUCAUGACAACCUAUUACCAUCCAUACCACAACCCACUCAAGCAAGCCCCGGGCAUUUGAAUGGCUUUGGCCCACUUUAGGCUUGUAGUGUGAUUGGGUGUGGCAUAACGAUUUCUCGCUUGGCAUGGCAUGUUGCUUGGCAUGUUUUUUCAUUACGAUGCUUGAUGGAUUUGUAGAGCUACCUAUUUUUAUGAUCUUAAUCUUGAUUCCUAGCAUGACAAAUUUAUUUAUUUGGCAUGGCAUGCGGAGCGUGACUUGUGCGUGGCGAGUUUUGUAUGCUCCAACUUGGGCCUUUCCUAAAUAAUGUAUCAUUUUGGGUUAUGAAUUCUUUCGGGCCCAACCGUGAAUUUUUUGGGUUUCAACAGUGUGUUUUUAGCUAAAUUUUAACUAAAAAAUAGGGAGCAUGAUUGUAGAUCAUCUUAUAUACCUUAAUUUGAAGAUUCUUUAUUUGGGUUUCUUUCAAGAUGAAAACCAUAUCCACAACUGGCAGACAUCUUUGGCUGUUCAUCACAAUUGAGAGACAAUGAAGAAGACAUAAGGGAGAGGCCGCCAAAUACUUAUCACCUCAGCCACCACCAACACCACAAGACCAAUAUGUGUAGGCCAGGGGGCUUUCCAAUUUUAAUAUAUAUAUAUGGAGUGAAAAAAAUAAAAUAAAGAUUAUUGCUCAUCCUCCAUGCACUUGCAUGCCCUCUUACAAAGUGUGAAGAAGAUUUUGUGUGCUUCAAGUCAUUGACUAGAGCUGAAACAUGGUUAGCUGGAUUUAUAAGAUCUUUUGUUUUCUGGGAAUUUUCAGAACCAAGGAAAAUCAAGUAAAAUUAAUAAAGCAAAAUGGAAAGGGAAAAGAUCUAGAGGAUGCAUUGUAGGAUUGCUCAUGCCAAUAAUUGUACCCUCUAAAUAUAUAGGGACAUAUUUUUUUUGUUUUCAUGACAUGUUGUCCUAAAAUAUUUGUUCCUAGCGGGCUCUCCACCCCCUCUCGAUUGAAAACCUAUUGUGUAAAUCUUCAAUCCUGAACGAUGCUCCUAAAACUCAAGUGUCCCAGGCCAAUUAUUGCUCUCAUACCACUUGUUGCAAUACACAUCCACUCAUUCUCAGGGAAAGAAACCCAUCGAUAUUAUCUCAAAUUUAACCACUUUAGUCUAUUAUGAUUAACUAUGUAUUUUAUGGAUCAAUGCAGUUGUGAGGUUUUAUACCCAAUUAGAUCGACCAAUACAGAGAUCACAUGUGGACUGAAAAGCGCCAUCGGUAGGGGAGUGUUUGGCACCCUUUACUGCCGAGUGCAACACAAGACCCCUUACCAGGAACUUAUCUACUAGGACACGUGAAGCCACCACAAGUAAUAUCAACAGUCCCACAUCGAAGUUUAACAUAACAUGUACACUCCCCAGGACUGAUAAAAGUGGGCACAAGUCCCAAAAAUGGGGGAACUUGGACUUUCAGCAAUUCAUCCAUUAUUAUGUCCAAAUUACUAUACACUCCGUACUUAUUCUUACUUAAGCAUUGGAGAGCCUUCGGCCGGUACCACACCAGUGCCUAAGGGCUUACCGAGCGUUCUCUAUCUUGCAUAUUGAUCGCUCUACUGAAGCCCAUAAAGAGUUAAAGGUCAAGACAUCACUAAGUUGAGCCCAAAAGUGCUGAACCACAUCAAAAAUAUGUAUAGAUUGAAAAAAUAAAAUAAAAAUCAAUCUAUUAUCAUAUAUAUUAUAAAAUAAAUAUUGGAUAAAUUACUCAAAUGGUCCUCAAACUUAUACUCGAUUUACAUUUUGGUCUCUCAAUUAAAUUAUUUGUUCAAAUGGUCCAUCAACUCUAUAUUAUUUCUGCAAAAUCUACAAAGUGGUGGGAGGCAGACCAACAAAAAAAAUUAGCGAAGGCUUAUAACUCUGGUAAAACAAGAGUUACUUGGAUAGAAUAAUGUUACGUCGUACUGAAGAUUUUUGGGUUUCUUUAAUUGGUUAAGUGAAGAUUCUUUAUUUGGGUUUCUUUCAAGAUGAAAGCCAUAUCCACAACCACAACCACAACUGGCAGACAAUCUUUGGCUGUUCAUCACAAUUGGGCGACAAUGAAGAAGACAGAAAUUGGAGUACUGUAUGUUAUCACCCACACCACAAGACCAAUAUAAGGAGGAUGGGGAGGCUGCGGAAUACUUAUCACCUUAGCCACCACCUACACCACAAGACCAAUAUGUUGUAGGCCAGGAGGCUUUCCAAUUUUAAAUUAGAUAAAUCGGAAACUGUUUCGAUAUCCAAUUGUAUUCUAUAAAAUCAAUGAACACGGUGCUUCAAGAAAGUAAUAAAAUUUCAAUAAUUCAAUUGAGUGGUCAAAUUCAAGUGAUUUUUUGUAGUGAUGAUCUUUGAAUGAGUAUCUAUAAAAGAGACGGUUUGGAUUAGUGAAAUACAAUAUGGAGUGGGCCCUACCAGCAAUCCACGACAAAAUGUCUGCAAGCUUUCGUAAUAUAAGGAGGAUGGGGAGGCUGCGCAAUACUUAUCACCUUAGCCACCACCUACACCACAAGACCAAUAUGUUGUAGGCCAGGAGGCUUUCCAAUUUUAAUAUAUAUAUAUAUAUAUAUAUAUAUAUAUAUAUAGGGAUGUGAUUUCUCUACUCCCCUUUUCUCUACUUAUACUCCCUUUUGCUUUUAAAUACUUUUUAAUCAAUUUUUUUUCCGCUUUCCUAUUAAUAUUCUACCAUUUCCCUACAUUAAUUUCUUUUUACUUCACUUUUAUAUUAGUUCUUUUUCUUUAUACUUAAUUUUUCAACUUGCACUCCAUUUUCAUUAUUUUUUUCCUAAUCGAGUAAGAAAUUAAGUUUUUUUUCCCCAUUUAAUACUGAAAAUGGAGUGUAAGUUAGAAAAUUAGGUAUAAAGAAAAAGAAAUAAUAUAAAAGUAAAGUAAAAAAGAAAUUAAUGUAGGGUAAAGGUAGAAUAGAAAAGAGAAUGAACAAAAUUGAUAAAUAAAUAAAAAAGGUUUAAAAAGCAAAAAGGAGUGUAAAUGGAGAAAAGGGGAAUGAGGAAAUCAGCUCCAUAUAUAUAUAGAUUGAAAAAAUUAAAAUUAAAAUCAAUCUAUUAUCAUAUAUAUUAUAAAAUAAAGAUUAUUGCUCCAAGGAAAUGACAUCUUUUGUUUUCUGGGAAUUUUCUGAACCAAGGAAAAUCAAAUAAAAUUAAUAAAGCAUAAAUUGGAAAGGGAAAAGAUCUAAAGGAUGCAUUGUAGGAUUGCUGAUGCCAAUAAUUGUACCCUCAAAUUAUACAUGGACAUAGGGGUGGGCAUUCAAAUAGGCAAACUAGAAAUCCGAGCUGAACCGCACCUAGGAAAACCGGAAAAAAAACCGAGUUGACCAAAAAGUCAACAACUGGUCAAAAAUCGAACCGGACCGAUUUGGACUGGUUUUGGAUUCAGUUUAUAUGCAAUGCUACAUUUUUAGUCUCAUAACUAAUAUUUAUCCAAGUUCAAUUUCAAAACAUCUUUCUUUUUUAGCUUUAAUAUUUAUUUUUAUAUGAAAUUAAAUAAUUUAUUAAUUUUCAAGUAAAUAAAAUAAAAUUUCAGUUGAAAUUUAUAUUAAAAAAAUAAUUUUAAUAAUCCAGUUCAAAACCAAACCGGACCAUCCAGCUGUGAGGUACAUUUCUCCCACAUGCCACAAUUGUAUAUUCACAAUUACGUCUGAUACAUCACAUCAUGCCACUUGCCUCAAAUGAAUUUAAGUGAGUGUGGCAGUGGAAAGUAAUUAAGCUCUAUAUUGGUGGGUGGACUGUUACUUCUGGGUUCCCCUCAUCAUUCGUCUAUAAAAUGGUGAAGGCAGUUGCUAUUGUUACCAUAAGAGCCAGCUCCGACUUCCUUUAAUUUCUUGCUUCAUAUCCACUAGCUACAUCUGUUACCAAGUUAAUUUCAGUCCUAAUGGGGUUUCAUCUCCCACUCAUCUUUGCUCUUCUCAGUGUAAGCUCUGCAAUUUGAUUAACUUUUCCAUUCUCUCUCAUUGUACUCUAUAUAAACGAAAGUUUUGUGUUCCUAUAAUUCUCUCCGAUUUUAUUUAGUACGUACUUAAGUGUCGUCCACUAAUUAAUUACACUUUGUGAUUUGAUUUUAAUUUGAGUUCGAAUUAAUGUUGCAGCUAGCAGCAGUGGCACUGGCAAACCAUGCUGCUCAACCAGCACCUCAACUUUACUGGAACUCCGUCCUGCCAAACACACAGAUGCCAAGAUCUAUCAGUGAACUUCUGCAUCCUGGUUUGUGUUGAGCUCUUUAGAAUCUUAGAUAUCUCUUCUACCUGCCAUUUUACUAAAAUAUGUUCCACCACAUAUUUAUCAGUUAACCACUGUUAUUACAUGAGUGACACAUAUUCACAAAUCGGCUGAUCACUUAUUUUCCAUUAUGACGUUGAUAUAUAAUUUGCAGACUCCACAAAUGAAGAAAAGAGCACAAAUGACGUUGGCAAACCUGAAACUUUCCCAUUGGGCAAUAAACAUUACUCCAGUCAAAAACAUUAUGGAAGAGGCAAACCUGAAACUUUCCCAUUGGGCAAUAAACAUUACUCCAGUCAAAGACAUUAUGGAAGAGGCAAACCUGAAACUUUCCCAUUGGGCAAUAAACAUUACUCCAGUCAAAGACAUUAUGGAAGAGGCAAACCUGAAACUUUCCCAUUGGGCAAUAAACAUUACUCCAGUCAAAAACAUUAUGGAAGAGGCAAACCUGAAACUUUCCCAUUGGGCAAUCAGCAUUACUCCAGUCAAAAAAAGUAUGGAAGAGGUGCUUCUCCAUCCGACAAUCAACCACCAAUUCCAUAGAAAUUCAAACACGGCUACUUUCUUGCCACGAGAAAGCGCUCAAUCGAUCCCCUUCUCCUCUAACAAACUACCAGAAAUUUUCAACCAUUUUUCAGUGAAGCCAACAUCUGAGGAAGCCAAAACAAUUAAGCAAACAAUCGAAGAGUGUGAAGCUCCAGACCUUAAGGGAGAGGAAAUAUAUUGCGCCACAUCUUUAGAAUCAAUGGUUGAUUUUAGCACUUCGAAGCUUGGAACAAGAAACGUUGAAGCAAUCUCGACGGAGGUAUUGGAAAAAGGAGCCACCAUGUCCAUCCAAAACUAUACAACAAUGCCGGGACUGAAGAAGUUGGCAGGUGACAAAGUCGUUGUGUGUCAUAAGCAGAACUAUCCCUAUGCUGUGUUUUUCUGCCAUGCAAUAAAACAUACAGCAGCUUAUGCUCUCUCCCUGAAAGGCGAUGAUGGGGAGAAGGUUAAAGCAGUAACCAUCUGCCAUCUAGACACAUCAGAAUGGGACCCAGAGCAUAUGUCCUUCAAAAUCGUCAACGUUAAGCCCGGAACCAUUCCCAUCUGCCAUUUCAUUUCCACUGAUGCUAUUGCCUGGGUUCCGAACCACAAAUCUGCAUGAUCAUCACUUAGCACUAGUACUGUGCGUAUAAUAUGCCUGUAUAAUUAUCUCCCUACUUAUUUCUGCCUGUUCAUCAUGUGGUGUAAGAUAUAUGUUGAGAUGAAGUUUUUGGGAUUAGUGGUCGAAAUUAACCCGAUCAUGUUUUCUCUUGUAACUAUAUAGACUUCAACUUGUACUCAUAAUAAAGCAUGCUAUAUUUAUGAAGAGAUAUUAAUCUUCAGGCAAAUAGAUAUUAUGAAAACAUAUAUAGCAAUUUAUCCAGAAGAAAUAUUAUGAAAUGAAAAGAAUAAAAAGUAAAAAAACAGAAGGAAAGGAAUUCGCACCUGCUAUGUAUGAAAGGACCAAGAUUGUUUUCCCUUUGGUUAAUGACUAGAAAAGCUCACUUGCAGAUUGCUUUCUCUGACCGUAGAUGCAACAGAAAUUUUCUCUUAAUAAUAGCACAAUGAUCGGGUAAUUGUAAGAACAAGUUGAUUUAAAAUUCCUUGACCCAAAAAAAAAAAAAAAAUCAUUUCAAAUUCAGGUCAACCCAUAGAUUUCUUGCCUUUUUCUUCUUCAUCACGUUGGGCUUGUCUUCUUCUUGAGGAUUGUAUAGGCCCAGGAAAUGCUUUGAGGUAGUUUUUGGCCUUGGAAGUUGGGACCCAACCCAACUUCACAAAAAGAAAACAGAUUUGCCAAAAAUCAAAUUUCAAGUCUCUCCUCAGAUCACUAAUACAGAUCAAAUUUUGGAUUUGAUGAACUAAAGUGGUUUUACUUUCUCUGUCAGUGUUUGAUGACUUAAUUUGUUAUUUACUUCUUUUUUUUUUUUUACUUGAUCUUUGUAGGGGUUUUUUUCUUCCGGUAACUUAAACGGGCUGGGCUGCCGUAAAGGGUAGAUUGAUGAAAUUGUCUCCUUUGUCUGAGUUCGAAAAUCAAGCCCCAAAAGCGCUUCGAAAGGGCAGUAGAGCCUUAGGAAGCGUUCUAGUCAUCUUCACCAACUAAAACAACAGCAACUUACAGAUGAUUUCUUAAGGCUUACAGAUAAAUUUUCUAGCUUGGCAUGAGAGGCUUGUGACAUGGAAGCAAAAUCAGCAUGAGUUUAGCACCAAAGAGGAAAAUAUGGCUUCCUAGGGAGAAAUGGGAGUGUUUAAGGUGAGGAAGAAGAGGUUUGCAGGCUGAUUUGGCUGAGGAGAGAGAAAGAAAGAACAAUGUUCUUCCAGUAGCUUGACAAAGCUUCUGACAGAUGUGAAAGUCGUCUGCCAUAAGAGGAAAAUGAAGAAGAAUGGUGAAUAGUGCAUGAAAUUGCUGGGUUUUUGCAGGUAAGAGAGAAAGCUUGCUCUCUGAAUUUGAGUUGGUUUUUGGUUGGGUAGAAGAGGCCCCCUUUUAUAGCUGCGGGAAACCAUCUUUUUUCAAGAAACCCUAAUGGUUUCUAUCCAUUUUGGCCAAGCUUUUCCCUUCAUUUCUCUUCUCCUCCCUUGACUUUUCCUAUCUUGGUGAAAUUUCCUCUGCCUAUUUGCACAAAAUUAGAGAUUUUGAGGAGCUCAAGACCCCUUUCCCGCAGCUGCCUCAGUGGAGAAUCCCCAUUUUCAGUCAUCUUUCUUCCUUCUUUUCUCCCAUCUUCCAAGGUUAGGUCUGAUGAGGGAAAGAAAUGGGUAUGCACACUGGUUUGAAGGGUAUUUUUGCUUGAAACUUGUUCUCUCCCAUGUGCUGGAGCUUCCCAGCAACUUACACACAUGGAUAUUUUGGCUUUCAUCGUGGCUUUUGUUUUCAGCUAGGUGCUGGAGAUUUCGCAGAUAUUUUCAUGAGUUGCUUGGGCCUUCUAGGACAAUAGGUUGGUUUAUCAAGUGAAUGGGCUAACUUCAUCAAUUGUUGGGCUAUUUUGGUUGAGUUAAUGGACUAUUUUGGUUGAAGUAAUGGGCUAUUUUGGUUGAAUUAAUGGGCUAUUUUUCUCUCUUUGUGCUCACCCACAUAUUUGGGCCUAAGAAAUGGGCUUGAGUUCCGGGGCUCCCAAGCAACCCCGGGACUUCCAUUUCUCGGCCCAUCAAUGGGCCUCAUAUCAACUUAUUACCAUCCAUAUCACAACCCACUCAAGCAAGCCCUGGGCAUCUUGCGUGGCUUGGGCCCACUUAAGCUUGUAGCGUGACGUGUUGCUUAUUUGCUUGGCAUGGCAUGUGUGCAAGCGCAUAUGACGAACUUUAGCGUGCCCAAAUUGGGUUUAUUCUCGGUAAGGUAUCGCAUUGGGCCGAGAAUUUAAUUGGGCAGAACUGUGGAUUUUUGGGCCUCAACAAUCUUAUAUAUAUUGGUUUUCUUUUUUUCCUUAAUAUUCACCACCUUUCUGUUGCAUAAGUAUUUCAGUCUUAACGGGUUUCCAUCUACCACUCAUCUUUGCUCUUUUAAGUGUAAGCUUUUUUUUUUUUUUUUUAAGCACAAGAUUAGAGGGGAGGGGGAUUUCUCAAUGUAAGCUUUGCAGUUUCAUAAUUAAUAUUUCCAAUAUCUCACUGUUAGUAAAAUAUGGAACAGGAAAAGUAUGAAUAAAAUACACACAUGUUUUAUUUAGCAAAAUUUUGACAAGAUACAACUGAAAAGUUUGGCCACUAUAUAAUAUUUUGAUAUAAUUUCUACACUUCUUCUCAAAAGAUUAGAUCACUUCACAUCUUGUGUAUGUGAAAACUAAUGUAAAAAGUUGAAACUUUAUCGUAAAACCUCGACAAAAAUGAGCUCUACUAGAAAAUGUUCAAUUUGGAUUCGUUGAUUUAAAUGGCAAUUUGACACUUGAUAGAAAUUUUUACAUACAUGUGUUAGUGUUUGAUCACUUCACAUGUUACUUACUAUAUUUAUUCCACUCAAGUUAGGUAAAUAUUAUUAUCAAACAUUUCAAUUAAUUUGUGAUUUUUUUAUUAUUUAAUCAAUUAUGAAUUAAUGGAUUCUUCUUGUUGUUUUGAAGACCAAUAAAAAAAAAAGGGUAAGGAUGGCUUAUAACUCUGAUAAAACAACAGUGACGUGGACAGCAGAUGUUACACCGUACUGAAGAUUUUUGAAGAUUCUUUAUUUGGGUUUCUUUCAAGAUGAAAACCAUAUUAUCCACAACCACAAUGAAGAAGACAGAAAAUGGAGUAAUUCAGAUGUUACCAGCCAUCCACGACAAACUGAAGUCUGCAAAGCAUUCGUAAUCUAAAGGGAGACUUUGGAAAAGCCCAAAGGAGAGAGAAAAUUUUUAAAAGAAGCAAAAAUGGACAAAAUUGCCCUUAUUUAUUUUUUGAUUUCCUAAGAAAUCCUUUACAUUUGCAUGUCUUUGGUUUGAAAGUUGAGAGGUUAUUCUGUCUUUUUUCAAAAAGCUUUGGCUUUUUCCAAAAGUGAAAGUUUUUUUAUGGGUAAAACCUAAAUUUACUUAAUCCCUAAAAAGGAUGGGGAGGCUGCGCAAUACUUAGCCACGUGUAGGCCAGGAGGCUUUCCAAUUUUAAUAUAUAUAUAAAUUGAAAAAAUAAAAUAAAAAUCAAUCUAUUAUCCUAUAUAAAAUAAAGAUUAUUGCUUCCAUGGGCAGUGCUAUGCACAGGACAGUGCCUGCCCAGCACAAAUUUUUUUUAAAUAAAAAAAAAAAAUCUACAUAUGUUAUAAGCUCAUCCAAAAAAAUAAAAUAAAAUAAAAGUAAAUUCUACAUAUAUGUUGCCCAUCUAGGUGGUUCCAUAUCUUCUCUCUCCUUCUCUUUUGGCUAUUAGACUUCUUGUUUCUCUCUCUCUCUUUGCUACCUCACAUCAGCAAGUUUCUCCCUCUCUUUUUUUGGGGUCAAAUUCUUCCUCUAUUGACAAAAUCUUCUAUUAUCUUGGGUGGGCAACUUGGCAACAACAUCUUCUCUUCUCCUUUUGUCAACAACAAGUAUUAUUCUCAUUCUCUCAUUUGCUAUAUAUCUUUAAUUAUAGUUUUAAUUUAAAAUUGAGUAUUCUAGGGUUUAAUUAGGGAUGAAUUAUAAUUUUAGAAUUUUGUUGAAAUUAAUUAAGGCUUCGAUUAGGGGUGAAUUAUUCUACUGCUUUGGUUUGGAAUUUUGUUAAAAUUGAGUAUUAUAGGGUUUAAUUAUGGAUGAAUUAUAAUUUUUGAUUUUGGUAUUAUUGAGAUGUUAUUAUGAGAAUUUGUUUCAUUUUUUUAUUGGUAUAUUUGAUUAAAAUUCUUUCUACAUAUUAUUCAUAGGCUAUCUUUUAUUAUGUCGGAUCACAAUCGGAAUCCCAAGAGAACAAAGAAUUUGAAUAGUGUUGUUUUGUAUUGCAUUGCAUUUACUUUUGGUUUUAGUUUUGCUUUUAGUGUAAAUUACUCAAAUGGUCCUCAAAUUUGUACCCGAUUUACAUUUUGGUCCAUAAACUAAAUUAUUCAUUCAAAUGGUGCACCAACUCUUUAUUAAUCAGUGCUUUGGUCCUACCGUUAUGUUUUCUAUUAAAUUUAGUCAUGUGAGCAGCACAUGCUACAUUUGUAGGGGUAAAUAAGACUUUUGACCACUUUAUCACCUAUGUAUCACCACUUUAUAACCUAUUUGGAGAACAUAGGUCAGUUAUGGACGGUUUUACAAUUAUAUUUGACGGCAACAUUAACAUAAUGUAACAGUGGGAUCAAUGGAGCGAUUAAUAUAGAGUUGAUGGACCGUUUGAACGAAUAAUUUAAUUGAGGGACCAAAACGUAAAUUGAGUAUAAGUUUGAGGACCAUUUGAGUAAUGUACCCUUCGCUUUUAUAUUUGUUGAACUUUUAUUUAUGGAUAGAUAUGCAUUUGAGGGUAAGACCCAUUAUGUUCCCCCUGACUUGGUGUAUCUUUUUAUGUUUAUUAAUGAAAUUCACUCGAACUGUUGAGUUUAGUAUGUAAGUUUUGCCUAACCGGCUUUUGAAUCCUAGAACCGCCACUGUUGCUCCAUCCUCCAUGCACUUGCAUGUGCUCUUACAAAGUGUGAAGUAGAUUUUGUGUGCUCCAAGUCAUUGACUAGAGCUGAAACAUGGUUAGCUAGAUUUAUAAGGACCCAUCUCUCUAUUUCCUAGACAUAUACCCAUCUCUCUAUAAAUCUAUAUGUAAAACUCAAUUUCAAACUUAAAUGACCAGUAAGAUAUAAGAGGUCAUAGUAUUCCUAUGUUUUUACAUCGUUGCCACCAGACUUCUUAUUUUAUUUAUAAUUUAUUUCAAGCAUUUCAUUAACUGCCAUAAUUGUAAUUAAUACUCCAUAUUAAUAGCAUAUCAAUCACCCCAUUUCUUUUGAUUGCCAUUCCCUCUAACAUAUCGCCCCUUAAAAUUGAAAACCAAAAAAAAAAAAAAUGUAAAUUACAUAUCCAAUAAUGUACCUAUGAAAAAUAUAAAUAUAAAUAUAUACGUAUAAAAAUAUAGGUUUAUUAUUUACCAAAUAAAAAAUAUAAAAAAACUAGGUCAGUUGCUUUGUAAUUGAAAUUUCUAUACAUUUUCCACAAAUUAAAAAUAGGUACACAAUAAUUUAUAGAAAAUAUAGGUGCAUUAUUUAUCCAUAGGUAAAAAUACCUAUAAAUGCACAUAGGUAAAUUAUUUACCCAUAUAUUAUUUUUUUGCUAAGGAUUUACCUUAGUUUUUAGUAGAUUAAUUUACCUACCUAGAGGCAUAGGUAGCUUAAAAAAAUUGUAGCACCUUAGUUGGUUGCAUACUAAUUUACCUACCUAGAGGCAUAGGUUGCUAAGAAAAAAUGUAGGUAAAUUCAUGUACCUAAACACAUAGGGGUCAAAUAGAGAAUAACAUGUUAUUUCCCUUCGAACAAAUUAAUUUCAAACCAUAACAAUAAUUGAAUUCGGAAAUUGGUAUAAAUAAAAGGAAAUAAAUAAGCUAUCAAUUUGAAAAUUAAAAUAAGAAAUGAUCAAGUAGUCAUAUUUGAAAAAAAAGAAAAGAAUAUAUUCUUGGUUUUUAUAGGAACAACGUGUAUAUUCAAACCAAAUGGCAGUAACUACACCAAGCUUUAAUUACUUUUUUUUAAGGCCAAAAGUCACUUUUGGUCUCUGUAGUUUGACACUUCUAUUACUUUUGACGCUGUAGUUUCAAUUCCGUCAAUUUUGCCAUUGUAGUUUCAUAUUUGUAGCAAUUCAAGGACAUGUUAAUAUUAAUGUCAAUUUGUUUAAUGAUGCAAGGGGUAAUUUCGUCAUCCCAAAAUCCUUGAGCAUAAAAGCUUGUCUGAAAUUCUCCCCAUUUCAUAUUAGGGCUCGAAAUUCAACCACUAAUCCCAAUUUUUGAAGAACCCUAUACCCAAAUGACCAAUUUCAAGCCCUAAUAACAAAUUAGGGAAGUUUUAGAUGAGCUUUUAUGCUCAAGGAUUUUGAGUUGAAGAAAUUGCCCCUUGCACUGUCAAAGAAAUUGAUAGGAAUACUGACUUGUCCUUGAAUUGCUACAAAUACAAAAAUACAGGGUCAAAAUUAACAGAAUUUAAACUAUAUGGUCAAAAGUGGUUAAAGUGCCAAACUACAAGGACCAAAAGUGACUUUUAGCCUUUUUGUUUAAAUAAGGAAAAAACUUACCUAUUAAAUCCUUGGAAUCUAUACAAAAUUGAAACACAGUUAAUCAGCAUUGAAUUGCAGCUAAUUUCUUAAACAAGGGUAUUAUAGGAAUUUAAAAAGUAUAACAUUUAAUCCAUUGAGCUUGAUUAGGAAUCUUGAUGAGUUGGAUCCUAGUUAUAUAGUUUCUCUUAUAAAAAUCGGGUUUUAUUUAUAGACAAAUAAAACAAUGGGUUGUAGGUAAGAAAAUAUUAAUUUGAAGGGAAAGUGUCACAUCCUGGGAUCGGCUCCGCCGUAGCACGAUAUUGUCCGCUUUGGGCCCCCCUCUCUGCCCGCACGGUUUUGUUUCUGGGAGCUCACGAGCAACUUCCCAGUGGGUCACCCAUCCUGGGAUUGCUCUGGCCCCCAACUCGCUUAACUUCGGAAUUCCUAUGACUCCGAAGCCAGUGAGCUCCCAAAAGGCCUCGUGCUAGAUGGAUGCGGGUGUGUACAUAUAAGACACAUCACCCCCUCUCCGUUGGUUGAUGUGGGAUCUUACAGAAAGAGUCAAAUUUACUAAAUUAAUAAAGCAUAAAUUGGAAAGGGAAAAGAUCUAGAGGAUGCAUUGUAGGAUUGCUCAUGCCAAUAAUUGCACCCUCUCGAUAUUGAAAAACCUAUUGUGUAUUAUUAUCUUCAAUCAUGAAUGAUGCACCUAAAACCCAAGUGUCCCAAGCCAACCAUUGCGCUCAUACCACUUGUUGCAGUACACAUUCACCCGUUUUUAAAGAAAGAAAUUCUACCAAUCGAUAUUGUCUCAAAUUUAAUCACAUAGGUCUAUUAUGGUUAACCAUAUGUACUUUUAUCGGCCAUAUAGAGGUACCUUUUUCCAACGUGCAACAAUUGUAUUUGAUUCACAAUUAUGUCUGAUAUACAUCACAUCAUGCCACUUGCCUCAAAUGAAUUUAAUUGAGUGAGGCAAUGGGAAGUAAUUAAGCUCUAUAUUGGUGGGUGGAGUGUUACUUCUGGAACCCUCAUCAUUCGUCCAUACAAGGGAACAAUUCCCUUCCUUCUAUAAAAUGGUGAAGCCAGUUGCUAUUGUUUGUUAGAGUUUUAGGAUCUGAGUGUUAGAUUUUGUGAGAAGAGAGAAGAGAAUUUAGUGAAAACUUCCAAUACUGCUCUGCUAUACGUGUAGCAGAGAGAACAUUCUGUUUUGUUAUAUAUUUUCAGUACAACAACACACACUUGGUGUGAGAAGAAAAAUGACUGUUAUGCACAGUACCAGCUGGAUGCUUUCCAUCAAAGUAAUCUCAGCCAUUCACUAUCUAACCAAUCAAGCUAUGACACCUGGACUAAGUAUAAAGAAAUACAACUAAGCAGAAAACAAGACUCUUAAUCCUGAAAUCAACUUAAGCACUUAUAAUUCAACACUCCCCUUUAAGUCUUGAGGUGAUUUCACUCCAAGCAUGCCUCUGAGAUAAUUGAAUCUGUCUUUGGCCAGAGGUUUGGUAAAAAUGUCAGCCAAUUGUUCAUUUGUAGGACAAUAUUCCAGAUUGAUUACCCCUUCUUGCAAUGCAUCCUUGAUGAAGUGAUACCUCCUGUCAAUAUGCUUUGUCUUCUGGUGGAAUACAGGGUUUUUAGUGAUUGCAAUUGCUGAGAUAUUAUCACAAUGCAAUGGAGUAGCUUCAGUUUGAAGCUCUCUAAAGUCUUCUAGCACAAAACGGAGCCAAAUAGCUUGAGUAGUAGCCUCAGCUGCACUGAUGUACUCAGCUUCUGCAGUAGACAGUGCAACACAGUUCUGUUUCACUGAGGCCCAAGAAAAUACUCCACUUCCAAAACUAAACGCAUACCCUGAUGUGCUCUUGCAAUCACCAACUGAUCCUCCCCAAUCACUGUCACAGUAACCAACUAGAAUUGAUCUUUUGCCUUUCACAUAUUCAAGACCAUAGUCCAGAGUUCCUUUGAUGUAUCUCAAAACCCUUUUAGCUGUUCCAUAGUGUCUAUUUGUAGGACAGUGCAUGAAUCUAGCUAGCAAGCUUGAGGCAUACAUGAUGUCUGGUCUUGUAGCAGUUAAGUACAGCAAGCUACCAACAAUGCUUCUGUAUUGUUCUUCAUUUGCAGCUCAACUCCCAUCAUCCUUAGCUAGUUUCUCAGUGGCAACAAGGGGUGUUGUCACAGGUUUGCACUCAGUCAAACCAAACUUGCUCAACAAGGUGCUAGCAUAUUUCUUUUGAUGUAGAAAUAUACUAGACUCAGUCUGAAUAACUCCCAUGCCAAGAAAGUGAUGAAGUAAGCCCAAAUCAGUCAUCUCAUACUUAGCCAUCAUGUCUUCUUUGAAUUCAGCCAACAAUGCUUGACUGCUCCCUGUAUACACAAUAUCGUCUACAUAGAUAGACACAAUUAGAAUCUCCUUAUCUCCCCUUACUUUGGUAUAUAAGGUUGUUUCACUUAAGCUUUUCACAAAACCACAUUGAGUGAAGUAGCUGUCUAUCUCUCCAUACCAAGCCCUUGGGGCUUGCUUCAGACCAUAAAGGGCUUUAUGCAAACGAUAAACCUUGUCUUCUUUACCUUUAAUUACAAAACCUUCAGGCUGACUGACAUAAACUUCCUCUUGCAGCACACCAUUAAGGAAAGCAGACUUCACAUCAAGCUGGAACAAUUUCCAAUCCUUUUGAGCAGCUAGAGCAAUAAGUGUUCUAAUGGUGUCCAAUCUGGCUAUAGGUGCAUAAGUCUCAUUAUAAUCCAGUCCAGGCUUCUGAGCAUACCCCUUAGCCACUAAUCUUGCUUUAUUCUUUUGCACUGAGCCAUCCAAAUUCAGCUUUGUCUUGUACACCCACUUAACUCCAAUCACUGGUUUUUCAGUUAGUCUAUCUACCAAUUCCCAUGUUUCAUUCUUUUCAAUCAUCUGCAGUUCAUCUUCCAUAGCCUUAAGCCAAGAUUCAUCCUGAGCAACAUCAGCAUAUUUUUCUGGUUCCAUGAUACACAAGUUACACUGAGCUAGAACAUCAUCUAGCCUUCUCCAUUUUAGAGGGGUGUGAUCAUAAGCUUGAGUUCUCCUUUCUUCACUGCUUAUAUCACCUGGAGUUGAUGAAAUGCUCUCUUGCAUAUCCAAAGUUUGAGGUGUACCAGUAGAAUUCUCAUUAGAACUGUCAGAUUUCAAGUCCAAAUCAACUUGGUUUUCAAUUGAGUAUGUUGUCAUAACUGAACCAUUUUUGUUUGUCCAAUGCCAAGCAUUUUCUUCAUCAAAUGUCACAUCCCUUGAUAGUAAAAGCUUGUUAGAAACAGGAUCAAAAACUCUAUAUCCUUUUUCACAAGUUGCAUAUCCCACAAACACUCCCUUUGUACUCUUAGGAUCCCGCUUGUGUCUCAAUUCAGUUGGCACAUGAACAUAACACAGAGAACCAAACACUUUCAGAUGUGCAAUUCCAGGCUUCCUUCCACUAUAUGCUUCGAAUGGAGUAAUGUUGUUGAGAGCUUUGGUAGGACAUCUGUUCAGCAAAUAGAUAGCUGUAUGCACAGCUUCUGCCCAUAGGAAAUAAGGCAUUCCCUUCUCAUGUAACAUUGAUUUUGCCAUCUCAAUGACAGUUCUAUUCUUCCUCUCAACUACUCCAUUCUGCUGAGGAGUAUAGGCCAUUGUAAGCUGCCUUUGAAUGCCAUUAGCUUCACAAAACUCCAAAAAAUCAGUAGACAUAAACUCUCCACCCCUGUCACUUCUUAUGCACUGAACCUUGUGUCCAGUUUGUAAUUCAGUCAUGGACUUGAACUUCUUGAAACAAAAGAAGGCUUUUGACUUGUUUCUCAAGAAGUAUACCCAAAUCAUUCUUGUGAAAUCAUCUAUAAUCAGCAUGAAAUAUCUGUUCCUUGCAACAGACUCAUUUCUCAUGGGACCACAGAGAUCCACAUGUAUUAGCACUAGUACUUUGCUUGCUCUUUGAGCUUGAUCUUUUGGAAAAACAUUUCUGUGCUGUUUUCCAAAUUGGCACCCGUCACACACACCACUUUGUUCUUCCAAUUUUGGUAAACCAUGUACCAUUUCUUUAUCACUUAGCUGCUUCAAUCCUCCAAAAUGCAGAUGACCAAAUCUCUUGUGCCAAAUCCAUGUGGAUUGAAGAAAACUAGUCUUCAUUAGUAACUGUUUUUCAGCUAGAAAAGAGACAGGAUAGCAUCUGUUACUCUUCAUUUGCACCUUUAUGAUGAGAUAAUCCAUGGAUGGGCUAUCAAAUACCCUGCACAUCCCUUCUCCAAACACUAGACAGUACCCAUGUUCAUCCAUCUGCCCAACACUUAGCAGAUUUUCUUUCAAUCCUGGCAGAUACAUUACUUCUCUGAUGUAUUUCCUGCCCUUUGCUGUAUCAAUACUCAGUGAGCCAAUACCAGCUACACUCACUAAUGCACCAGUUGGCAUUUGUACUCUCCCAGCUACAUUAGUUCUCACAUCAACCAGCAAAUCUAAAUUUCCUGUCAUAUGAUUGCUGCAGCCACUGUCAAUGUACCAUUCAUUGGUUUUGAUCUCAGUGGUUGAGCAAUUGGCAUAAAACAGGUUUCCUGUAACCUCCAUUUGAUUUACACAAUUAGCCUUCUGCACAUUUUUGCUCACUGUACAGUCUCUAGCAAGAUGUCCAACUCUGUCACAGUUAUAGCAUUUUGGUUUUCCCUUAUACCUGCACUCACCAAAAUGAUGCUUUGAACACACCUUGCAUUGAGGCUUUGUGUUUUCCUGAUUUGAGAACUGUGUUGAAGUGUGGUUCUGUGCAGAAUAAUUAUUCUGCUGUGUCUUGUCUUUUGCCUCCCAUGACUUCCCUUUAGAGUUCCAGCUUCUCUGUGACUUAGAUGAACCAGACUGAGAAGCAUUUUUGUUCUGACCCUUUGAAUUCACAGUGAAUGAGGCAAAUGCCUUCUCAGCUGUAUCAACACUAUGCAUUUCAAGCCUUUGCUCCCGACUCUUCAAAAUGGCAGUUACUUCCUGCAAAUCCACAGUUUCUAGUGUCUUUGUGUUUUCAAUCACAAUGCAUAUAGGGUCAUACUUCUUACUUAGACUAAUUAACACCUUCUGAACCUACCUCUCAUUUGACAGAACUUCACCAAAUGUUUUCAUUUGGUUAAUCAAUUCAGUUAGUCUAGUAAGAUAUUCAGAUAAGGUUUCACUAUCACGCAUCCUACUGUAUUCAAACUCACGUCUAAGGUUUUGAAGCUUUACCGAUCUAACAUGCUCUCCACCAUGAUAUUCUGAGUACAGCAGAUUCCAAGCCAUCUUUGCAGAGUCAGCAUUGGCAAUUCUGGGAAAAAUCUGAUCAGAAACAGCAUUUUGAAUGAUACCCAAGGCCUUCGCAUCCUUCAUGAGAAUCGCAGCUGUUUUCUCAUCAACUUCUUCUUCUGAACCAUCCUCAGAUUCCUGCUUCGUCUUUGAAUCUGGGAUUAAAAACCCCUUCUCUACCAAACCCCAUAAACCAUAUGAUCUGAAUAUGGUUACCAUCUUAAUCCUCCAAAAUUCAUAGUUCUCACCUGAGAAAAUGGGGAUUCUAGCCUCUGAACUUCCAGAUCCAGCCAUUACGAAUUUCAGAUUCGCCUGGAAACAAGAUGUUUUCAGAUUUGACCCUUGAUCGAGCUCAAUCAGCUUCGUGAGCUUAGAAUGAGCUCACCUCGAUCGAUUUUCUUCACAGAACAACGCCCAGCUUCAGAUAAUCAAACUUGGCUCUGAGGCCAUGUUAGAGUUUUAGGAUCUGAGUGUUAGAUAUUGUGAGAAGAGAGAAGAGAAUUUAGUGAAAAUUUCCAAUACUGCUCUGCUAUACGUGUAGCAGAGAGAACAUUCUCUUUUGCUAUAUAUUUUCAGUACAACAACACACACUUGGUGUGAGAAGAAAAAUGACUGUUAUGCACAGUACCAGCUGGAUGCUUUCCAUCAAAGUAAUCUCAGCCAUUCACUAUCUAACCAAUCAAGCUAUGACACCUGGACUAAGUAUAAAGAAAUACAACUAAGCAGAAAACAAGACUCUUAAUCCUGAAAUCAACUUAAGCACUUAUAAUUCAACAUUGUUACCAUAAGAGCCAGCUCCGACUUUCUUUAAUUUCAGUCCUAACGGGGUUUCAUCUUCCACUCAUCUUUGCUCUUCUCAGUGUAAGCUCUGCAAUUUGAUUAACUUUCCCAUUAUCUCUCACUGUACUCUAUAUAAAGGAAUAAGUGUCGUCCACUAAUUAAUUACACUUUGUGAGAUUUGAUUUUAAUUAGAGUUCGAAUUGAUGUUGCAGCUAGCAGCGGUGGCACUGGCAAACCAUGCUGCUCAACCAGCACCUCAACUUUACUGGAACUCCGUCCUGCCAAACACACAAAUGCCAAGAGCUAUCAGUGAACUUCUGCAUCCUGGUUUGUGUUGAAUAAAUAUAGUAUGUUACUGGAGUACGUAUGGCAACAUAUUCACAAAUGUGUCACGUAUUUUCCAAUAUGACGUUGAUAUAUAAUUGCAGACUCCACAAACGAAGAAAAGAGCACAAAUGUCAUGAAUGCUGUUGGGAAUGGAAAGCCAAUUGACCACAAGGGCAACCUGAAAAUACUGUACUACCACAGCUUGCACGACGCCCAUUUUCUUACAAGAGUGAUGAUCGUCCCACUGACAAUCAACUCCAUUAUAAAAACGUAGCUAUUUUCUUCUUGGAGAAGGACAUGCGCCCUGGCACAACAAUGAGCUUCCAAUUCCCUAGAAAUUCAAACACGGCUACUUUCCUGCCACCAGAAAGAGCUCAAUCGAUCCCCUUCUCCUCUAACAAACUACCAGAAAUUUUCAACCAUUUUUCAGUGAAGCCAACAUCUGUGGAAGCCAAAACAAUUAAGCAAACAAUCGAAGAGUGUGAGGCUCCAGGCAUUAAGGGAGAGGAAAUAUAUUGCGCCACAUCUUUAGAAUCAAUGGUUGAUUUUAGCACUUCGAAUUUUCGAACAAGAAACGUUCAAGCAAUCUCGACAGAGGUAUUGGAAAAAGGUGCCACCAUGUCCAUGCACAAGCAUACAACAAUGCCGGGACUGAAGAAGUUGGCAGGUGACAAAGUCGUUGUGUGUCAUAAGCAGAACUAUCCCUAUGCUGUGUUUUACUGCCAUGUAAUAAAACCAACAGCAGCUUAUGUUCUCUCCCUGAAAGGCGAUGAUGGGGUGAAGAUUAAAGCAGUAGCCAUCUGCCAUCUAGACACAUCAGAAUGGAACCCAAAGCAUUUGGCCUUCCAAAUCCUCAAAGUUAAGCCCGGAACAAUUCCCAUCUGCCAUUUCCUUCCCACUGAUCAUAGUGUCUGGGUUCCGAACCACAAAUCUGCAUGAUCAUCACUUAGCACUGUACGUAUAAUAAGCUUGCACCCCUGUAUAAUUAUCUCCCUACUCUACUUAUUUCUGCCUCUUCAUGUGGUGUAAGAUAUAUGAUGAGAUGAAGUUUUUGGGAUUAGUGGUCGGGUUGCCUUAAAAACACAGAUUACAGAAACUGCUUGAACUUAACCCGAUCAUGUUUUCUCUUGUACUCGUAAAGCAUGCUGUUGUGGUUCUACUUAAUUUCGUUCUCCCCAAUGUUUGAGUGUUUAAUUGUUACGUUGGAUAAUGCUUGUAGUUAGAGAAGCCUUCAUUUAUAUCAAAGUCCUCAACUUGUAAAGAUAUCAAUGGUCCUAGUGCUGCCACGUGUAAGAAGAUUGAAGAAUAAAGCUGUUGAGAUAUUGUUAGACCUGUUAUGCAGUUUAGGAAAACUGUUAGUAUUGAUAAGAGAAGGUUAGAGAUGUUAGAGAGGUUAGAAAACACGUGAACAAGGCUUUAACUCAGCUGAUAUAAAGUCUGUAGUUGUGCUCAGUUGAACUUAAUGAGAAAUACAACAAGUCUCUUCUCUAUCUCUGAAAUUCUCUCUGCUCUCUCUGCUUUACUUCUUUUGUCUCUGCUCUACAUUUUUUUUCAAUCUUCCUAUCUUAACAAAACUAUCAAGAAUUAAUGCAUCCAGAAACAUAUAUACCAAGACGCAAAACAACAUAUUUUUCAUGCUCUGUCUGUAACACCAAAGCAAACUUCCUUUAUCACAAAAGGAUCAAAUUCCAGUACUAAUCUAAUCCAUCAUGUAAAGCAUACAAUCUACAAGUGCCUCCCUUAAUUUGUCCAUUGGAUAUAUAUGUCACUUUUUGGUAAUUUGGUAUAGCAGCACCACGUAGUCUUGAAAUAGUAGUGCGGCUAUACCAAAUAUACCAUUUGCCCCUGCAUUUAACAGAAAAGUAAACAAAAUUGACGGUAGAACUAUUUGUCCUAACGAAACUGCAGUUGAAAGACCAUGAGAACGAUUUUGAAAAUUGAGGGACUCAAAUGAAAAUUGGGUCUAAGUUCAAGAACCAAUAAAACGAUUAACCCAUAGAUUUUGGAUCCAGUACCACAUCCCAAAGAGAAAACCACAAGUUUGCAAGCAAGUUUGUCCAUAAUAACACUACGUACAGUAUGGGCAGUGCGCUAGACUCAUCUCACUUUCUCAACCUAUCCUAUAGUUGUCUAAAAGAGUUUCUAAUUUAAUGUACUGAGAUUUACGAAAGAAAUAUCAGAGAAACAAUUUUCAGGCAAUAAAAAAAUGUCUUGGCAAGAAAAUGUACAAUUUGUUACAUAACUUAUUAAAUAUGAACAGUUGAAAGAAAAAAGAAUCUGGAUGAGGGAUUUGCAAAUUCCUAUGGCCCAAUUACCUUUUUUUCUUUGUUGUUUUUUUUUUUUUUUUUUUGGUUCUUUUGAUCCAGUAGCAUAUUCCAAAGAAUGAAAACCACAGGCAUGCAAUGCAAGCUCUUUUCCCACGUUUUCCUCUGUUUUUCUCCUAUCAUGGAAGUGAUUAAAACACACCUCUAAGCUUGUUUUGCGUUUGGUAGCCGAGUGUAAAAGCUCAAUGCAAGAUAGUUUGAGGUAGAAUUUUCUCCUAUUUUAUUAGGACAAUGAUAAUUAAAAAAAAGUGUGAUUCAUUGAAUAUUUGCGGGGUUUUGUUCAGACCUGACAAAGUUCUAAGUCAACACAUCAAAUUCCUUUUUCCAACAUGCAACAAUUGUAUUUGAUUCCCAAUUUUUUCUGAUAUACAUCACAUCAUGCCACUUGCAUCAAAUGAAUUUAAUUGAGUGAGGCAAUGGGAAGUAAUUAAGCUCUGUAUUCGUGGGUGGAGUGUUACUUCUGGAACCCUAAUAAUUCGUCCCUACAGGACUCUAGAACUCUCAAACUUCUUACAAGGACUACUUAACUCUAUAGCUUAAUGCAUAUAGCAUAUAUAUGCAAACACAAUUAGAAAUUCUACAACAGAAGCAAGAUCAAUCUCACUAUGCCUUCUAAACAAACAAACAAAUAAAACAAGCAUAUUAAUUGCUUUAAUCACUCUACUAACAUCAACACAGCACACUUAGUUUACUAACAGAUGAUAUAGAAAGGAAAAAAAAGGACCAAUAGGGAGAAAAUGGUGAACUAAGGAGAGACUAAUACUUCUGGUCCUUAGAAGGCAUAACAGAAAUAAUAGAGCACACUGCUUGAAUGCAAGUCAGUAUUAGGAGCAAAACAGCUGCAAUGAAAGAAAUAGUUGCCCAAGGUGUAUUGAAAUAAUGUUGCCUCAAAUUUGCCUUCCAUUUGUUCCAAGGCUUUCUGCAGUAGCUAUUAAGGCGCUCAGAAAGAAUAGCAAAGUAGAAGCUUUCACGAUACACUGCAAUUCCUUUUCCGAGGUUGUUAAUCAGAGUGCACACCUCAUUGUAGUCACCAAGCAUAUUUUUGACAAUCCCAUCCUUCAGAAGGAACUCCACAUCCUUUUCGGUGUUCACAAACUCAUCCAUGAGUGAAACAUAAUCACUUAUGUAAUUCUUACGGCAAUGGCACUAUUCAAAGGCAAUGAGGUUACGGAGUGUGAGCUCUGUGUAAUCGUGUAUUUUUAGUUUUGGAAUUUCUAGAAUCCCAUCGUUGAAUUGUGUUAACGCAGCUUUCCUUUCCUAGCCUACACGGAAGUCAACUUCACAAUCUCCUCCUAGCAAUUAGUCUUUCCUGCUGUAAAUCAGAUUUCCUACUGUAAAUCGGAUUGUAUUCAUGUCUAUAUUAUUUCCUACUUUAAGUAGAUAUCUUGUACUAGUAUAAAUAGGGACUUUGUGUAAUCUGUUAAAUACAAGGAAAUAUAUACUCUGCAUGGUAUCAGCCUAACCUAGGGUUCUCUCUCUCUCCCUUAUUCGAUCCUCUUCUCCUUUAGGUCCACCUCAUGGCUUUGUCUGAAUCCACCAUCUCCCUCCCAAGCCCCAACUCUUCUAUUUUAUCAAGCUUAUUGACUCCAACUAUCUUCUUUGGCUCCGCCAACUCAAACCCUUUUUAGUCGGCCAUGACCUCUGGAAAUUUAUCGAUGGCAUUCAUAAACAACCUUCUGCCCACACCUCCACCUCUACCACCGCAACACCCACAACCACCACCACUCUUACCCAAAUCAAUCAUGCCCAUGCUCAGUGGUACCAACAAGACCAACUCAUUGUUAGCUACAUCACCAAUACACUCUCUGAGUCCAUUCUCUUUCUCACUGUUGGUUGCACCUCUGCCCGGGAUCUCUGGGAGUGUCUCCAACGCCACUUCUCUCAAUCCAGUAUGGCCAGUGAAUCUACUCUUCGUUUUAAACUCAUGGAUUUGCAAAAAGGCUCUGAACCCACUUAUGCUUACAUUCGUCAUGCUAAGUCCUUUGCCGAUUCACUGGCUGCCAUCAAUGAACCUGUCUCCCCAAAAGAACUUGUCACUACUGUGCUUUGGGGUUUAAGACCCUAUUGCAACAUCCUCGUCACAGCAAUUCUCAAUUUCCCUCUGCUUCCUAACUUUGCUAAUCUUCGUGCUCGUUUGUUAGCAUUUGACGCACAGACUCCUUGAAUCUCUCCUGAUCAAAACACAGCGCAAAUGGCCACCCAAUCCUCUCCUCACACCACCGGUCAUACUUCCUUCCCUUCUCACCGUGGUGGUGGCUCUUCCAACAACAGGCGUGGUGGCCUCGGUGGCUGGCGCAAUAGCGGCCGGGGUGGCUGGCGCAGCUUCUCAUCUUCCUGGAGCAACCCGUGGAAUGGCUUCCAGCAGCUCCAAUGACCUAAUCAACCAUGGCCUCCUUUUGCUCCAAGUUCUGGAUCUCAAAGCAACUGGCCUUCCUUUCAGCCUCCUUGGGCCUAAUCUGCCGCUUCUAUCAAACACUUUGCCCGGCCCAACUCAGCUCCUGGUGUCUUGGGACCCGCUUGGUGCACUACCUGCAAUACCAAUCACAUACUACUACAAUAUGUCCUCAUCGCUACAAUGGCCCAGAAUCCUUUCUUUGCUAGGGCUCAAUUCAUGUAGCCACCUGACUCUACUUGGUACCCUGACACAAGUACCACUCAUCAUAUGAUUGGUAGUCCUUCUAAUCUCCAAAAUCAAUCCUUCUAAUCUCCAAAAUCAACAGCCAUAUCAGGUUCAUAAUUCUGUAUUUCUUGGUAAUGGAGAUUCUCUCCCUAUCUCUCAUACUAGCUCUCUCUUUUGUCUUCCAUCUCUUCGUACUAAUCUUCUUUUUGUUGCCCAUUUUACUUGUGAUAAUUUAGUUUUCUUUGUCUUUACUCUUGACUUUUAUCAAAUCUAUGACUUAUGUACUGGUUCGUUACUCUUUCAGGGCCCUUCUAAAGAUGGUCUUUACCCACUUUCCAUCUCCUCUCACUCAUCCAUAGUCCCCCAUGCCCUUACCACCGUGCACUCUCCUGCUUGGCAUCAUUGCCUUGGCCAUCCAUUCCAUCGUGUGCUCUCUCAUUUAGCGCCAUCUCUAGGCUUUAAAGUUUCUCAUGCUUUCUGUAAGGAUUGUGCACUUAGCAAAUCCACCAAACUGUCAUUUCUUAGUAAUAAAACCUUUGCCCCAUCUCCCUUUUAUUUAAUUCACUCUGAUGUAUGGAUGUCCUCGGUCAUUUCUGUCACUGGUUAUCGCUAUUAUGUCUUGUUUACAGAUGACUUUUCUCGUUACUCCUGGAUCUAUCAUAUGCACCGUAAAAAUGAGGUCUUUUCUCACUUUCAAACCUUUCUUGCUAUGGUUAAAAAUCAAUUUCACACCACUGUACAAAUUCUUUAAAGUGACAAUGGCACUGAAUAUGUUAAUAAUGCUUUCUCUGAUCUUUGCAGUCAACUAGGCAUCCACCAACGUUUCACAUGUCCCCACACUCCCCAACAAAAUGGCCUAGCUGAACAUAAACACAGACACAUUGCCACCAUGAUCUGUCCCCGGUCAUUUAUUCAACCAUCUUGACCUUUUGCUUGAUCAUUUUCCACAAGCAACCGUCCACGUACCCCAAUAAUUUAAAAGGGCUGAUGAUCUUUAAUUUGGUGAAAGCUUCUAUCUACCUACCGUGCUAUAUAUGAGCUAUGCAAUCGUGACCGUGUUACAUGACGUCCCAAUGUCGUAGGGAUAAAAAAAUAAUAGUCAUGGUUUUCUUAUUAAUGUCAAUACAUUCAUAGCAAAGAGCUUGUAGCUCUAGUGGUUAAGAGCAAUUACCCAUGCACUUGAGAUAUUUUGUGUUUAAAUCCCCUCUUCCCCAAUAUUUCUUGUAUAAAAAUAAAAAUAACAAUAAUAAUGACAUUAAUGUUGUAUUCUAUAAAGUGUUGGACAUGUUUUAUACCCCUUUCUUGCAAAUUACAGUUUGCCACGUGUACAAAAAUAAUAGAUAAGUGUUGGACAUCAAGAGCACUUACAUAUAGGUUUAAUAGGUAAGUUUUGAAUAUUUCUGUAUUUAGCUUUAAAUAUUGAAAAUCAACCUAUUAGCAUAUUAAAGAUUUGUCCAUAUUCGACGUACAUUCUCUUAUUUUUCUCUCAUUGAAGUAAAUACAAAACUAAGCACAUAGUGGGAAAGUGCGUCACGAUUAGGGGUGGGUUUAGUCUAGGUUGGUUCAUUUUUGGGCUCAAUUUGAACACCGAACUGUAAGCUUCGGUUUGGCUAUUUUGGAAACCGAAACCAAACCAUAAUUGAUGAAAACCGACCACUUCGAUUACCUUCUGGUCUUCCAACCAGAAGAAAACUCAAAACUUUAACCAUACCAAGUGCAACAGAAUUACACCAGGCUGGAUUCAAGUUUAUGAUGGUUAAAGAUAAAAACUUAUUUGACAUACAAUUUGAGAAUGGAAUCCUCAAAAUUCCACACCUGCGAAUACGGGGUUUAACAGAAAUUUUCUUCCGCAAUCUUAUUGCCUAUGAGCAGUGUGAGCUUCAUGAUCAUUACAUCAACGACUAUGUCUUCAUCAUGGACCGCCUGGUCGACAGUGCCAGGGAUGUGGAAUUGCUUGUGAAGAGUGGAAUUCUUGAAUCUAUGCUACCGGACAGCGAGGCAGCAGGGGAAUUUAUUAAUUCUCUUGACUUGGGGCCUAUUUUAGGCAAGCUUGAAACAAGACUAUUUCAGUUCACCAUGGGCUGGCCUGUCUAUUAUUGUAGCCGCUAUACUAGUUGUGCUCACAUUUAUUCAAACAGUGUGCUCCGUAAUGGCGCUGUAGGUUCUUCAUUUCCUCAAUUUCAUGUUUAGUGGUUGCAGAUUUGUUGCUCAUGUACGUGUUUAUCUAAAGUUAAAUAAGAGUGAUUGACUGGAUUGACUGUUAGUCUGUUAGUUUGUUUUUCUGGGGUUUUUCCCCCCUGUUCGUCAAAAAAAAAAAUAAAAGAGUGAUGGCUUGUGCCUAUGAAAAUUACUUAGGAGUAUGCUCCACAGAGCCAAAAUAAAUAAACUAGGGAAGUGGAGGUUCUUCUGUUUGUAUAUAAAUGAGCAAUUCAAACUCUCAGUGCCAAGGGAGUUACCCUUGAUACAUUUGUUAAAAAUUAUAUAUUUGGUCUUACAUCAAACAAAUAAUUUGAAGGGCUUUUUUGACAACUGCUGACAGCGUUUGGCAGAAAAGUUUAGAAGCGCUUCUACGCUUCUAGAUCAUAAAAGUGCUUUACCAAAAAGCACUUAGAUUUCUUAUGAAAAUUUCAACAUUUUUAUAAUAAAAGCGCUUGCUAGAAGCACUUAUAAGCAGAAGUGCUUCAUAGAGAAGCAGUCCCAAACGAGCUUGAUUUUCAAAUGUGCUGCUUAAGAAGAAAUUUAAUACGUUUUGAAAACAAAAAAAAAUACGAAAUUUAAUACGUUUGUUUUACAAAUUGUAUUAAUUGUUAUCAAUAAUACUUGUGCACACCCACAACAUACUUCUUUCUUUCUUUAUUUUCCUUCAGUACAGUUCUGCCUUUCUUUAAUUAUUUUUAACGAAUGCAAAGAGUUUGUCACAAAAUCAAGGAUUGAAAAAAAAAGAGAGUAAAUUAUGUGCUAGAGAAACUUUCCUGCAGAAAUUGAAGAACAACUCUAGUUUCUCUCUUUCGCCUUGUACUCCCGCACUGAGGUUAGUAUUGUUAUAAUGUGCAGAUUAUACGGUCACUCUUGUAUAAUGGCGAGAAGGCUCUAAUUAUAUUUUUGAACCUCUUUGACAGGACCCGCCCCGAAUUUCCCGAAACCCAAGACGAAUUCUGUGGAAAUUCCCUACAUCACCCCGAUGUUGGGCCCACUUCUAAAACUAUAUCAUUUUUCCUAAAAAGGAAUAAGGGCACGAGACUUUCUACCGAAAUUUCGGCAGAGUCUCUCCUGUAAAUUGAACAUUUCCCAAAAUUUCAACCUGCAUAAAACACAUUUUAUAUUACCCAACUGGCAGCAUGCACAAAAUAAUAACAUGCAAUUCACAUAAACGGCCUCUGGCCCUCCGGUAAUUCAGAGCAAUGCAAACUAGCAACUCUAAACCUAAUAAAACAACAUAAGUAACAUUUAGCCAGCGGCUGCACCCAGGCACUACCCUAGGCUACCUACGUACCCUUACUAAGGGAUCAAGCCACACGUAGUUCUUUCAUACAAAAUUUCCAAAUCCAUCAACAUGCAAUCAAUUACAGAAUCCCAAACAAAAUCUUUCUCAAACAUCAUUAGUUCCCAACUCAGUAUAAUAAUCCUUAAUUCAUCUCUGUAAUAAUCACAAUAUCUCCCCAUACGCCGGAACUACCAACACCACGUAUGGAGCCUGCCUGUACGCCAGAUAACCAACGACACGUGGGACCUCAUCAUCAUAUCACAUAAUCUCCCCAUACGCCGAAACUACCAACACCACGUAUGGGGUCUGUCAACACGCCGGAUAACCUACGACGUGUGACCUCAACAUCAAAUCACAAUAUCUCCCCAUACACCGGAACUACCUACGCCACGUAUGGGGUCUGUCCACAUGCCGGAUAACCUACGACACGUGGGACCUCAUCAUCAUAUCACAUAAUAUAUUAACGAUCAAGAAAUAUCACUACGGUCAUUUAAUCCUCCUGGGAAGGUAAAACUAUCUCAGGAGACUCACGGUCAACCAAGGGUCAAACUACCUCAUACUUGGACAAACGAGCCCACGGAGCCCACAACCUCCGUUUUACUAUCCAAGAGUUCCUAUAGGUUCUACAAGGUUUAGGAUACACGGCUUGCAAGUUUGGUCAAGAUCAGACGGUCGGAUCGCUCACGAUAGGACGGUUACUGCAAACCUAGCCCUAGGGUUGGCAUUUUCGGAGUAUCCGAAACUCCGUUUUACGAUCUGUCGAAUCAUAGACGAUCCUAAGGAUUUGCAGACUAACUAUAAUAAAUUCAAGACCAUCCAACGGUCUAAACCUAUCGAACCCGGAUAACGCGCAAUAGGCAAUAUCCAAAUUGAAAUCCGAGCACACCUACGCACUCGUGAGGACUAGGAGAUUACAUCGGGACAUAGUGCCCUUUUUCUACAGUGCCCAUGAGCCGCCGCACGCACCAGCAACGCGUGGGUGCCCAAAGCGAUUAUGCAUCGCCAAAAAAUCUCAAAACCACGGCUCAAGACUCCUACCCUAGGUAUAACACCCUAUUUGGAACCACUUUUGUUCUUGGACCUACCCCAAAAACUGAUCAGAAGUGGCCGGAAUGGCUGAAAUGUAAUUCAAAAAUCAAGCUACCAACGCUCAAAAUCGAUGCAAUCCUACCCAACCAUCAACUAGAUUAUGAAGAAUGGAUAAAUUUCCAUACCUUGAUCGCCAACAAUGGCGGCCGGAGGAGAGAGAUCUGAUCCGGCGAAGUUCGAGUGAAAACGGCCAAAAAUCAUCUUUUUCAGGCGGCUGGAGGGCGACCGAUGUCAGGGAAGGGCAGGGUCGUGACGCUAAGGCUGAGCCUGUCCUUUUGGCACCGGUCCCUUCCGCAGCCGUGUCCGGUGGCUGGAGUUUCGAAGAGAGAGAGAGAGAGAGAGAGAGAGAGAGAGAGAGAAAUCUGAUUUUUAUCAAACCUUUUUGCCAAAAUUACGGUUAUGCCACUGAGGGUAUUUUGAUAGUAUCUCUCUCGUUACAACUUCGAUUCGAGCCCACCACGUGUGUACGGACUCAUCUAACUGUGUUGUACGCAACGGUAUAGUCGAAAUUCCCAAAUUAUUUCCUUGUCAAAAAGUCAACUUUAAACAUUAUAAAAUAUUUUAGGGAAAAAAUGGUAUUUUCUCUCAAUAAAUUAGUAACUAAUUUAUUUAGGACUGGGUCAUUAUACUCUUUUUCGCUUCAAUGGAUGGGAAAAAAUUUUAUGUAAUAUCCCACAUCGACCAACGAAGAGGGGGCGAUGUGUCUUAUAUGUACAUGCCCGCCUCCAUCUAGCAUAAGGCCUUUUGGAAGCUCACUGGCUUCAGAGUCAUGGGAACUCCGAAGUUAAGCGAGUUGGGGGCUAGAGCAAUCCCAGGAUGAGUAACCCACUGGGAAGUUGCUCGUGAGCUUCGAGAAACAAAACCGUGAGGGCAGAGAGAGGGGCCCAAAGCGGACAAUAAGGCCUCGUGCUAGAUGGAGGCGGGCAUGUACAUAUAAGGCACAUCACUCUCUCUCCGUUGGUCGAUGUGGAAUGUUAGAAUGGAAUUGUUACCUUUGGUGUGGAGGUGUUCUAUCAUUUGAGCAAGAAAUUCCCACAUAUUCUUCAACUAUUUUUCAAGCAUGCAUAUUCCUCCCUAUCAAUCUUUGGUUUCUUCCUUUACUGUGCAUAGUAAGGAUCCAGUCAGGGACGGACCGUCGCUAUGACUAUCCUGGGCUAUAGCCCAGGCAAAUUAUUUUUUUUUCUAGUCUAAAAUAGCAAUCCCACCGCUUGCUGUAGUACUUGUUCAGUUCGUCACAAACAUGAGCAUAAUAGAAGUUAUCAACAUCUAUAUAGGAACCCCAAUGAAAAGGCUGUUAACUAAUAAUGAAGUUAACCCGUCAAUUUUUCCGCAUAUCAGAUAUCUCUCAGAAUAUGCGAUUCCAUAUUCAAUAAGCCACUCCACAUGCCCUGAGGUUUUCAUCAAACCACCCAUUAAGGAAACAUACUGACUCAUGUAAUUAUCAUUACUCAUCGGGUAAUGCAAUUGUUCAAAGGCAAGGACAUUUCUCAUUAUUUAUGUAGCGAACCCCAAUGGAAAUGGUGGGAUCUUCAGAACCCCAUCGGUGCUACUGAAUUGUAUGUCAAAUAUGUUUUCACCUUGUCACGCCUCAAACUUGACUCCAGCGUGCUGUAAUUCUGUCAAGCUGGGUAUGGAUGAUGGGAGUUUGAUGCAGGAGCAUAGGGGUGGAUCAAGAUAGAUAUUUACUAUUUAAUUAGUUAUUUCAUGAUAUAUUGUUAUUUUCUUAUUUAGGUAGUUUUAUGAUAUCUUUUAUUAUUUAUGUGUGAUUUUAUAAUUAAUUAGUAUACUUUUGGACCAAGUAGCCUUGGUGCUCAAGUCUUGUAAAGCCUAUAAAUAAGGCUAAUGUAAUAGUUGUAGAAUAGAUGUCGAUGAUUAAUAAAAUCGUUUAUUUGUGGCAUGGAUUUGCUACGAUAUAUGUGAGUUUGCACUAGCCCUAGAUUUCAGUGCUCGUGUAUGUGGUUGGUGACCUGUGUCCGGAUCCCGAUCCCCAUCAAUUGGUAUCAGAGCUAUGGCUCAAGAUCUGCUAUAUCGGGGAGGUUUUUGGAUGGAGGGUCGUUUUAACAACUACAACGACAUGGAGGAAAUUAGGAGGAUGCUACGGCAACUUAUGGAACACAUUGCUCGCAUUGAAGCUCGAACCCAGAUAGGUAAGAGUUCUGACGGGGAGGGAUGUGUGAACCCUUAUCUGAACCGAGUAGCUCGCAUCGACACUCUAAGCCGUGAGAGUCUCGACGGGGAGUACGAGGGAGAUAGCCCUUUUCAUUAUUGUGCUCCGCUGUGUGAGUCAAGUGAAGAGGGGCACGGUUAUUCUCAUUGUGUCUUUGAAGGUAUAAAUGAAUUUAGUAAUUUUGGUGCAUCUUGUUAUUCAUCAAAGUUAUUAAAUUUGGAUUUACCUCCAUUAUUUGAUCCUUGCAAUUGUGAAAAUUGCAAUAAAAAUUGUUUGGGUGUUCAAAGCAAUUUUGAUAAGCAAUUUAUUGACCAGAACAGUGAAGAGAUGAGAAUUGAGAAAACUUUCGAAGAUAUUAUUGAUUUUAUGGGCAUUAAUAUUUUCACUUGGAAGGUUGCCAAAAAUCUGGUUGAUUUUGUCAAUCGGUUGAAGAUUCUAGAGAGAAACAUUUGCAUUGCUAGAGGGAGUAAGAAGUCAAGAAUAACGAAAUAUUCCAAAUAUCUUUUUAUUUGGAAAGGAAGGUUUCAAUUGGAUGCUAAAAGAUCCAAAAUUAAUAUGCAGCAAUUGAAGAUUCUACUCGGAUUUUCCUUAAUCAAAGGCUUGAAUUCGAGGACGAAUUCUUUCCAACUAUGGGAGUCUGAUGCAGGAGCAUAGGGGUGGAUCAAGAUAGAUAUUUACUAUUUAAUUUGUUAUUUCAUGAUAUAUUGUUAUUUUCUUAUUUAGGUAGUUUUAUGAUAUCUUUUAUUAUUUAUGUGUGAUUUUAUAAUUAAUUAGUUUACUUUUGGACCAAGUAGCCUUGGUGCUCAAGUCUUGUAAAGCCUAUAAAUAAGGCUAAUGUAAUAGUUGUAGAAUAGAUGUCGAUGAUUAAUAAAAUCGUUUAUUUGUGGCAUGGAUUUGCUACAAUAUAUGUGAGUUUGCACUAACCCUUGAUUUCGGUGCUCGUGUAUGUGGUUGGUGACCUGUGUCCGGAUCCCGAUCCCCAUCAGAGUUCCCCUCCAGCUUUUGAUUCCAACGGUUGAUAGAGUUUAAAUAUUUUCCUGAAAAGAUCAAUAAUAUGUGCCACUGAUCUAAAAGUCUCCAAAUUGUCUUCCAAUUUGUCAACAGGCAAUAGAUGUUCGAAGAAACUGAAAGAAAUACAAAUUAUUGAAAGCCCCUCAGUAAUGCUGUUAUUGUCAGCAUUAGCAGGGAGUGUAAUUUUCUGUGGGUCGAAAAGAUCCUCGAGAAUGAAGAAUGGCAACUGAUUUUCAAGCAACCACGUAUCUGUCCAUGCAUCUUGCAACAUACCUGGUUUGUCAAAUAUGCGGUCAUUUUCGUCCCAAAAUUUGAAGUAGUCCUUCAAUAAGGGCUCAAUAACGAAGGCGGCGCCCACUAGAAUGAUUGUUACAAAUUCAUCACUGCUAAACUUGAUGGGUUCUCCAUAACAACGUCUCAAUCUUGCUUCGUGGUCCUUUAUUUUCUUAAUAUAAUCCUCCAAACUCACAUUGGUCCGACCUAUAAAAUCUUGCAGGUAUCUCUGUUUGUUCUCUUCCAAUACGACAUUCAAGCCUUCCUUUCCAUGGUGAAGUGGACCUAUAGAGACCGACUGCCUGAGGUGUGCAGAGCUUUUCAUUCACACAUACGUAGAUAAAAUGUCUGGGGGCUCAGAGAGUGAUGAAUGUGCAACAGCUAAUGGGAGGGUUUAUAUUCCUGAAGUAAGAAAUGAGGAAACACCAGCAGUUGGGAUGAAGUUUGACUCGCUUGACCUCGUUUACAAUUUCUAUAAUAGAUAUGCAUUCUUGGCUGGCUUUGGUAUUCGACUUCAUUCUAGCUUUUGGGGGAAAAAUAAGAAAGAGAUUUUGAGGAAAGAAUUUGUAUGUUGCAAACAAGGUGCAUACAAGAAGGAUGAAACUCGGGAGAGAAAAAGACAACGGGGAAUAAGUAGAUGCAAUUGCAAAGCAAAGAUUGUGGUUGUGAAGACAAAUGGGAGCAAGAAGUAUACCAUUUCUCUUUUUGCAGAGGGACACAAUCAUAAGAUGACACCCUCAGAAAGAAUGCAUUUAUUGAGAUCACACCGUCAUAUUUCAGAUUCUACAAAAGUACUCACAAAACAGUUGGGUUCAGUUAAUAUUCCCAUUCAUCAGAAGGUAAGUAUAUUCGAGGUGCAAUCCGGAGGAAUGGAUAAAAUCGGUUUUAUCAAAAAAGAUAUCUACAAUCUUGAAUGUAGUGUGAAUGGGAAGCUGAGGAACCACGAUGUUGAACUAGUGACCGAGUAUUUUAUGGCUGAACAGAAAAAAAAUGAGGCUUUUUAUUUCAAGAUUGAGGGAGAUGGGCAUGACAGGUUUAGUCGAUGUUUUUGGGCAGAUGCAACUUCUAGACGGGCGUAUGGGUUUUAUGGAGAUGUUGUUGUAUUCGAUACCACAUUCAACACGAAUCGAUACGACUUGACAUUUGCACCAAUGUUGGGAGUUAAUAACCAUGGUCAGACAAUUGUCUUAGCAUGCGCAUUUUUGAGCAAGGAAACGACUGAGUCGUUUGUUUGGAUGUUUGAGGAGUUUAAGAAAGCCAUGCCAGGUGGGGAACCUAAAACGAUCAUUACAGAUCAAGAUGCGGCAAUGGCCAUAGCGAUUUCAAUAGCCUUCCCGAGUACAUUUCAUCGACUUUGCAUAUGGCACAUCACAUCAAAGUUCUCUGUUAAGUUACCACGUGACGCUUAUAAGGAGUAUUGGCCUGAAUUUCAGAAAGCCAUAUGGGAUACUGACAAUAAGGAUGAGUUUGAUGCAAAAUGGAAUAUUGUGGUUAUAAAGGCUGGUUUGACUGACCAUCCAUGGCUAAGUUCAAUGUUUGAUUUAAGGGAAUCUUGGGUUCCAGCCUACGCACGACAAUUUUUUGCCGCUGGAAUGUCAAGCAGCCAAAGAGCGGAAGGUUCUCAUGGUUUUUUCAAGCAAUACAUAUCAAGGAGAAAUUCGUUGAUGGAUUUCAUAAUACGAUUUGAGAGGGCAUUUUCUCAUCAACGUGAAAAAGAGUUAGUUGCUGAUCACGUAGAUGCAUUUGAAGUGGCUCAAUGUCUUCUACCGAUGCCAAUGAACAAACAAAUGGCUACCUUGUACACAAGGACAAUGUUUCAAAAGUUUGAGCAAGAACUAAUACAAAGUACAGCAUGUUUCCUAGAGCUCAAAACAGAGGAUGCAUGUAAAGUUGUGUUCAACGUGAGCGAAAGGAAAAAUUGGGAAACAAGAGUGGCAGAAGUCGUAUAUGUCAAAGAUUCUGACCACGCAUCGUGUAGCUGCAAAAGAUUUGAAUUUGUUGGAAUUAUUUGCAAGCACAUCCUAGCAUUGUUCAGAAGGGACCAGAUUGAAUAUAUGCCCGAUAAAUAUAUUUUGAAGAGGUGGAAGAAAACUGCGAAAUGUGGAUUGGUGUCAGAUGCAAAUGGCAACGAAAUUAAAGACUGUGCAGAUCCUGGCCUUCUAAUAAAGCGGAGUACAAUGUCUCGACUUGCUUCAAAUGUGGUUGAGGAUGCAUUAAUGAGUGAAGAAGGAUGUGAGCUACUGUCAGAGACUCUAAAAAGUUUGCAGGUGAAGUUGAAGUUGCUGAAGGAUGGACCAAGUAAUAACGAAGUUGGAGGGUCCAGCUCUCAAACACAAUAUAUGAAAGACCCUAAGAGAGUGAGGUGCAAAGGAAGGUCGAAAGGAAUAACGGGAGCAAAGGAAAAGGCAAUGAAGCGAGGGAUUAGACACUGUCGGGAGUGUGGACACAUUGGUCAUGAUAGAAGACAAUGCCCAGCCUUGAACACACCGUAAGAUGCUACCACUAUUUGUAAUAAUAUCUAAAAUAUGAAAAGGUAAAAUUUUUAUGUGCUUGUGUUUGAUGUUUAUGCAGGACAUCACCGUCGAACAAUGACAAAUCAACUCCAAUACAUCGUAGUGACCCAUUAUUCGACGAUUUUGACAAGAUGCACAGACCAACUGAAUGAUUGAUAUUUGUAUUAGACGAAAUGUGGUUGUUAUGAAGAUUAAUGAUCAAGUGAAGUUUUAUAGAUUCAGUUUUUGAAUGUUAUUGUGUUUUUGUUCAUGUCCACCGAUGAGCUCUUACUAUGUCCACUGGUAAUUGAAAUGAAAAUUUUCUUGGUUUCAUUCUUCCAAGACAUUUGGAGACAUGUUAAUUUUACGUCUUCUCCCUAUUUAUAAAUUUUCAUAGACAUUUGAUCAAGUUUGAAAUUUGUAGUUAUGUGAAGAAGCAAUGACUCUUACCAUGUAAAAUGGGCAGUUUAGGGUGAAAUUUGUUUUAACAGAGAUUCAUUUUUCAAUUCCUCAGGGUAAUGCAGCAAUUACAGCAGCCAGCUGUUGUUUCCAUUACCAGUAAUCAUUUCCAGCAGCAGCCACUUUUUCCGACUGGUUAUUAGGGGCACGAUUUUGUACACUUUUGUAAGUGAAGGAUACUCGAAGCACUUUGUUGGAACAGAGCAAAUAGAAACCAGCGGGUAAAAAAAAAACAUAACAUUGCAGCUAAUUACAUUUCGAUACAUAGGUGAAAAAUAUUAAAGGGUACACUAACUUACAUAAAUACUCAUAAUUCCACACACAAAAGAACAUUUGAUUGCAAAACAUAUUAUGUGCUUCCUCAUAGCAAUACCACGAUCUCCCCAACCAACUGAACAACGGUAGCCACAAUCACUGGGUCGUACUCGUCAGCUUCUUCUUAGCAGGUCUCACAUGCUUAUGGCCACUCAUAUCCCUAGUGAUAUACACGAAAUAAAUCUUCAGCAAUAUUUGGAAUUUUAUUAUAUAUAAAUAAACCAUAAACCAUUCAGUAAACAAUGUAUAGCACAUGUUAUGUAACUUAUGACUCACGUGUCAGUUUUUUUUUUAACACAUUAGUACUCCAGCUCUUUAAUGUAAAUGGACAUGAUAAGGAGCAUUUACUGAUUCCCGGCUUUCUAUGAUAUUGACUGCUUCUUGAAUAAUAUUUCCAUAUUUGCAAAAUAUAAUGUUAGACAUUAUAACACAUGAUGACUUGCAAUACAUAGUCCCAAUAAUUAUAUAUCAAGCAAAUGAAACUGAUAUUUGUGUUAUUUUAAGUUAGAUAAUGACAUUAAGGGAGUAUAUGUGCAAUACCACGGUCACCCUCAACCAACUGAACAGCGGUAGCCGCAAUCACUUAGUCGUAUCGGUCGGCUUCUUCCGAGCAGCUUUGACGUGCUUAUGCUCAUUCAUGUCACCCCCAUCGUCUAGUAUCUCUCUCACAGCAUCAGGGGACACAUAGUUCCAAUCAUAACUUGUAUGAGUAGUUGCCGCAAAUGCUCGGAAUUUGUCGAAUCCUUCGUUGAAUGCCAACUCCAGUUCAGUAUGGUGCUCUUCGCAUCGCAUAUGGUUCAUCAAACAACCUUUGAUUUCAUCAUUCAUUACUGUAUCCAACUCCUCAGCUUUCAGCUUCCUGCUAUGACUCAGCUUCAAGUACUUGUUCUUUUGGGAUAACGCUUUGUUCACCCUAAUGUUAAGAUCAGCCAAAAUUGCCUCGUCUUCAACACAUUUCUCGUGCCAUGAAUUGAUCAGUCUGGAAUUAUAAUCCAGCUUGCCACUGACUGCAUGUAUUGCCUGUAAUGGAUCAUCGGAGUCCCCCUCACUCCCAAAUGAUGUUGAAAAAGGAAGGGGUCGGCGAGUACAAUGUGGAAAUAGAACCUGCCACUCCAAUUUGUCAUCUUCGAUUGUGUUGUUGGCGCCUGAAGAGGUUGACAUGCUUGAAUAAUCCUCUUUGUUUUGGGAGGAUGAGGAUUGCAUAUGCAAUUUCGUUUGAGAAAGGGAACAUAGGUUUAUAGACCAACAUACCAAAGCUUGUGUGUAGUCAACAUAUGUACUUUUUGGCGGGAAUUUUUUAAAAAUAGGUGUUAGGUUUUGCUUUUCAAGCAUGUCAACCUCACACUCUCCUGACACCACUGCUAGUGGUUGAAACAAAGUCAAUGGAAGUGACAUCUACUUAGUUAACUCAACCAAACUAGUUAGGAUUAAACUUAGAUUGUAUCAGACCAAAAAAUAAUUUCUACUUUGUCAACCAAAUAUUUUUUGGCGGGAACCCUUUUCUUGGUAUUACUAUCACCCCUUUCAUAUAAAAUCUCCUUCCACACAAAACUCACUCCUCCACCGAAUCUGUCUCCAUCUACCGAUACUCUCUCAAGCAAACAAACUCAUUCCCCCCAAAGAAUGAGCAUAAGCACAACCAAGUUUGAUGUGAGCAUAAUAAACACCCCUCCAAACAAAGACCGGCUUCGACACGCAAGUGAGUCACCGGACAAGCAAUGUCACAUUGCUAGACAGAAUGACCAUUUUGUUGGAAGUUUUGAGUCUGAAAGAGUUGUUGCUUUUUGGAAGGAGAGGCAUCUUCAACUUGGUGAUGAAAUCCAAAGGGCAAGGGCACGUUUGGAAUUUGUGGAAGGCCAAAUUGAAGAUGACAAAAGGCAGGCCAAUCUGGAUAGGGCGAAGUUGUAGCGCAUGAAGCGUAGACACAAACGACUUCGGAGUGUAGCUGUUCAAAAAUACAAGAACUCAUCUAAUGUAGUGGAGUCAAAGAAGCGUGUGAUGCAAGCUGGAUUCGACUACUUCCGAUCCUAUGCAAAACUCGUCGUACCCGGGUUUGAUUGGUCAUCUAUUACCGUUUCCGACGUCACCAAAUAUACUCAGCAAGGGAAGUAACCAUUUUGGUUCUCGUGUUUUAGCAGAGGCAAAUAAGUGGAAUUGGAAUUUUGGUUACACUCUGCUUCAAAGCUAUUUUGAUGCUAACUACUAUGGAAGAUUUAAACCUUAAUAUUUUGAUGUCUUUAAUUACGAAAACAGAAGAUGCAAAGAGCUCAUCUACUUCAGCCAUAUGUUGCUGCCAUGUCCAUUUGUUUUUGAUCACUUAUCAGAUUUGGACAUGGUUGCAUCAUAUGCAAUGUUGCCUUUAUUUAUUAUAUGUUAGGACAAGGUUUAUGGAAAAGCUUUUGUGAGUGCGUUUGUGACAAGGUUAUGGAAUUAUUAUGUACACUUUAUAUAUUGUUUUUUGUACUGGUUCAUUUCCUACUAUUUCUUGCUUUCUUUAUAUUUUAUGUUUGUGGAAUCCCUCUCAAAGUUAACAUAUACUGUGAAAAAAAUAUUAUGCAACUGAUUAUAUAAUCACUCAUAUAGACUAGGACAAAUAUUCACUAAGGGUUUUAAACUUGCUUCACUUGUGUGAUGUUAUUGACAAAAAGUAUGGCAUUAUUUAUGUGAUUUGACAUGAUUGAAAAUAUAUUACUGAUUCCCAAUGCGGCGUCAUAUGGACAACGUAUUGAAUACCUGUGACGUGUUAAUAACUCAAGGUGCAGUUGCAUGUGGACAACUUCUUGAAUACCUCUGACGUGUUGAAAACUCUAGGUGCAGUUGCAUGUGGACAACUUAUUGAAUACGAACUGACGUCUUCAAAGCUCUAGGCGUAGUUGCAAUGAUGGCUUCAAAGCAUGUGCAAUUAUUUUUUAUGUACAUUAUUAUAACAAAACAUAUUAUUGUAUAUAGUGAAACUAAAUAUUGUAUUAUUAGAAAUUAUAUUUCGAAUAUUAUCCGAAAUAUACGUGUUAACGUGAAUUUGGGUUAAGAGGAAAGUGAGUUAUGUACAAAUAAUUUUCAUUUUCUCAUUUUCCGGGCAUUUUUUGGAUUUUCGUAGAAUUUAUUACCUAUGUCCACAGAUUGUUGCACUAAAAAAGCCAAAAUAAUAGCAAGAGGACACCUGGAGCGAUCUCAGCCCGUCACUGAUGACUACUUGCACAAGUGUACGUCAGUCAACAUGGCCACACCCUCCCAUUUUACCCUAAAUUAUUAUUUUAUUACUUUUCCUUACAAAAAUCAGAACUAAUUACACACAAAAUAAAAAAAUUAUCCGAAAAUUGCUACGAACUCAUUGACACUCCAUCUCCGUUGCUGAAUUCUCCGAUUCAUUGUUACGUAUUUGUAAAAUUAAUUCCCAACAUUAACGGGAGAUGCUUGUUGAAGUAGGUUAUUCAAGUUGAAGUUAACAAACAUCAAUACUUAGGGUUAAGAGGAAAGUGAGUUAUGUAACACAAUUUGGAUUAUUUCAUUGCGAGACGAAUGAUUUAUAGGUUCUCCUAGUUUUAUGACGUCACAAGUAGGCCGGAGUAAUUUUUGGGGCAUUUUUACGAUUUUCCUACUAUUUUUUACCUAGUUUCAAAGAUUUUUGAACAAAAGAAUCCAAAAUGUAAAAGAAGAUGACACCUGGCGCGAUCUCAGCCCGUCACUUUUCACUACUUGCACAAGUGUACGUCAGUCAACAUGGCCACAUCCUCUCAUUUUACCCUAAAUUAUUAUUUUAUUACGUUUUGUCUUGGAAAAUUCAUAACUAAAUACACAAAAAUUCAAAAUUAUUUCUGAAAAUUGCUACGAACUCAUUGACACUCCAUCUCCGUUGCUGAAUUCUCCGAUUCAUUGUUACGCAUUUUUAAAAUUAAUUCCCAACAUUAACGGGAGAUGCUUGUUGAAGUAGGUUAUUCAAGUUGAAGUUAACAAACAUCAAUACUUAGGGUUAAGAGGAAAGUGAGUUAUGUAACACAAUUUGGAUUAUUUCAUUGUGAGACGAAUGAUUUAUAGGUUCUCCUAGUUUUAUGACGUCACAAGUAGGCCGGAGUAAUUUUUGGGCCAUUUUUACGAUUUUCCUACUAUUUAUUACCUAGUUUCAAAGAUUUUUGAACAAAAGAAUCCAAAAUUAACAAGAAUAUGACACCUGGCGCGAUCUCAGCCAGUCACUUUUGACUACUUGCACAAGUGUACGUUACCGAACAUGGCCACAUCCUCCCAUUUUACCCUAAAUUAUUAUUUUAUUACCUUUUUUCUUGGAAAAUUCAUAACUAAAUACACAAAAAUUAGAAAAACGAUCCGAAAAUUUCUACGAACUUAUUGCGAUUUCAUCUUCCUACUGCAUUCCCUGUUUAAUGGUUAUGCUACAUUAGUAUUUUAUUAUUAUUUAUCCACAAUUAUUAUAAUUAUUAUGAUAUUACUUUUUAGGCUGUCCAUUUGUUAAUUAUACCACAUCCAACUUGUUGAAAACAAUUUUAUUUUCCGUGCGAAUAGGCCAUUUGUAGUGCUUAUCGGUUUCUCUGUUCUUCAAUUUGUUAAUUUUUUUAUUUUUUAGGUUGAAGGGAUGUUUUGAAACAUAAUAUGGAAAUAUACAAGUCAUCCAUUGUACUCCUUCCACACAAAAAAAUAGUCUACGUCAUUCACUGUUCAACACCCUAGGUUAAGACACGUGUAACCAAAUCCGUUCGGAUAUGCUAAGUGGGAAAAUGUCAUUCCCAAGCACUGGUGAAAAGACACUUAUUUACUCCAUGCAUGACUUUUGGUUUACCAAAUAUGAAGAUUGGGGUCGGUGAGCAAAAUAUCUGUGUCAGUAAAAUGUCAUUCCUAGCCAUCUAUGAUGUAAGUAAUAAUUCCGCUAUAUAAUAAAUAUUAUACAUUUAUAUAUAAAACGGUUUAUGACAAAAUACCAACAUUUGAACAACAUUUAAACUGAGAUAGGUAUAACGUAGCCAGCCAACCUAGAAGUGAAGAGAAGCAAGUCCACAAUGCAUCAAAACUGUAAAUUCGUACUAAAACUAAUGCAAAAAUACGUGAUUCCCUCGCACAACUUACUCACGCAGGAUUUUGCACCAAAAAAUACUCUCACGGUGCCAUUUGCAUCGGUUGCAGCAAGUCCAAAACGCAGGAUUUAUCUUGUCUUCACUAGGCCACCCUGGAAUAACAAAAUACCAUUCAUUGUUGUUACAAGCGCUGCACCGAUUGAACUUAAUCUUCCCAUAGUCAAACAUAUCUACGAUAUGUCUUGCAACAAAUGCUCCGCGACAUCUUCCUGUUAAAGCAUCCCUGGUUCCUUUCAUAUCAAUGUUGUUACGUUGAUUCAAAGAACACAAGAAUUGUAAUGCAUCCUCUUUUGACUGACCAAUUCCGGACAUACCAAGUAGUCCAACUACAUAUGCCGCUUCCAUAUGGCCUGCCGUGGCUGCAAUGCGCAUCCCAUACAACGCUUCCACCUUACCGUCUGUGAAAAAACCUUCGAAUGCUUCUCUAAAUAUGGACUCAGGGUUAUCGCAAGCCCUGCAUUGUUGCAAGAAAUGCUGGACUGCAGGUUUGGCACGGUAGCAGAUAGGAUGGUGUGGGUACUUUGCCAUUGAAAUGGUGUUCCACACUUGUGGACUGUUUGCCAAAAUGUUGAACAAUCGGCACACACAUGCCAUACGGAAGAGAUCUUCCGAUGAUUCGGUUGCCACGUAUAACAUCACUUGAAACCAAGCGGACUCCGGGAUAAAGGCUUCGGGCAUAUCGAAAUGGAGAUGCUUCCUUCUCUUUCCUCCGACUGUAGUGAAGUGUUUCGAAUUCAUUGAAAAGUUUUUGGAAUGGAACGAUUUGAGGAGUGGCAGAGGGGAUAAAUGAUAAUAUUUGGGGUACACGUUCUACUUCCGAGCCUCUGUUUAUAGUGUUUUGAAAAGGUGUUUCCAGUUGGGGUUUUUCCAAGUUGACCCUUUUGAAAGAAACUGAAUCCAAGUGAAUUAAAACUUAAGACAAAAGAAGGGAAAACGUCAUAACGGUGCAUACAGAGUCAGACAGUUAAAAAGUUAAUUAAAUGGCUAUUUGCAUAGCCAUUUUUGGGUUUAUCCCACUAUCAAAUUCAUUGAUACAAAUGUGAUGGAUUACUGACUAGUGACAGAAGGUCCCAUCAUAUACUUUUUCAUUUUCGCACACCCAACUAUCCCUAGUAAUGUUAUUAAAAUGGAACCAAUAAUGACGGAUUCUUAUCCAACUAGUUGCCUUAAUGAAAUAUAAAUAAAUUAAUAAAAUUGAAGCAGUGUCCCGUCAUUAGUCAGAAAAUAUAUUUGGUAGUGAAGUAGUUUCUAUUGCUUUUCGGGCUAAAAGAUGUCACAAUGCUGACGGUACAGGUGUCGACAUCGUGACCAACCCACCAAAUGAUCCCAAAAAAAAGUAAUAUAACUCGAUUUGGGCAGAGAUGAGAGAGAGCUGAGUGACAAGUUUAGGGUUAUGAGUGAAGGGGUAUGAAUGACAACUAUGAGUGAGAAGGUAUGAGUCCGAAGAGGUUUCAGUGAGAAGAUUUGAGUGAGAAGAGGUACAACUGAGAAGAUUCAACAUGUCUUCGUCUUCAUCUCCUGCUCAAACAAAGAGGUGUCAGUAUUGUGGAGCUACAAUGGUGCUUCGGGUUUCAAAAUCUGAAAAAAAAUCGAGGGAAGCCAUUCUGGAAGUGUCUAACCUCCUAUGUAAGUUUUAAUUUAAAGAAUAUGUAUGUGGGUGAAAAAAAACCUAUGUCUAACUCUGACAGAAUUAUAUUCCAUAUAUGAUGCCUGCAAUUAGGGAGCCACCAGUUGCAAUGGAUUCGAAUGGGUUGAUGUAACCUCCGCUGAAGCAGAACAUCAAGAUGACACGUAUGAUGUUAGAGUGCUGAACAUGCUGAAGUCCAUUAAGGACUUGGUAUUAGUUUUAUUAGUUGUAUUAAUUGUCAUUUUAUUUGUUCUUUUAAUGAUCAUUUAACUGCACGGUUUAAAAGAUUGUGAAAGUUCUCUCGCACAAGACAUAUUGCACGCACCACCAAUGAGACCCUAAACCCAUUUUGUAAUAUUUGGUAACUGCAUGUAUUUCGCAUGUUAUUGAAUGUUUAUUGAAGGUUUAUUGAUAGUUUGCUGCAUGUAUAUGGAAUAUCAUUGCCCCAAAAUUGGAUGUUUAUUGGGGCCACAAGUAUCACUCAAGUAAGAAUGAAGGGGAGAAACGGACCUUAUUCUUUCUUAUAGUAGGAAGAACAACUGUUAAGUUUAAUAUCCUAUUCAAUACGACUUCCCUAUGGUUGGUGUACUUGGGGACUGAAGUAUAUUGCAUCAUUAUUGUGGGCAAGGGCAUGUCUAUUGUGUGUGUUAAGGGAGUAUUGUGUGGGCAAGGGCAUGUCUACUGUGUGUAUAUUGCAUGUCUACUGUGUGUAUAUUGCAUAUCUAUUCUCUGUAUAUGGCAGGCCAAGUUUGUGUAUAUUGUUUGUCUGUUGUGUGUGUAUUGCUUGUCGGUGCGUUUGUGAAUUGUGGUUCAUUUUGUGUAUAUUGUCUUUGUUUCUACUUUUAUGCUACUGAGCUGCGGAAAACCUCGCAUGUUUAGACACCUAUUAUGAUGCAACACAUUGCGAUUAAUGGUGGCUUGCAUCAACAAUGACAUAUCACUUUGCAAUGAUGUAAUACACUUAAAAAGCCGUCUUCAAAUCCCAAUUCACAUAUGCAGUCUUAAAAUUCUAAUUCAAUGCAGUUUGGUUAACAAACAUGUAAAUGUCAUGAAGGAGUUAGCGGUAGAAUUCGAUAAGGACCCGUACGUCUCUAUUGUGUAUUUACAUUAGUUUGAGAAUGGACAUUCCCAAAACCUUCUCAUGUACCAUUUGUCAUCUUCAACCAAUAUCAUGGGAAGUAAGCAUCUCCCCUUGUUAUCUCCGCAGCCAAUUUCAACCGAAAAAAAGGCAUGUUGUGCGAGGUGCAAGUAGCUAACGGAAGCUUAGCGCUGAAAAGCUCAAUGUACUUUAACACAAACAUGCCACAAUCGCCUCUGAAGCAAAACAAGAACUCGAUCAAUUCAACUAAUGACAUUCUAAUGUAAUUGACAAUUGAAAGUAAUAAAAUUAAAUUGCAAGUUGUGCUUACUCAUUAGACUGUUGUGGAACAUCCACACGCUCUAUUGGCCACGGACACCACCAAUCUCGGCUGCAAUUGUUUGCAUAAACACCUUCUUCAUAAAAGUCGAUGGUGUUGAGAAGAUUUGGAAGCGUAAUUGAUAGCGGGCCGAGUUCUUCCUUUACGAUGUCAUCUGGAAUUAGUGAAACCUUUGAAUCGUACACUUUGAUUCACACAAUACCAGAUCAAACANNNNNNNNNNNNNNNNNNNNNNNNNNNNNNNNNNNNNNNNNNNNNNNNNNNNNNNNNNNNNNNNNNNNNNNNNNNNNNNNNNNNNNNNNNNNNNNNNNNNNNNNNNNNNNNNNNNNNNNNNNNNNNNNNNNNNNNNNNNNNNNNNNNNNNNNNNNNNNNNNNNNNNNNNNNNNNNNNNNNNNNNNNNNNNNNNNNNNNNNNNNNNNNNNNNNNNNNNNNNNNNNNNNNNNNNNNNNNNNNNNNNNNNNNNNNNNNNNNNNNNNNNNNNNNNNNNNNNNNNNNNNNNNNNNNNNNNNNNNNNNNNNNNNNNNNNNNNNNNNNNNNNNNNNNNNNNNNNNNNNNNNNNNNNNNNNNNNNNNNNNNNNNNNNNNNNNNNNNNNNNNNNNNNNNNNNNNNNNNNNNNNNNNNNNNNNNNNNNNNNNNNNNNNNNNNNNNNNNNNNNNNNNNNNNNNNNNNNNNNNNNNNNNNNNNNNNNNNNNNNNNNNNNNNNNNNNNNNNNNNNNNNNNNNNNNNNNNNNNNNNNNNNNNNNNNNNNNNNNNNNNNNNNNNNNNNNNNNNNNNNNNNNNNNNNNNNNNNNNNNNNNNNNNNNNNNNNNNNNNNNNNNNNNNNNNNNNNNNNNNNNNNNNNNNNNNNNNNNNNNNNNNNNNNNNNNNNNNNNNNNNNNNNNNNNNNNNNNNNNNNNNNNNNNNNNNNNNNNNNNNNNNNNNNNNNNNNNNNNNNNNNNNNNNNNNNNNNNNNNNNNNNNNNNNNNNNNNNNNNNNNNNNNNNNNNNNNNNNNNNNNNNNNNNNNNNNNNNNNNNNNNNNNNNNNNNNNNNNNNNNNNNNNNNNNNNNNNNNNNNNNNNNNNNNNNNNNNNNNNNNNNNNNNNNNNNNNNNNNNNNNNNNNNNNNNNNNNNNNNNNNNNNNNNNNNNNNNNNNNNNNNNNNNNNNNNNNNNNNNNNNNNNNNNNNNNNNNNNNNNNNNNNNNNNNNNNNNNNNNNNNNNNNNNNNNNNNNNNNNNNNNNNNNNNNNNNNNNNNNNNNNNNNNNNNNNNNNNNNNNNNNNNNNNNNNNNNNNNNNNNNNNNNNNNNNNNNNNNNNNNNNNNNNNNNNNNNNNNNNNNNNNNNNNNNNNNNNNNNNNNNNNNNNNNNNNNNNNNNNNNNNNNNNNNNNNNNNNNNNNNNNNNNNNNNNNNNNNNNNNNNNNNNNNNNNNNNNNUUUUCCUCUCCCUCAUCUCUAUUAUUUGGCCCUUCACCCCCUUCAAUCCCUUCAUCUUCUUUUUCCUCUCCCUCAUUUCUGUUACUUGGCCCUUCAUCCCAUUGAAUGUCAUCCAUUUCCCCAUAUCCCUUAAAUAGAUGUGAGACGACACAACGAUUCGUCCUCUGUUUCAGUAAAGCUAGGUCCCUCCUUACUUCCUGCUCAAACUGAGGACCUAAACAUUGGUCCAAUAGUUUUUCCAUCCGUAUGACCUUUAAGUGAAGGACGUCUUUUUCCCGCUUUUCUUGAAACAACUCGGACCUCAACAAGCUUACCACCUUGUUCAACUCAUCAAGAUCACCACAUGAAGAAGGAAUUGACUCUGCCGAGACAACAGCAGGGCGAUCCUGUGGCCAACUCCAAUAUGGCUGUCUCAUUUCCUCUUCACUUAGACAUAGCGCCCGCAACUGAACUGACUGUUUCAGAAUACAGACAAGAGUCAUAUUAAAUCAUUCUACUUCAUAAUUUCAUUCAAUCUUAUCAAUAGUUCUAAGGGCUGCAAACCAAACCUCUUUGCUCUGGAAAAAAUAAUUGUUCAACUUUCUCAUCUCUGGAACAGACGUAGUAGUUCUCCAUCGCAAAAUACGCGGGACAGCGGUCGGAUCAACAACCUUGCAGUAAUUCAGGUCCGCCAUUCUAGGAAUUAAUUCAUAUACCCAAAUCUACACAAUUCACAGGACAAAAGUCAUUAUUUAUGUUUUAAAGAAAAACAAAACAUAACUGACAUGAACAUUAUUACCAUGUACCUGGAAAGCAUACGUGAAACCUUUAAAACUCCAGCCACUCCUUUGCGCUUCACUAUGCUUAUCCUUCUUGCCCUUCUCAUUUCUCCGGCUUGUUCCCGUUACCUUACUUUUCCCCUUCCCUCUUCCCUCUUCAUUUUCCAAGCUUUUCACAUACUUUGUUGGUGCAGAAAAUAGACUGUCUUGGGUUUUGUCAAAGGACACCGAACCCCACGGAUACCUGUUGAACGCAUCCAAGUCCUCUACAAGGGUCAGGUAAUUUAGAUUGAUGUUCAAAUGUUUGUCCCUUCCCAAAACCACUAACUCAGCAAAGUAAACAAGAGGUAGCUUGAAGAUGUCAUCUUCCUCUGUGCACCUCACAAAUGCUUCUUCUAAAGCAUUGCAUGUAAUUCCUUCGUCUAUAAAAUAUCUUUUCUGAAGUCUGAUUUCAUUACUCUCUCCACUGGAAACUUCAGGCACUUCCCCAAAACGAAGCCCUGUGAUCAAACAGAAAUCCUGACGAGUGAACUGAGCAACGUCACACCCUAAUAAGAAACUCAGUCCAUCCAAGUCUUUCACACCCUGCCCCGCUACUCUACGCAACACAACCCCAUGCACAAUCUGUCCGCUAAACUGAAUCUUAUCUAUAUUCAGAAGAUGGCCAAAGCAUGAUGUCUUGAAUUGUUCUAAUUGUUCCGCACUCAACUUCGCUCGAAUUGCAGCUAGAGAUGAAUUUGCAUGUGAGCAGUUGUUCACCCGUGAUGAAUAUACCUCUGCCUCUGGCCAUACCAGCUCCACGUUGGAUCCCAUUUCCUCAAAUACAAUGUGAAAUAACGUGAACAUAUAUACUACCACGUAUUUGCACAAUCACAACUAGUCAACCAGGCACAUUACAACUUUUACAAAGUACAUGAGCAUAUGGAUUACUCAUCACAGGCUUUAACAUCAUCAAAGCAAUAUGACAAUUUUUGUGCAAAUACCUGUUAAUGCAAUGAUUAUGUGAAUUACAAACAAUUUCACGUGUUUUAUUUAUGGAUCCAUACUCGUGUGAGUGCAAUGUAGGCAAGUUCUGCACUUCACACACAUGACAAUUAUUGUCAUCUCAUACACAACCCAAAAUAAAUAAAUAAGAAAUAUAGUGGAAGGAAGCAAAGCAAAGCAUGUACUCUGCUAUCUGCUUGCUAAGCAAUUGCCACAUCCUUCUUUCUUUCUACCUUUUUCUUCAGUCACCCACAAUCGUCAUAGAUCAACCUUCAUUUCAAAUGCUUUGCACUUUUAUUCAUGAGUUUAUUAUUAUCUGUUCUCAUUUCUCAUAGGCAAAUUUAGUAACAAAUGAAAUAAUAUUUAUUUCACAAAAUAUAUAAAUUCUAGUGCCAGAGAGGUACUCUUCACUCUGCACUGCUUCAAAUGUGGAAGGUUUUGAGAUGUUAUUGACAUGUGAUUGACUUUAUUUUCAUUCGUUUUUUAACAUAUACCCAAGCAAAAAUUAACAUGCAAUUGAAGCACAAAUAAGAGAUGCCAAAUCCAACAACAUUGAUGGUACAAAUUGGGGAAAACCAUUACUCUAACCCUAAACUCAAAUUCCUUACAUUACUCAUCAAAUGCUUUGCAGUUCUAUUCAUGAGUUUAUUAUUAUCUGUUCAAAUGUUUCUCAGGCAAAUUUAGUAACAAAGGAAAUCAUAUUUACUUCAUAAAAUAUAUAUAUAUAUAUAUAUAUUCUAGCGCCUCUUCUUAAUCUGCACUAUGCACUGCUUCAAAUGUGGAAGGUUUUGAGGGCCUCCUCCAAUUCAACACCAUUAUCUUAUUCAUAUCAUUAUUGACAUGUUAUUCACUUGUUAUUGACUUCAUUUUCAUUCUUUUUUUAACAUAUACCUAAGCAAAAAUUAACAUGCAACUGAAGCACAACGAAGAGAUGCCAAAUCCAACAAAAUUUAUGGUACAAAUUGGGGAAAACCAUUACUCUAACCCUAAACUCAAAUUCCAUAAAUUACUCACCAAAUGCUGGUUAUUGCAAGGUGUCUGUGUGGGGUCUUUCUGUUUCUUUGCUCCACAAAUGGAACCUACCACUUCCAACGAAUACAGCUUUUCCCCUUCCCCUUCCACUGCUUCGCCUCUUCACUGAUUUGGAAUCCACACCUUUGCCCCUUCUACUCCAAAUAAAUACUUUCUCGGGGUCUGGAGAACGGAGUGGCGAAUCGUUGCCUUCAACUGUCGUUAGCCGUUGCCUUCAUUGGGUAUCUCAGACCUCUGUGUUUUAGAGAGAUGAGUUCUUUCUGUUCAAACUUCGAACUUGCCUCUUCUUCUUCUUUUUCGGACGUGUUUCCCUCUUCUUCUUCUUUUUGGACGUGCUGGAUAUUCAAUUCGGGUUUGGGUUCCUUACCUACCCAAUUGUGAAACUUUAACUCAAUUCUCCCCAGCCCUUGGAUUAAUCUGAUGGCUAUAAAGUGAACCCCUUAUAACUUACCCCUUAUAACUUUCCACUCAUUAUAGUCUUGGCCAGGUAUGGCGGCCAUGCUAGUAAGUGUUGGGUCUUUGACCCAACUUAAGCUAAAUGGGUCAUAAGAUGACCGAUCAUCUUAUCUCAUAAGGAUAUAUAAGUCAUGUUAUGAUUUAGGAUUUUAUAGGGUUUCCUUUGUAAGAGGUAAGAGAGAAACAAGCUCUCUCUCUCUCUACACAAGGAGGUCAGCCAUAGCAAGGGAAAGGCUCCUAGCACUCUCCUCUCUCUUAUUAUAUCAUCCUUCCAAGGACAGCUUUGGUAUGGUAAAGUUGGAGGUUGCACACUUUGUGCACUUUGGUAAGAACUCAUCCAAGGGAGCCAAGAUUAAAUUGGUUAGCUGUUGGAUUAAAUUGGUUAGCACGAUUCAACGGUUAAUAGAUAAAACUUCACAUAAAAGUCAUAUAUAAGGCCCUCACUAUAGAAUGACUCGUUAGUUUAGUCUCUUGUUACAUAUCAAAUGUUAGAGAUAUUUUUUAAUAAGGAUCUGCCAUACCACAUAGUUGGAUAAGACAUUAUACACGGCUUUUGUAAGAGCAUCUCCAGCGCUCCAAACUAGCCCAAGCAGCAGGGGGGCCUAAGUCUAGGAAGCAGCUCCAGCUCGCAAGAUUCAACCCAGGCAAGGUGUGGAACCCACGAGGAGAUCUAGCCCGUCACCUUGCCUUUGGGUUUCAGUCAAGCUGAUGUCAACGAAAGAAUUUCAAAUUUUUUUUACCGUUACAAUGUACGCGCCAACGAUAAAUUUUCUUUGGAUUUCUUGCAUUGAUCCACAGCUACCAAAAACCAACAGCUACAAGCCACGUGGCUUCUCCAGGAGCCUCCGAUCCAAAAAUCAUGUCAAAUCUAACGGCAGUCCAUUUUUUGGCUAAAAAUAUCAAAAAAUUAUGGAAACAUGUUCUAUAAAUUCCUACAAAUAUUAUUCACUUCCCACACCAAAUCUUCAUACAAAUUCAUAUCCUUUCAAUAUUUUUCACUUUCCAUACAAGAUUUUCUACUACUAAGUUUCGUUUGUGUAAAAAUACAAAUGACCUCUUCUAUCGAAGCCGGAGGCGCGUGUACAACCGUGGAAGAUAUUUUGUUGCGUGAGUGUUGGGUCAAAGUUGGUCAUUCCCUGAUCACGGGCAAUGAGAUGAAGUCCUCUCGUAGGAGUUUCUGACAUCGCAACGAAAGUAAGAUGUGAUAUGAAAAUGUAAGGAAUUUGAUGAGAGGAAUGGGAUUUGAGGAGUUUGAUGUAGGAAUUGAUGUAGGAAUUGAAUUUGGGAGGUAUGUAUAUAAGAUUUGAGGGUAUGUGUUUAGGGAUUUUGAUAAGAGGAUUUGAGGAAUUUAGAUUUGAAGGAUUUGGAUUUGGGGAAUUUAAAUAUGAGGAAUUUGAUUAGGGUUUGGGUUUGAAUAUGUGAAAUUUGAUAUGAGAGUUUAGAGACAACAGAUGAUCGAUUGCUCUGAUACCAUGCUAAAAUAUGAUAUGGUUUGAAUACUUUAGGUUGAGUUUUAUUCUUUUCCAUAAAAAGGUAUAUAUAGGAGUUUACAUGAGUGCUUUACAAAGAAAUAGAUACAAUAAUCAAUUAGGAUAAUAUCUCCUAAUUAUACAAUAAUUUGUCAACUAUAUAGAAUAGGAAAGUAAAUUCCUUAAUUAAUCAAGAAAAUAAAUCUCAUUGAUUAAUUAGGAGACUAACGUCAACAUUUAUAAGCCAUAAAAGAGCAGAAAAAGAGGUACUUAGGAGAUUUUAUACGUCGGACUAAGGUAAGCUUAAAGGACUAUAUCAAAAAAAUAAGGGACCAAGAAGCAAGACAGAGAAGUUGUUAUGCAAACCCAUUAAGUUUAGCAGUGAUGAAUUUGUAAAAAUCAUUCUAGUGGAUUCUGCCUUCACUAUUGAGUUCUUAUUGAGGUUCUAUCUGAAAGGAUCUGGACAUGAAGGAGACCGCUUAUUAAACAAACCGUGGAUGUUUACAGCCUGACAUGUGGUUGCUUGAAAAUCAGCUCCCAUUCUUUAUUCUUGAGGAUCUUUAUCACACAUACAUAAUAACCGACUCUUUUAGGAAUUAUUACAGUACUCAUGAUCAUGAGAGGCUUUCAAUAAUUAAUAUUUCUAAGAAUUUCUUCACAGCCGGAAUAUUGAAUUUGGAGGGGAAGGGAGACAAAUGGAACAGAAUAUCAUCUUCUUCUAGUGUUGGAAAUUUUAUAUUAUUUAAUAAUAUUUAAUUUCUAUUGUGAAUGAAAAAUAAGUUUCUUUAAGAAACGUGUGUCUUAGGCCAGUUUUUCUAACUGGUCGGCUUCCUUAGAUUUGUGCCUAUUGCUUUUCAAAGUAUAAUGAUGCAAUGGUUGUAUCUCGUUCAGGCAAAUGGAAGGUAUAUAGCAAUUUAUAGAACAAUACAGUAAUCCAGAAGAAAUAUUAUGAAAUGAAAAGAAUAAAAAGUAAAAAAAGAGAAAGAAAGGAAUUCCCACCUGCAAUGUAUAUGUAUGAAAGGAAGGACCAAGUUUGUUUUAAAAUGGUAAGAACAAGUUGAUUUUAAAUUGGGUUCAGAUCAACUCAUAGAUUUCUUGCCUUUUCUGUUCUCCUUCCUUGGACAUGAACUGUUUAAUCUUGGACUCUUCCCCAUCAUGUUGGGCCUGUCUUCUUCUUGAGGAUUGUAUAGGCCUAGGAAAUGCUUCGGGGUAGUUUUUGUGUUUUGGGCAUUGGGACCCAACUUCACAAAAAGAAAACAAAUUUGACCAAAACACAAAUUUGAAGGACAUUGAAAUUGUACCCGUAGGAUAGAUUAAAACACUAUAAGGGAGGUAAAUAGUACGUUUACAGAGUUUAAGUGUAAUAAAGGAAUAAAAACAUGCCCAGAGAAUUGAUAAGUGAUAUCAAUUCUUGAAUAUACGUGAAAAUUAUUUUAUGUGGUUAAACCCCACCUCUGGGGAAAAUCCACGGAACUUCUUAGUCCAACUUCUAUCACUUAUCCUAGACACAUUCUAGAUAAUGUUUGCCAACCUCUUCGUAACUCAACUUCUGUCACGAGAUGAUCUUUCAACACUUUAUGUCGAACGCAAUACUGGUCACGAUUUCUUCAAGCUCGCCGGAGUUCUUCCAAUUCUCCUUAUAUUGAAUCUGAUACUAGUCACGAUCGAUUCAAGCUCAUCGGAGAAAAAUCGCCACAACAAUCUUGGUGCCCUCAACCGUAUGAGUCACUGAACAUGCAAAUGAAUACAAUAUGAAUGAUAAAAGUGUUUGAUAAAUCACCAAGUUAUGGAACACUUGAUGAUUUAUCUCAAAUAAAAAUUCAGCUUUCCAAAGUUUAUGAAUUGAAAAUAUGACCGUUAAAGCUCUCUAAACAAAGAAGACGAAGGUCUUAUUUUAUAGACUUUUACUUUACAAGAAAGAAAACACGUUGAAAACCAAAUCUCCAAUUUCCAAGGCUUGACAGAAAAUCACAAAAUUAUCUUUCCUAUUCUAGAGAUUGGUCACAUGAAGUCCAACCAAUAGGAAAUGAGAUAUUUAAGAAAGGAAGAUUUUGAUCAAUAUCAAUAUCAAAUGAAUUCUUAUACGCCUAGUCAAUUGUUAUGGGUAUCUUGACUCCUUGAUAUUGUGAUAUGAUUGAAACAUGAUUUCCACGUUAGAAAAUUAAGGGGAUGUUAAAACAUGAAGGUAAUAGGAGAAUCAAAUUGAUUUGGGCCAAAAUUGCCUAAAAAGAAAACACUCCUUAAUAAACUUCAAUUUACUUUUAAAAAUAGUAAAACGUGAUUGAAUCGUUCUUUAAAACAAUUCCCUAAUAUACAUGCAUGAUAGUGAUAUCACUUACCUUUGAAUCAGAUGGCUUUCACGGGUCAAGCCACAAGUUUUUGUCUUGGGGAUUGCUGAGCUUCAUCAAUCCUGCCAAUGUCAAUUUUGCCCCUAAGCUCUCUCAAAGCACGUUUACAACCUAUGCUAACAUAUAUUAGAGUUUAUGUUAGUAUCAAGAAAAUGCCAACACUAAUUUCGUAACACGUAGAAAUUGUUAGAGAUUGAAGUUUUUAUCAUUUUUUCUUCCAGACUCUCCACCACUCACUAAUAUAGUUUACUCAUGUGAUGAGUUUACAAAACCUAUUUCUCUACUCUCACAAAGACUAUACUUAGGGGGGUGUAUUCAAUUAGGAUUCUAAAGCGUUUAAAAAGAUUUUGUUUAAGUGCCAGCUUUCAUAGAACUUGAUGGAACUUUAUAAUUCGUAUAGAACUUGAUAGACUUUCAGAAGACUUCUGUAUAAUUUUUUAAUAAAACUUUCUUAAGCUUUCAUAGAACUUGAUAGGCUUUCAUUCCAAACUUAUGUAGAUGGUAUAUUUCAUUUUAUCCCCAUCCUUGACAUUUAAAGAAAGAAACUUGAAUUUUUUCAAUCAAAUUUGUUUUUGUUACCAAAGCAGCAAAAACAAAAAGUACUUGUUUGCGAUGGAAGAACAUAUGCACAGUUCAAAAUGAAAAGAAUAAGAAGCAAAGUACCUAUUUGACCAAUGAAUGCUGUGUCAACUAGAGAAGCAAUUGGAUCGGCUGUCAAAGCCAAUGCUGCAGGCAAUGCAUCGAUGGUCCAAAUUGCAAUAAAAAAAUAUUUUGAAUAAUGGCUCUUGCAGACAAAGACCACAUAAAUUCUGAACUGGUCUAGCUUGAAUAAUAAGGUUAGAUUAGCCAAUUGAUGAGAUUAAAAGCAAAGCAAGUUGAUGAAUUUAUCAUCAACUAUUUAAUAACCACAGUCCUGAUCUCUUGGACCCCUGUAGUCCAAGAGAUUUAUGGUCACCCACCGUUGGAUGUAAAUUCAACGGUUGACUUGAAUCGGGUAAUAAUCAUUUAUGUCAUAUUGCAUUUAUAUAUAUCAUUUUGAACCAUUGGAUUAAUAUCCAACGGUGGGUGACCACAAUCUCUUGGACUCCUGUGGUCCAAGAGAUCGGGACUGUUAAUAACCAAUAGAGUAUUUAAACAUAAACAACAAUGUUUGAUCAACAAAACAAAUAGUCCAAAUAUCAUCCAAAAAACAAUAACAAAAAAUCAAUCAUUCCAAACAAACUAGUCAUUCUCAAAAACUCUCAAAAAACCCACUCAUUCCAAAUUGUAGGAUAUCCAAUUUGAGCACUCCUCAGGAGACAUUUUCAAAAAUGCAUCCUUUUUUGUGUUACUAUGCAACAAAGAGAGUGCUUUAUAACGAGCAUGUUCAUCCAAAUUUGGGGUCUCCUUAAUGGCAUCCCAUAUAUAACUCCGCUGCUCUCUCUCUUUUUCCCUUUUUGCCAAUAGGUUAUGGACCUCCCGGAAGUCGAUGACAAUUGAAUCAAUGCUAAGGCUAAUUCUUCCCAUAGCUUGCUGGGUGGUCACAUUUGAGAUAGCAUUCCCUUCCAAAUAUGUUCUAGUUCGUUUCCUCUAGUAACAAGCAUAAAUCCUAGUAACAAGCAUAAACCCUAACCCCAACCUAUAACCUAAUAACAAGAAGAAAACCCAACGAGGUAUUGAUCAAAGAAAAAUUAGGGAGCAUACCUUCACAGAUGGAGGAAGGAAGCUGUUCGUCUUCGCAGAGAGAAAAUCUAGGGAAAGAGAAAAACGUCUUAUGAAAUACUUGGGGGGGAGGUUGGAUUUAUUUUGGUCUUUUUUAUUUAUAACUCUCCCCUUAAAACCUACGUAAAUUUAUCACUUAAUGAAAUCCUUCCAAAUAUAUGACCUUUCGAAUACACCUAGAUUUGAUUCAACUUUUUUAUAAUCAUAAUUGAAUACACCCAUAUUUGAAUGGACUUUUUAAAAGUUCAUAUAGGUCCGAAAUGAAUAUACUCAAACUUGUAAAACCUCUUUUAAAGUUUGUAUAAAUCCAAAUUGAAUACACCUGGAUUUUUAAAAUCUUUUUAAACACUUUAUAAUCCUAAUUGAAUACACCCCCCUUAUUCUCAAAAGACUAUAUUACUUUACCUCUAUCUCUGUGAAAUGUAAAAAGUUGAAACUUUAAUGUCAAACCUCAACAAAAGAUGAACUUUCAUCAGUUACGUUGAAUUUGGAUUUGUUGAACUUAAGUGGUUUUAUUUUCUUUGUCAGUGUUUGAUGACUUAAUUUGGUAUUUAUUUCUUCUUUUUUUUCCUUGGAAAUGUGUUCCACCAACGUGAGGAAGAAAAAUAUGCACAAAUUAAUAUAUUUAAUAGAAGCCCAAGAUUUCGGAUGCAUAUAAUUUCUACAAAAAUCUACAAAGUUUUUUACUUUACAAACUUCUUAUGUCUACCAAUUUCUACUAAAAUUAAUUUCUCUGUGGUGCUCAAAUUCAUCAUAUGUGUGUCGUUAAUUUUAUUGAAAAUUGGAAGUUCCCAUCAUUUUUGUUUUUUGGGAAUUUUCUGAACCAAGGAAAAUCAAGUAAAAUUAAUAAAGCCUAAAUUGGAAAGGGAAAAUAUCUAGAGGAUGCAUUGUAGGAUUGCUCAUGCCAAUAAUUGUACCCUCUAAAUAUAUAGAGACAUAUUUUUUUUGUUUUCAUGACAUGUGGUCCUAAAAUUAUUGUGUAAAUCUUCAAUCCUGAACGAUGCACCUAAAACUCAUCCACCCAUUCUCAGGCCAAUUAUUGCACCUAGUGGGCUCUCGACCCCCUCUCAAAUUUAACCACAUAUUUUAUGGACCAUCCAGCUGUGAGGUACAUUCCCCCCACAUGCCACAAUUGUAUAUUCACAAUUACGUCUGAUACAUCACAUCAUGCCACUUGCCUCAAAUGAAUUUAAGUGAGUGAGGCAGUUGGAAGUAAUUAAGCUCUAUAUUGGUGGGUGGAGUGUUACUUCUCGGUUCCCCUCAUCAUUCGUCUAUAAAAUGGUGAAGGCAGUUGCUAUUGUUACCAUAAGAGCCAGCUCCGACUUCCUUUAAUUUCUUGCUUCAUAUCCACUAGCUACAUCUGUUACCAAGUUAAUUUCAGUUCUAAUGGGGUUUCAUCUCCCACUCAUCUUUGCUCUUCUCAGUGUAAGCUCUGCAAUUUGAUUAACUUUUCCAUUCUCUCUCAUUGUACUCUAUAUAAACGAAAGUUUUGUGUUCCUAUUGUUCUCUCCGAUUUUAUUUAGUACGUACUUAAGUGUCGUCCACUAAUUAAUUAUACUUUGUGAUUUGAUUUUAAUUUGAGUUUGAAUUAAUGUUGCAGCUAGCAGCAGUGGCACUGGCAAACCAUGCUGCUCAACCAGCACCUCAACUUUACUGGAGCUCCGUCCUGCCAAACACACAGAUGCCAAGAUCUAUCAGUGAACUUCUGCAUCCUGGUUUGUGUUGAGCUCUUUAGAAUCUUAGAUAUCUCUUCUACCUGCCAUUUUACUAAAAUAUGUUCCACCACAUAUUUAUCAGUUAACCAUUGUCAUUACAUGAGUGACACAUAUUCACAAAUCGGCUGAUCACUUAUUUUCCAUUAUGACUUGAUAUAUAAUUUGCAGACUCCACAAAUGAAGAAAAGAGCACAAAUGACGUUGGCAAACCUGAAACUUUCCCAUUGGGCAAUCAACAUUACUCCAGUCAAAAACAUUAUGGAGGCAUACCUGAAACUUCCCCAUUGGGCAAUAAACAUUACUCCAGUCAAAAACAUUAUGGAAGAGGCAAACCUGAAACUUUCCCAUUGGGCAAUCAGCAUUACUCCAGUCAAAGACAUUAUGGAAGAGGCAAACCUGAAACUUUCCCAUUGGGCAAUAAACAUUACUCCAGUCAAAAACAUUAUGGAAGAGGCAAACCUGAAACUUUCCCAUUGGGCAAUCAGCAUUACUCCAGUCAAAAAAAGUAUGGAAGAGGUGCUUCUCCAUCCGACAAUCAACAACUCCAUUAUAAAGACUUAGCUAUUUUCUUCUUGGAGAAGGACAUGCGCCCUGGCACAACAAUGAAGUUCCAAUUCCCUAUAAAUUCAAACACGGCUACUUUCUUGCCACGAGAAAGCGCUCAAUCGAUCCCCUUCUCCUCUAACAAACUGCCAGAAAUUUUCAACCAUUUUUCAGUGAAGCCAACAUCUGAGGAAGCCAAAACAAUUAAGCAAACAAUCGAAGAGUGUGAAGCUCCAGACCUUAAGGGAGAGGAAAUAUAUUGCGCCACAUCUUUAGAAUCAAUGGUUGAUUUUAGCACUUCGAAGCUUGGAACAAGAAACGUUGAAGCAAUCUCGACGGAGGUAUUGGAAAAAGGAGCCACCAUGUCCAUCCAAAACUAUACAACAAUGCCGGGACUGAAGAAGUUGGCAGGUGACAAAGUCGUUGUGUGUCAUAAGCAGAACUAUCCCUAUGCUGUGUUUUUCUGCCAUGCAAUAAAACAUACAGCAGCUUAUGCUCUCUCCCUGAAAGGCGAUGAUGGGGAGAAGGUUAAAGCAGUAACCAUCUGCCAUCUAGACACAUCAGAAUGGGACCCAGAGCAUAUGUCCUUCCAAAUCGUCAACGUUAAGCCCGGAACCAUUCCCAUCUGCCAUUUCAUUUCCACUGAUGCUAUUGCCUGGGUUCCGAACCACAAAUCUGCAUGAUCAUCACUUAGCACUAGUACUGUGCGUAUAAUAUGCCUGUAUAAUUAUCUCCCUACUUAUUUCUGCCUCUUCAUCAUGUGGUGUAAGAUAUAUGUUGAGAUGAAGUUUUUGGGAUUUGUGGUCGAAAUUAACCCGAUCAUGUUUUCUCUUGCAACCAUAUAGACUUCAACUUGUACUCAUAAUAAAGCAUGCUAUAUUUAUGAAGAGAUAUUAAUCUUCAGGCAAAUAGAUAUUAUGAAAACAUAUAUAGCAAUUUAUCCAGAAGAAACAUUAUGAAAUGAAAAGAAUAAAAAGUAGAAAAACAGAAGGAAAGGAAUUCGCACGUGCUAUGCUAUGUAUGAAAGGACCAAGAUUGUUUUCCCUUUGGUUAAUGACUAGAAAAGCUCACUUGCAGAGUGCUUUCUCCGACCAUAGAUGGAAGAGAAAUUUUCUCUUAAUAAUAGCACAAUGAUCGGGUAAUUGUAAGAACAAGUUGAUUUAAAAUUCCUUGACCCAAAAAAAAAAAAAAAGUUCUUUUCAAAUUCAGGUCAACCCAUAGAUUUCUUGCCUUCGUCUUCUUCAUCACGUUGGGCUUGUCUUCUUUUUGCGUUUUGGGCCUUGGAAGUUGGGACCCAACCCAACUUCACAAAAAGAAAACAGAUUUGCCAAAAAUCAAAUUUCAAGUCUCUCCUCCGAUCACUAAUACAGAUCAAAUUUUGGAUUUGAUGAACUAAAGUGGUUUUACUUUCUCUGUCAGUGUUUGAUGACUUAAUUUGUUAUUUACUUUUUUUUUUUUACUUGAUCUUUGUAGGGGCUUUUUUUUUUCCGGCAGCUUAAACGGGCUGGGCUGCCGUAAAGGGUAGAUUGAUGAAAUUGUCCCCUUUGUCUGAAUUCGAAAAUCAAGCCCCAAAAGCGCUUCGAAAGGGCAGUAGAGCCUUAGGAAGCGUUCUGGUUACCUUCACUAAUUAAAACAACAGCAACUUACAGAUGAUUUCUUGAGGCUUACAGAUAAAUUUUCUAGCUUGGCAUGACAUGGAAGCAAAAUCAGCAUGAGUUUAGCACCAAAGAGGAAAAUAUGGCUUCCUAGGGAGAAAUGAGAGUGUUUAAGGUGAGGAAGAAGAGGUUUGCAGGCUGAUUUGGCUGAGAAAAGAGAAAGAAAGAACAAUGUUCUUCCGGCAGCUUGACAAAGCUUCUGACAGAUGUGAAAGUCGUCCGCCAGAAGAGGAAAAUGGAGAAGAAGGAUGAAUAGUGCACGAAAUUGGUGGGUUCUUGCAGGUAAGAGAGAAAGCUUGCUCUCUGAAUCUGAGUUGGUUUUGGUUGGGUAGAAGAAGCCCCCUUUUAUAGCUGCGGGAAACCAUCUUUUUCCAAGAAACCCUAAUGGUUUCUAUCCUUUUUGGCCAAGCUUUUCCCUUCCUUUCUCUUCUCCUCCCUUGACUUUUCCUAUCUUGGUGAAAUUUCCUCUGCCUAUUUGCACAAAAUUAGAGAUUUUGAGGAGCUCAAGGCCCCUUUCCCGCAGCUGCCUUAGUGGAGAAUCCCCAUUUUCAGUCAUCUUUCUUCCUUCUUUUCUCCCAUCUUCCAAGGCUAGGUUUGAUGAGAGAAAGAAAUGGAUAUGCACACUGGUUUGAAGGGUGUUUUUCCUUGAAACUUGUUCUCUCCCAUGUGCUGGAGCUUCCCAGCAGCUUACACACAUAGAUAUUUUGGCUUUCAUCGUGGCUUUUGUUUUCAGCUAGGUGCUGGAGAUUUUGCAUAUAUUUUCUUGAGUUGCUUGGGCCUUCUAGGACAAUACGUUGGUUUAUCAAGUGAAUGGGCUAACUUCAUCAAUUGUUGGGCAAUUUUGGUUGAGUUAAUGGACUAUUUUGGUUCAAGUAAUGGACUAUUUUGGUUGAAAUAAUAGGCUAUUUUUCUCUCUUUGUGCUCACCCACAUAUUUGGGCCUAAAAAAUGGGCUUGAGUUUCGGGGCUCCCAAGCAACCCCGGGACUUCCAUUUCUCGGCCCAUCAAUGAGCCUCAUGUCAACUUAUUACCAUCCAUACCACAACCCACUCAAGCAAGCCUCAGGCAUCUUGCGUGGCUUGGGCCCACGUAAGCUCGUAGUGGCAAUGUUGCUUAUUUGCUUGACGUGGCAUGUGUGCAAGUGCAUAUGACGAACUUUCGCGUGCCCAAAUUGAGUUUCUUCUCGGUAGGGUAUCGCAUUGGGCCGAGAAUUUAAUUGGGUAGAACCGUGGAUUUUUUGGGCCUCAACAAUCUUAUAUAUAUUAGUUUUCUUUUUUUCCUUAAUAUUCACCACCUUUCUGUUGCAUAAGUAUUCCAGUCUUAGCGGGUUUCCAUCUACCACUCAUCUUUGCUCUUUUAAGUGCAAGCUUUUUUAUUUUUAUUUUUUUAUGCACAAGAUUAGAGGGGAGGGAGAUUUCUCAAUGUAAGCUUUGCAGUUUCAUAAUUAAUAUUUCCAAUAUCUCACUGUUAGUAAAAUAUGGAACGGGAAAAGUACGAAUAAAAUACACACAUGUUUUAUUUAGCAAAAUUUUGACAAGAUACAACUGAAAAGUUUGGCCACUAUAUAAUAUUUUGAUUUAAUUUUUUUUAUUUUUUUAAUAUAUAUUAUUUUUAUUCAAUAAUAUGUGAAAAAUAGGUGUACAAUAUAUGAAAUUUGUAUGUAUUAUUGAAAAAUUCGUAAAAAAAAAACAUGUUAUUAAAUGUGAAAAAUAUGUACGUAUAUGUAUAAAACAUGUAUUGUACAUUACUUUUUAACAAACUUGUAUUUUACCUAGUCUUUAAACCGUAUAUGGAAAACGGAAGUAUUAUUGAAAAAUACAUAUGUACGUAUAUGUAUAAAACAUGUAUUGUACAUUACUUUUUAACAAACUUGUAUUUUACCUAGUCUUUAAACCGUAUAUGGAAAACGGAAGUAUUAUUAAAAAAUACAUAUGUACGUGUAUAAUAUGAGUAUUAAACAAAAAAAUGUGCUAAGUACUUAUCUUUUAAUUUAAUAAUUCAUUUCAUUUUGUGAUCUCAUACGUAGUAAUGAGAGUUCAAAUUAAUGUUGCAGCUGACAAUGGUGGCUCUGGCAAGCCAUGCUUGAUGCAGGAGUAUAGGGGUGGAUCAAGAUAGAUAUUUACCAUGUAAUUAGUUAUUUCAUGAUAUAUUGUUAUUUUCUUAUUUAGGUAGUUUUAUGAUAUCUUUUAUUAUUUAUGUGGGAUUUUAUAAUUAAUUAGUUUACUUUUGGACCAAGUAGCCUUGGUGCUCAAGUCUUGUAAAGCUUAUAAAUAAGGCUAAUGUAAUAGUUGUAGGAAAAGAGAUGUCGAUGAUUAAUAAAAUCGUUUAUUUGUGGCAUGGAUUUGCUACGAUAUAUGUGAGUUUGCACUAGCCCUAGAUUUCGGUGCUCGUGUAUGUGGUUGGUGACCUGUGUCCGGAUCCCGAUCCCCAUCAAUGCUGUUCUCCCAGUACCUCAACUUUACUGGAACUCUUUCCUGCCAAACACAAAUGCCAAGAGCUAUCAGUCAACUUCUGCAUCCUGGUUUCUAUUAAGGGACUUUUCGUGAGCUUAUCAUCUACCCAAAUUUUACUCAUCCGACGUAAUUUUAAAAGUGAUUUGAUCCUUUGGCAAAGUAAUCUUGAACUACAAAAAAGGAGGGCACUCGAAUAGGCAUGCCAUUUGGUAUUACCCACCUCUAAUUUCUUUUAAAAUUUUAGUAAUUGAUUUUUAAGAUUAGAAAAUGGGAAAGUUCAAAACCGAAAAAGUUGUUUCAGUUUUGGCAAGUAUCGGAAAAGACUAAAAUUUUCCGACUUUAUUAUUACUAGAAACAAAGUCGAAGUAUUCACCAAUCAUGUGGCCUUCCAAGUGCUCAAGGUUAAGCCAGGAACCGUUCCUAUCAGCCAUUUCCUUCCCAAGUAUGAUCAUGUUGUCUGGGUUCCAACCCACAAAUCUACAUCAGUACCUGAACUAAUCAGUUCUACAUGAAUAUUCAUUCAUGGCAACCUUGGGCUAAGUAUUUGAAUUUAUGCUCAUAAAGCUUUAAUGCUUUUGAGGGCCAAUCGUUGUCUACAUAUGGUAUUGUAGCAUCUUUAGAUGGAAGAGGUCAGGGGUUCAAUUCUUGUUUUCCACUUCUUUAUUUGUUGGUUUAUCGAGUGUAGAGUGGAGUUGCACCUAUAUGUUCGUCUCUCACCCCAUCAUUUACCAUUGAUAUAUAUUUAAUAGAAGCCUAAGAUUUCGGAAGCACAUAAUUUCUACUUUACAAACUUCCUGUGUCUACCAAUUUCUACUAAAAUUAAUUUAUCUGCGGUGCUGAGAUUCAUCAUAAUUUUAAUAGAAAUUGGAAGUUUUCAUCAUUUUUGCUUUAAGUCUCUACUCCACUCACUAAUAAAGAUUACUCAUGUGAGUUUACAAAACAUUUUUUUUUUCUACUCUCUCCUGAAGACUACACUUCUUCUCAAAAAAUUAGAUCACUUCACAUCUUGUGUAUGUGAAAACUAAUGUAAAAAGUUGAAACUUUAUCGUAAAACCUCGACAAAAAUGAGCUCUACUACAAAAUGUUAAAUUUGGAUUCGUUGAUUUAAAUGGCAAUUUGACACUUGAUAGAAAUUUUUACAUACAUGUGUUAGUGUUUGAUCACUUCACAUGUCACUUACUAUAUUUAUUCCACUCAAGUUAGGUAAAUAUUAUUAUCAAACAUUUCAAUUAAUUUGUGAUUUUUUUAUUAUUUAAUCAAUUAUGAAUUAAUGGAUUCUUCUUGUUGUUUUGAAGACCAACAAAAAAAAAAAAAAGGGUAGUGAUGGCUUAUAAUUCUGGUAAAACAACAGUGACGUGGACAACAGAUGUUACGCUGUACUAAAGAUUUUUGAAGAUUCUUUAUUUGAGUUUCUUUCAAGAUAAAAACCAUAUUAUCCACAACCACAAGCACAUCCGGCAGACAAUCUUUGGCUAUUCAUCACAAUUGGGAGACAAUGAAGAAGACAGAAAAUGGAGUAAUUCAGAUGUUACCAGCCAUCCACGACAAACUGAAGUCUGCAAAGCAUUCGUAAUCUAAAAAGGAUGGGGAGGCUGCGCAAUACUUAGCCACGUGUAGGCCAGGAGGCUUUCCAAUUUUAAUAUAUAUAUAGAUUGAAAAAAUAAAAUAAAAAUCAAUCUAUUAUCAUAUAUAUUAUAAAAUAAAGAUUAUUGCUCCCAUGGGCGGUGCUAUGCACAGGACAGUGCCUGCCUAGUCCAAAUUUUUUUUAAAUAAAAAUAAAAAUCUACAUAUGUUAUAAGCUCAUCCAAAAAAAAAAAAAAAAAUAAAAGUGUUGUAAAUUAUAAGGUGGAGCCCACAUGUUGGAAGGCUUUGCCUACAAAAGGGUUCACACCCUCCCUUUGUAAUUAGACAUUGAGAAUACUAAGGAAGACAGAAAUGAAUAGAGAGAAAACAUUCCCUUCUCUCCAUCUCAAUUCCCUCUCCAAUUCCUCUAGAUUUAUAACACGUUAUCAGCAGCACGAAUCGCUUUCAAACAAUACCAGCUGAAUUUUAUGAUGAAACCCAGAUCUCUCAUCCAUCUCUGCUGCUCCACUACUUCAAAAUAAAUCCCACAGAAAAAGAAAAAGCCUCAAUGCUCUCUCUCUCUCUCUGUCUCGCUUGGGAGACUUGGACAAUUCCUCAUCCCCGUUACUGACAAUUUCAACAGCUUCAGGGGAAGCUAGUUUAUCUUCCUCUGCUCACGAAACCAUGACUCUUUCAGAGCCAAACAACAACACAAUAGACAACGCAUGGAGACCAGACUGGAGCUCGUCGGCUAAGGCACCGACGAUCCGACCCUACCCGUAUGGACCUUCCGGAUGUGGUUCCUGGGUCUUGUCUCAUGUGCCCUCCUCUCAUUUCUCAACCAAUUCUACAAGCAGCAGAGCUUCAAAUCAAACAGAUCAUGGCAUCGCUUUCACACCUCCCCAUCUUCCUCUUCCUCCUGUUCACCGCUUUCUAUUCUACAGCUUCGCAGUCCUUCAUCGGCGCAUCCAAAGGCGACAUACCGGCGCUCGCCUCAGAUCCGAACGCGGCGGCUCAGUGGGUGAACUCGAAUGUCCUCGCCUUCUACUCGGCCAGCAACAUCGACCUCAUCAACGUCGGCAACGAGGUCCUUUUUCUCCAACGACCAGGGCCUCAUCUCGCAGCUCCUCCCCGCCAUGCGAAAUGUCCAAUCUGCCCUCUCCGCCGCGUCCCUCGGCGGCAAGGUCCGUGUCUCCACGGUCCACUGCCUCGCCGGAUCGGGAUCCUUCCUUCAAGUGUUUCUCUGUCUUCGACUUGAAAAAGAAGGUCAUGGCAGGCCUAUGUAAAAAUUGCGAAAAGGAAGGCAAUCUUCAACCUUUUCUCCUGUCUCUCUCUUGAUCAAUUCAUGGAAGGCACAUUUGGGUCUUCCGGGGGCUCAUCAAAUGAGUCAGCAAUGUCAAAGGUGGAGGUGGUGGAGCAAGACUACGUGGGGAUGUCAUAUGAGGCAACCUCAUACCCAGCUGAGGCAGAGCUUGUGCUGGGCCUGGGCCUUGGCCUGAGCCUUCGUGGUGGUGGUGCAGGGAAGCAGCCAAAGCCAUGUGCAUGGGGUGAGCGUGGUAGAAUCUUGACUGCUAAAGUUAGGUGCUGAGUUACACUGUGUUCUCUGCUACUGACCCUAAGAGGAGUGCUAGAAACUUCCAUGUUCCGCCAUCAUUUCGCUUUCACUGUUACAAGGCACUGGAGUAUGUUUAAUUGAAAAGUGAGAUACACAGCAAGUUGAUCAGCCUAGUGGAAAGCAAAGGAUUAUUGCCAGGGAUAUGAACACCCACCGAAAUAAAGGGAUAAGUACUCUUUUUCCCUUCGACCAGUUUUUUUUUGUCCCACUGGGUUUUUACUGGCAAGGUUUUUCACGAAACAUAUUCCGUAUCAUUUGUGGUCUCUAAGAGGGAGUGUUGUAAAUUAUAAGGUGGAGCCCACAUGUUGGAAGGCUUUGCCUACAAAAGGGUUCACACCCUCCCUUUGUAAUUAGACAUUGAGAAUACUAAGGAAGACAGAAAUGAAUAGAGAGAAAACAUUCCCUUCUCUCCAUCUCAAUUCCCUCUCCAAUUCCUCUAGAUUUAUAACAAAAAGUAAAUUCUACACAUAUGUUGCCCAUCCAGGUGGUCCCAUAUCUUCUCUUUCCUUUUCUUUUGGCUAUUAGACUUCUUGUUUCUCUCUCUCUCUUUGCUACCCCACAUCAGCAAGUUUCUCCCUCUCUUUUUUUGGGAUCAAAUUCUUCUUCUAUUGACAAAAUCUUCUAUUAUAUUGGGUGGGCAACUUGGCAACAACAUCUUCUCCUCUCCUUUUGUCAACAGCAAGUAUUAUUCUCAUUCUCUCAUUUGCUAUAUAUCUUUAAUUAUAGUUUUAAUUUAAAAUUGAGUAUUCUAGGGUUUAAUUAGGGAUGAAUUAUAAUUUUGGGAUUUUGUUGAAAUUAAUUAGGGCUUCGAUUAGGGGUGAAUUAUUCUACUGCUUUGAUUUGGAAUUUUGUUAAAAUUGAGUAUUAUAGGUUUAAUUAUGGAUGAAUUACAAUUUUUGGUUUUGGUAUUGUUGAGAUGUUAUUAUGAGAAUUUGUUUGAUUUUUUGUUGGUAUAUUUGAUUAAAAUUCUUUCUACAUAUUAUUCAUAGGCUAUCUUUUAUUAUGUCGGAUCACAAUCGGAAUCCCAAGAAAACAAAAAAUUUGAAUAGUGUUGUUUUGUAUUGCAUUGCAUUUACUUUUGGUUUUAGUUUUGCUUUUAGUGUAAAUUACUCAAAUGGUCCUCAAAUUUGUACCCAAUUUACAUUUUGGUCCAUAAACUAAAUUAUUCAUUCAAAUGGUCCACCAACUCUUUAUUAAUCGGUGCUUUGGUCCUAUCGUUAUGUUUUCUAUUAAAUUUAGUCAUGUGAGCAGCACAUGCUACAUUUGUAUGGGUAAAUAAGACUUUUGACCAGUGGCGGAUCCACGUUGGGACAAGAGGGGUCGGACGACCCCUUGGAAGGCUGGAAAUUUGGCAAGGGAGUCCAUGAAAGCCCCCUUGGACAGCUGCUGGAAGCCCCCUUGUAUGCACACAAUGUGCUCGACGAAAUGCCCCAACGAAAUGUCCUGCGCAGCUGUGCUGCGCCUUGCGCGUAAUUUUUUUUUAAAACCAGCCUUGCCAAACGACGUCGUUUGGUCAAGGCUCAGUCAAAUUUUUUUUUAAUUAACCUGGCCUCAAAACGACGUCGUUUUGGGCCAGGUUUAAAAAAAAAAAAACAGAACAGUACACACGCACAGCAGCUCUGCACAGAUUCAUUUUCUCCAAACCUUUCAUUCCCAAUUCCACAGCCCCUCUUCCCAUCCUCUCAAACCCUAACCUCCCAACCUCCCAACCUUGGACAACCUCCAUCAACUCUUCACCGGUGGCCCAAUGCCGAUCACCACCACCUUCUACCGCCGUCCGCCGCCCAUUUUUUAAACUACAAGUAAGUAAGCAUGGAAAAUCUGAUAUUAAUAAUUAUAGUGAUAAUAUAUAUUGUUGAUAUUGAUAUUUUUUUUUUAUGUAAUGAAAUUUAUGGAUAUGAAUCAUAUUGAUUGAUUGAGUUUAUGCUUGAAAUUUAUGGAUAUGAAUCAUAUUGAUAUUUUUUUUUAUGUAAUUAAAUUUAUGGAUAUGAAUCAUAGUGAUAAUCAUAUUAAUGUAGAUUGAUUGAGUUUAUGCUUGAUUGAUAAUAUGAAUUGAUUGGGUAUAUUAAAUAUUGAUUGCUAUUUGAUAUGAUAAUUUGGUAUAUUGAAUAUUGAUUGAUAUGGGUUUAGGGAGUAUAUUGAAUAUUGAGAGUGGGUUAUUGAAAUUUUCAUAUUCAUAUGAUAAUUAGGAUAAAAAUUAAUGAUUGAUUGAAUUAAUUGAUUUGUAGAUUUAUGGAACGAUUCUUUAAAAGAAAAUUAUCUACGGAUAGUUCUUCUCUGUCUAAUCCGGGUAGUUCAAAUGCAAGACCAAUUGAAGUAGAUGAGAUCUUAGCUAAUCUUCAAGCAGACCCUGGACUAAGAACUCGAAUGGCGGAUUAUAGUCCUAAUAUUAGGGAUGAGAUCCGAAGAGCAUAUCUACAAAAGGGACCUUGUCAACCUAGAAGUUAUAAAUUCCCACAAACUAAUCAAUCAGGAAUUAAUAGACGCUUCAUUGCUCAUUGGUUUGAUGAUCAUGAUUGGUUGGAAUAUAGUAUUGCUAAAGAUGCUACGUUUUGUCUUCAUUGUUAUCUCUUCAAAUCUAAUUUUGAUCAAGUGGGUGGUGAUGCAUUCACUGGGGUAGGCUUCAAUAAUUGGAAGAAGGCGAAAGAAAGAUUUAACCUUCAUAUUGGACCGGUUGGUAGUGUUCACAACCAAGCUAGAGAAGUUGCUUACAAUUUGAUGCAUCAAACUACACACAUUGAAACAAUUGUGCUCAAGCAAACAAGCCAAGCUCGCACGGCUUAUCGCACUUGCUUGAAUGCAUCACUUAAGUGCACUAGGUAUUUGUUGCGGCAAGGGCUUUCUUUUCGUGGUCAUGAUGAAAGUGCACAAUCAAGUAAUAAAGGGAAUUAUUUAGAGCUCUUGCAAUUUCUUGCGGAUCAUGAUGAAAAAGUUAAGGCCGUUGUAUUGGAAAAUGCUCCGGGAAAUUUAAAGUUAAUAGCUCCUUCAAUUCAAAAAGAUCUUGUCAAUUCUUGUGCCAAAGAAACCAUUGAUCUUAUCUUGAGUGAUGUAAAAGAUAGAUAUUUUUCAAUAAUGGUGGAUGAAGCACGUGAUGUUUCAAUAAAGGAGCAAAUGGCAAUGGUGUUGCGUUAUGUGAAUGACAAAGGACAAAUAAUUGAAAGGUUUGUGGGGGUUCAACAUGUAACCGACACUACUUCAAGUGCACUAAAGGAAACAAUUGAUGAAUUCUUUUCUUCCGCGAAUUUGAGCUUUUCCAAGCUACGAGGACAAGGUUAUGAUGGAGCUAGCAAUAUGAGAGGUGAGUUCAAUGGCCUUAAGAGAAAGAUUUUGAGAGAACAACCUUGUGCAUUUUAUGUUCAUUGCUUUGCUCAUCAACUUCAACUAGCUCUUGUUGCGGUAGCAAAGAAAAACAUUGAUGUCAACUCUUUUUUCACAACGGCUAAUAGUUUGGUUAAUGUGGUUGGAGCAUCUUGUAAGCGUCGCGAUGCACUUAGAGCACAAUACCAAGAAGAGCUUGUGAGAGCUUUUGAAGAUGAUUGUCUUAUAACGGGGCGGGGCUUAAAUCAAGAAAGGACUCUCAAACGUGCCGGCAAUACACGAUGGAACUCACAUUAUGGUACGUUGAUUAGUAUCAUUUCUAUGUUCCCAUCUGUGGUGAAUGUGCUUCAAAUGAUUGUUGAUGAUAAUCUUAAUGAUAGUUCGGGUGAAGCCUAUAAGUUAAGGAGAGAAAUACAAUCUUUUGAGUUUGUGUUUCACUUAUUUGUAAUGAAAGCUAUAUUGGGAAUAACAAACACUUUGUCUCUAGCAUUGCAAAAGAAAGAUCAAGACAUUGUGAGUACAAUGAAUUUAGUGAAAACAUGCAAGGAAAACCUGCAGUUGAUGAGGGAUAAUGAGUUUGAAGAAUUGGUUGGGCAAGCAUCCUCGUUUUGUUACAAAUAUGAUAUUAUAGUUCCUACCAUGGAUGAGGAAUAUGUAAUUCCAGGGAGAUCAUGGCGUAAUGCUCCAAUGAAGACAAAUUAUCAUCGUUAUCGUGUGGAGAUCUUUAUUCAUGUAAUUGAUGGGCAACUUGCGGAAUUAAAUGAUCGCUUCAACGAGGUAAGUACUGAGUUACUUACUUGUUUGGCAUGCUUGAGUCCAAAAAAUAACUUUGUGACUUUUGACAAACGAAAGCUAGUUCGUCUUGCUCAAUUUUAUCCUUAUGAUUUUUCGGAUAGAGACUUAUUGAUGCUUGAAGAUCAACUUGGUGUUUAUGUUCAUCAUAUGCGUUCGAGUAGUGAUUUUUCUCAAUUGGAAGGGAUUAGUAGUCUUGCGGAAAAAAUGGUGGAGAAAGGAAUGCAUGAAAUAUUUCCUUUUGUAUUUGCUUCUUACAUUGGCUUUGGUUUUACCGGUUGCAACUGCAUCAGUGGAGAGGGCAUUUUCCGCUAUGAAUAUUAUUAAAAAUCCACUUCGCAACAGAAUGGGAGAUCAAUGGUUGAAUGAUAGCUUGCUUGUUUACAUUGAGAGAGAUGUUUUUGCUUGUAUUGAUAACGAAAUUAUAAUGCAAUGUUUUCAGAAUAUGAAAACUCGUCGUGGACAAUUGUAACUUGUAUUAUUGGUUUUGUUAUGAAUUAUGAAUGAAAGUACUAUCUUUCUAUCUUUUUAGCAUUAUUUUCUUUGUAGAAAAAUUUCAGAACUUUUACACUAAGCCCCCUUGGCUACAUAAUCCUGGAUCCGCCACUGCUUUUGACCACUUUAUCACCUAUGUAUCACCACUUUAUAACCUAUUUGGGGAACAUAGGUCAGUUAUGGACGGUUUUACCCUUACAUUUGACGGCAACAUUAACAUAAUGUAACAGUGGGAUCAAUGGAGUGAUUAAUAUAAAGUUGAUGGACCAUUUGAAUGAAUAAUUUAAUUGAGAGACCAAAAUGUAAAUCAAGUAUAAGUUUGAGGACCAUUUGAGUAAUUUACCCUUCGCUUUUAUAUUUGUUGAACUUUUAUUUAUGAUAGAUAUGCAUUUAAGGGUAAGACCCAUUAUGUUCCCCUGGCUAGGUGUAUCUUUUUAUGUUUAUUAAUGAAAUUCACUCGAACUGUUGAGUUUAGUAUGUAAGUUUUGCCUAACUGGCUUUUGAAUCCUAGAACCGCCACUGUUGCUCCAUCCUCCAUGCACUUGCAUGUGCUCUUACAAAGUGUGAAGUAGAUUUUGUGUGCUCCAAGUCAUUGACUAGAGCUGAAACAUGGUUAGCUAGAUUUAUAAGGACCCAUCUCUUUAUUUCCUAGACAUAUACCCAUCUCUCUAUAAAUCUAUAUGUAAAACCUAAUUUCAAACUUAAAUGACCAGUAGGAUAUAAAAGGUCAUAGUAUUCCUAUGUUUUUAUAUCGUUGCCACCAGACUUCUUAUUUUAUUUAUAAUUUAUUUCAAGCAUUUCAUUAACUGCCAUAAUUGUAAUUAAUACUCCAUAUUAAUAGCAUAUCAAUCACCCCAUUUCUUUUGGUUGCCAUUCCCUCUAACAUAUCGCCCCUUAAAUUUGAAAACCAAAAAAAAAAAAUGUAAAUUACAUAUCCAAUAAUGUACCUAUGAAAAAUAUAAAUAUAAAUAUAUACAUAUAAAAAUAUAGGUAUAUUAUUUACCAAAUAGAAAAUAUAAAAACCUAGGUCAGUUGCUUUGUAAUUGAAAUUUCUGUACAUUUUCCACAAAUUAAAAAUAGGUACAUAAUAAUUUAUAGAAAAUAUAUGUACAUUAUUUAUCCAUAGGUAAAAAUACCGAUAAAUGCACAUAGGUGAAUUAUUUACCAAUAUAUUAUUUUUUUGCUAAGGAUUUACCUUAGUUUUUAGUAGAUUAAUUUACCUACCUAGAGGCAUAGGUAGCUUAAAAAAAAUGUACCACCUUAGUUGGUUGCAUACUAAUUUACCUACCUAGAGGCAUAGGUUGCUAAGAAAAAAUGUAGGUAAAUUCAUGUACCUAAACACAUAGGGGUCAAAUAGAGAAUAACAUGUUAUUUCCCUUUGAACAAAUUAAUUUCAAACCAUAACAAUUAUUGAAUUUGGAAAUUGGUAUAAAUAAAAGGAAAUAAAUAAACUAUCAAUUUGAAAAUUAAAAUAAGAAAUGAUCAAGUAGUCAUAUUUGAAAAAAAAGGAAAGAAUAUAUUCUUGGUUUUUAUAGGAACAACGAGUAUAUUCAAACCAAACGGCGAUAACUACACCAAGCUUUAAUUACUUUUUUUUAAGGCCAAAAGUCACUUUUGGUCCCUGUAGUUCGGCAUUUCUACCACUUUUGAUGUUGUAGUUUCAAUUCCGUCAAUUUUGCCAUUGUAGUUUCGUAUUUGUAGCAAUUCAAGGACCUGUUAAUAUUAAUGUCAAUUUGUUUAAUGAUGCAAGAGGUAAUUUCGUCAUCCCAAAAUCCUUGAGCAUAAAAGAUUGUCUGAAAUUCUCCCCAUUUCAUAUUAGGGCUCGAAAUUCAACCACUAAUCCUAAUUUUUGAAGAACCCUAGACCCAAAUGACCAAUUUCAAGCCCUAAUAUGAAAUUACGGAAGUUUUAGAUGAGCUUUUAUGCUCAAGGAUUUUGAGUUGAAGAAACUGCCCCUUGCACUGUCAAAUAAAUUGACAGGAAUACUGACUUGUCCUUGAAUUGCUACAAAUACAAAACUACAGUGUCAAAAUUAACAGAAUUUAAACUAUAGGGUCAAAAGUAGUUGAAGUGUCAAACUAUAAGGACCAAAAGUGACUUUUAGCCUUUUUGUUUCAAUAAGGAAAAAACUGACCUAUUAAAUCCUUGGAAUCUAUACAAAAUUGAAACACAAUUAAUCAACAUUGAAUUGCAGCUAAUUUCUUAAACAAGGGUAUUAUAGGAAUUUAAAAAGUAUAACAUUUAAUCCAUUGAAUUUGAUUAGGAAACUUGAUGAAUUGAAUCCUAGUUAUAUAGUUUUUCUUAUAAAAAUCAGGUUUUAUUUAUAGACAAAUAAAACAAUGGGUUGUAGGUAAGAAAAUAUUAAUUUGAAGGGAAAGAGUCAAAUUUACUAAAUUAAUAAAGCAUAAAUUGGAAAGGGAAAAGAUCUAGAGGAUGCAUUGUAGGAUUGCUCAUGCCAAUAAUUGCACCCUCUCGAUAUUGAAAAACCUAUUGUUUAUUAUUAUCUUCAAUCCUGAAUGAUGCACCUAAAACCCAAGUGUCUCAGGCCAACCAUUGCGCUCAUACCACUUGUUGCAGUACACAUUCACCUGUUUUUAAAGAAAGAAAUUCUACCAAUCGAUAUUUUCUCAAAUUUAAUCACAUAGAUCUAUUAUGGUUAACCAUAUGUACUUUUAUCUGCCAUCCAGAGGUACCUUUUUCCAACGUGCAACAAUUGUAUUUGAUUCACAAUUAUGUCUGAUAUACAUCACAUCAUGCCACUUGCCUCAAAUGAAUUUAAUUGAGUGAGGCAAUGGGAAGUAAUUAAGCUCUAUAUUGGUGGGUGGAGUGUUACUUCUGGAACCCUCAUCAUUCGUCCAUACAGGGGAACAAUUCCCUUCCUUCUAUAAAAUGGGAGCAAUUCUCUCACUGUACUCUAUAUAAAGGAAUAAGUGUCGUCCACUAAUUAAUUACACUUUGUGAGAUUUGAUUUUAAUUAGAGUUCGAAUUAAUGUUGCAGCUAGCAGCGGUGGCACUGGCAAACCAUGCUGCUCAACCAGCACCUCCACUUUACUGGAAUUCCAUCCUGCCAAACACACAAAUGCCAAGAGCUAUCAGUGAACUUCUGCAUCCUGAUUUGUGUUGAAUAGAUAUAGUAUGUUACUGGAGUACGUAUGGCAACAUAUUCACAAAUGUGUCACGUAUUUUCCAUUAUGACGUUGAUAUAUAAUUGCAGACUCCACAAACGAAGAAAAGAGCACAAAUGUCAUGAAUGCUGUUGGGAAUGGAAAGCCAAUUGACCACAAGGGCAAACCUGAAAAUACUGUACUACCACAGCUUGCACGACGCCCAUUUUCUUACAAGAGUGAUGAUCGUCCCACUGACAAUCAACUCCAUUAUAAAAACGUAGCUAUUUUCUUCUUGGAGAAGGACAUGCGCCCUGGCACAACAAUGAGCUUCCAAUUCCCUAGAAAUUCAAACACGGCUACUUUCCUGCCACGAGAAAGAGCUCAAUCGAUCCCCUUCUCCUCUAACAAACUACCAGAAAUUUUCAACCAUUUUUCAGUGAAGCCAACAUCUGUGGAAGCCAAAACAAUUAAGCAAACAAUCGAAGAGUGUGAGGCUCCAGGC